CAUUAAAUAAAAAUAUUAUAACACUCUAAUAGUUGCUUAUCGAAUUAAAAAGAAGUUCUGAUUCAAAAUAUAAGAGGCUGCAUAUUUUAGUAAUAAUAACUAGGUUUAAACAUUUUAGGCCAGUGGUUUGGGCCCAAAGAAUUAUUAUUGCUGAUGGAUUGGAUUAUUACAUUUGGUAUUAGAGUCGAAUACCAACCGAAAGUAUAAGAAUUAAGUGCUAUGCACUUGGCAAUUUUAGUCUAUAUGUUUAUAAUCGGGUUUGGACCUGAUGAGAAAGUCUAAAUAGGAGAAGUCUAUAACACCCCAAUAAUUUCACAUCGGAUCAAUUGUUCUACAUUGAAUGACAAAAAAGGUUCCGAUUGAGAAUACAAAAAACUACAUAUUCUAAUAAUAAUAAUUGAGUAUAAAUAUUUUCAACCAGUGUUUUGAGCUCAAUAAGUUAUUAUUGCUAUUAGAUUAGGUCAUUACAAAAAUAUAUCUCAAAUUUUAGUGGUAGCAAAUAAAGAAGAAGAACGAAAGAAAAGGUAAUGUUCCAAGGUGUACAGUUUAUACUUUGGAUGCUUGAAGAGGAUGUGAAGUAAUAGUAAGAAGAAACUAAUCAAUAAGAGAAAAAAAAAUUGAAGUAGCACCCUCAACUUUAAUUGUAUUUUGAUUCACAACUCUUUAAUUUUUUAUUUUUUAAAAAAAAUUAAGUGACAUUACUCAAGUACCUAAGUUUUGUCAAAUUCGUCGAUAAUUCCAUCAAUCUUAAUUAUUUUAAUCGCUUUUUAGUAAACAGAACUAGAAUAAAAAACAGCUAAUAAUUAUAGAUUCAUUAAAUUAAUUCAAUAAAACUUUUUAUUUGACCAACCAAGUAACUCAAAUAAAAUAAAUCAAAGUCAAAGACGGUGUUAGCAAAAGUAGGUUAAUUUGAGGGGUGAAUUUCAACCUAGUUUAUAGUUGAGGGGGUCUCCAUGCAUUUUUACCCAAUGGCUAUUAGGUUAUGCUUCAAAAAGAAAGGGCACUCAUUUGACUCGGUUUUUUUUUUUUUUGAUAUAUUGUAGACUCGGCCCAUCACCAAUGGGCCAGCCCAUGGGUCAAAAUAUACUCUGCUGUUUAAUGAAAAUAUGAGCCCAAACCAGGCCCAUUUGAACACAUAUAAAUAAGUAACCUUUUUCUGAUGAUAGGCUACAAAAGUAAUAUAAAGCAACCUAAAUUUAGAGGUCGUUUGGCUGGACGUAAUUAGAAAUGCAGUGCAGCGAAGAUACAUACAGUGAAGAUGCAUCCAGUUGGAAAUGCUAUAGUUACAACUACAUUGAUUUCGUUUCGUUGGAUGUAGUAGAAAAUGCUGUAGCUAUAAAUUAUUUGUUUGAUUGCAUGUAGUCGAAAAUUUUUAUCAAAAUUAUUUGUUUGGUUGCAUAUAGUUGAAAAUUUGUAUCACUUUAUAUUUGUGGUGGUGAGAUAACUCCAUUACAGAAAAGAAAGAUAUUUUUUAUUUGAAAAAAUAAUUAGGUAGCUGAGUUUACUUUCUAUUUAAAUUUACUUUCUUUAACUGCUACAGUUAUAUCUACAACUAAUUCGAGCAUAGUUCCAACUACUGUAAUUGGGCCUCCUCAUGCAGUUCCAAGUGCAACAAUUAGACUCAAACACAUCAAACAAAUACAAAAUUUGGGAUUGCAUGUAGUUAAAACUAUGACUAAUAAUUUAUUUCUAUUUAAAUCUAUAUUUUGAUUAAAAAAAUUUAAAUUUAUAAAAAUAGUAACAAAAUAAUAAAUAUUUUGAACUUUUUAGGAAAAUUUAUAAAUUUUUAUUAUUUUUUAAAAAAAGAUAAAUUGAGAAGGGGUUUUGGUCCAACGGACAAUUUUGGUAUAUUGGACAGACCUUGGGACGAGAGCUCCUUGGCCAUGUUGGCCCAGCUAGGCCGUGCCGUGCAGGGCUGCGGGCCUCUUCUCGGCUUGGCAUGGCCUAGGCCCUUUUUGGGCCGGACUGUGCCGGGACGUUGGGCCUGAAGGAGCAUGGCCCGAAAUGCCGGGCCGGGUUGGGCCCACACAGAUGCUACAGUAUCCAUGCCCGCAGGCCGCUCGGCCCGUUUGACAUCCCUUCUAAGGUUGUAACAACAUUGAUAAGAACAUGGCAACAGGUAUUGCACAAUAAAGAGAGGAGCAAACUAGCUAAAGCACAGAAUUGUACAAUAAAAAGAAAUGUUAUCUCAAUUUCAGUAUCAAUCAAGAUCAUCUGAAAACUCCACAAGGUCACAAAAUGAAAACUCUAGUAUUCAUGCAUAUAUAGAAAUCACAUUGAUUGUUGUUACAUUUGAACUCUUAACAAAGUCAUGCACUUAUUCAUCAAUCUAAAGAUCUUCACAAGAUGCCAUUUUCAAACUAGUAGUGCUGUUCUCUAGAUCUUCAUAGCAAUACAUCAUAUACGAAGUCGUAAACAUACGUAAACCGCGUAUUGAGCUCAUAUAUGAAUCAAUCUUAGUCCAGAUUCAUGGACUUAACUCAAAAGAAAUACUUAGAAAAGAUCGAUUUUGUGGUGGUUUUCUUCUCGCCUAACCAGUGCUGCAUGUGAACUCCGAUCGCAUCCAAGUAUGAUCCACUUCUGCCAUGGAAUCCUACCACUUUGCCUUCUGUAGUAGCGGACGUAAAAUAAAUGCCUGUCUCUUCUCCGAACGGUCCGUACUUGCCUCUGUUGCUGAAGAACGUAAGCGAUUUUAACACCUUCGGGCCGUCAUCUUGAUUGUUGUAGUAGCCACUUAUGCAGUUCAGGAUUUCGUGCGGGUACUCGAACUUAAUCUGCGCAAGUUAGUAAUGAAUCAGUAGCGAGAUAAGUUUAAGACAGAGUUGAGAUUAGUACACAUAAUUUUGGGUGCUUACUCUAUGAUAGGUUUCUCCACUACCUCCGUGUCGCGUAGACCAAACCGAUUGGCCACUCCUGUCGUAUUCGAUCUGUAUCGAGUUUAUGAACUCACCUCGUAAGAUAUAAACUUGUUUGAUCCCUGAAUACACUCCGUCGUCCCACGGCUUACCUCCGUCUCCACCCCACGGUCCCGGUCCGACCGGAACCGGUUCUUUCACCACGCCAUAAGUAACCUAAAAGAGAGUCAAGCAAUGUUCGACGAUUAUUGUCCUUUUACCUUGCCAACCUUUGCAUUGAAUCGACUUUGAAAGGUUCAUUACCUCUUCUCCAUUGUUCCUCAGUGUCGGGACAAGUUUAUUCGAUCGAAAGGAGCUGUUCACCCCCCUAACCGCCAUAUCGCUUACACCAUUUGGAUCACUAGCAUGAUCUUGCUGAUACGAAACCUUUCCUUCGAGAACAUGAACUCCAAUGCUAUCUAUAAACCAUCCUUUCCGACCGUGGAACCCUACAAUCUUUCCUUCGGUCAAGCAAGAAGAGAAAAAUGUGCCCUGCUCAUCCCCGUACGGACCGUAAACCCUCUUCGUCGUGUGAAAUGUGAGCGAUUUGAUCACCGCAGGUCCCAUAUACAUCAUGGUUCCGAAAUAGCCAGUUAUGUAUGUCAAUAUCUCCAUCGGAAAAUCGAAUACUAUCUACAAUACAAGUUACCGAGUUAGUCCAAACACGCAGUUAGCAAUAAAAAUUUACUCCCGAAAACUGUUGUCUCACCUUGUCAGGACUGAUUCCUCCGCUCGUGCCGUGCUUAUUUCCCCAAACAGCCUGCCCAUUUCUAUCAUACAGAACCUUCAUCGAAGUUAUUCCCACAUUGCGCGUUAAGUUAACUUGCCUAACACCUGUGUAUACGCCGUCAUCGAACAUGACACCGCCCCUUCCCCCCCACGGUCCGUAUGCGACGGGCCCUCCCGUAGAUGAUGAACCUUCCUCUACAGCAUAACUCGGAAACGAUGUCGCCUGCAUAUAGUGAUGAAGCUCAACAAUAACCAGAGCCCAAGUAUCUUUGUGUUUCUCAUAUCAUAAUAGAUGUAUGUAAGAAUGAACAUGCACUUGUACAAAGUAGCAGAAAGUCUAGUAUCUCAUACCCUGCUCUGGAGAUUCAUUUCUUUGAAUCGCUGCGAAGGCAGCGCUUCGCUCGGAUAGCUGCCCGUGAGAAUCUUGAAGGUGUCCCCCUUUUCUCUUACCGCAAGAACUAUGUCAUAUCCUCCUUUAGUAGCUCUCUCGACGGAACUAAAGCUACUACAAUCACUGAGUCUCAUACUCUGAGACGGCGCCAAAUCCAUGGAUUGAUUCGGGCUCCACAGUUUCUUGAGGUAGACUCCUAUGCUGUCGAGAUACCACCCUGACCGGCCGUGGAAACCGACUACCUUUCCGCCGCUCACCGGGAGGGAGAAAUGCGUUCCGAGUUCAGAGCCGAACGGCCCGUACUUUGUGAGAUUGCUCGCGAUUGUCAGAGAUCGUAUGACGACGGGGCUGCCGCUCGACAGUGGCCCGUAGUAACCGCUUACUGAAGUGACAAACUCGUACGGGUAUUCGAGCAUCACCUGCCGAACAAUUUGUAGCAGAAACGUCAGAUCGAAAGACAGAAAAAAUUCUGAAAUUCUUCCUUAGUUUUCUCGGUUCGCGACCUAUUACUACUGUCGAAAGGGCAGUCUGUGAUUCAGAUUACAUCAGUCUGAACUAGAUUUUCACACUAUCAAUCUCUGACAUGAACAGUCUGAUGCACUAUGUAGACAGAUAAAUUAUGGUUCAGUAACAUAAACAGACCUUGUCGAUUCUGGAGCCGCCGUUGCCGCCGUGCUUCCCCGACCAAACCGAGCUGCCGUUGCGGUCGUACUCGAUCUGAAUCGAAUCGAUUGCGGCGCCGUGCACGACCACCACCUGUCUCACAGUGGUGUAAACACCAUCAUCCCAGGGGCUCCCUCCUAGCCCUCCCCAUGGCCCUACCUCUACCAGGUUCUUCUCCUUCCCAUCCUUGAAACUCUAUUAUAUAAAUAUACAUACAUACUAAAUCACACACCAACAUCAAAAUCAAUUCAUGUAAACUGCAACUAAAAUUAACUAACCAUGCUCUUCUAUGUUCUGCGAAAAAUCUAAAAAUUAACUGCAAUGCAAACAAGCACCAAAAAUCAACUCAUAUUGAAACAAAAACUGCCAUAUUCUUCUAUUGAUCAUCUUUGAAGCUCUACAAAUUAAUUGCACUCCAACACCUAAAUCAGCUCAAAUACUAUCACGAGCAAAUUACUAAAAUUUGCACUUAAACUUUAAUUUGUUCUAAUUUUGGCUCGAUUAUUUAAAAUUGUUACAAUCAAAUUUCACACCGUAAUUUAAUUGGCUAACCGUUGGCAUACGACUAAUGUAAAAAUGAUGUAACAUUUUAAUUAUUCGCAAUCACAAUAUUUUUCACAGAAUCUACGUUAAAGUAGAGUGAAACUCUACGAAUUAAUUACACACCAAAAACCAAAAUCAAUCCAUGUACUAUUCCUAAGCAAAUAAAUCACUAAAAAAUGCAAUAAAAAUUACCAUCCUCUUCCAAUUUGGGGGGCACGUACGUACAAGGUUAUGUUCUUUACUACAACACAGCUAAGGCGUGGUUUACUUAUAUAAUAUGAGGAAUUCAAUGUUCAAUAUCACAUCAAUCAACGAAUUGAAUGCUCCAAAUGGAACUAGAUUCCCAGGAAUUUUCUUUUUCCUUUUCUUUUUCUUUUUCUUUUACUUUUUUUUUUUUUUUCUUUUUGUCUCGUUUGAGAGAUUCCAAUAAUUCACGAAGGAGAUUAAAAGCGCACGAAUUUUAUUUUGAGAGAACGAUAAACAGCACCGAAAUUUUGGGUGCGUGUGCGUCUUUCAAGAAUAAAAGAAUGUCAAAAACACGGAAGGAAUUAAGGAAUCUCUUUUGCAUGAACAUCGAAUUAAUUAAGAAACAAAAGCGUGUAGAGAGUCUCUUAUCGUGGUUGUUCUUUUUAAUUUUAAAAAUAAUUAUUUAUAUAUUUGUUAAACAUUUAAAAUAUUAUAUAUAUAUAUAUAUAGUGAGGUUGGUAUGUUUUCGGAAACACAGAGCCUUCCGUGCUUUUAAGUUAUUUUUGAUGUUAAGACUUUCGAAUCGACGAUCGGCUCCGUUAGAUUUAAUCUAGAGUAUUUGAAGUAUCUGGAAAAUAAAUUUUGCGAUUUUUCGAUAUCAUUUGCCUAGCGAUCGAAGUGGCUCAAAAUCAACGGCUGAAAAUAAAAAUCUUAUAAAAUUGGAUGAUUUGAUAUUAAAAUUUUAAAUCAAAAAUAUUGAUAUUGUUUUAUAUAGUAUAAAAAAUUUUCUAUCAAAAUUUUAUAUAAUUUGGAUAUUUCUAUACCGUUAAACUUGCAAACGGCUGACCACGGCUAUUAAAAUUAUUGAUUUUAAGUCCCUUCGAUCACUAAGCAAAUAAUAUCGAAAAAUCGCAAAGUUUAUUUUCUAAGUAUUUCAAGUAUUCUAGAUCAAGUAUAACAGAGCUGAUUGUUAAUACGAAGGUCCCAACAUUGAAAAUAACUUGGAAGCACGGAGAGCUUCGUGCUUCCAGAAGCAUACCAUUCUCUCUCUCUCUCUCUCUCUCUCUCUCUCUCUCUAUAUAUAUAUAUAUAUAUAUAUAUAUAUAUAUUUGAAUUAUGCUACUAUACUAUUGAUAGUACCAAGUGUUUGAUGCUAUUGAGUUUUUGGCCGUUGGAUGAAAAAAUGUGCGGUUAGGAUGAUAGUGGUCCUCUAGAGUUGAGUUGAUGGUUGGUUGAAUAGUAUAAUGUAACAAAUGGAAAUGAUUAAAAAACAGAUCUAACGGCAGGAAACUCGAUAGUAUCAAAAGCUUGGUACUAUUGAUAGUAUAGUAGCCAAACUCUAUAUUUUUACUCUUUUUUGUUUCAAAUAUGUUUUUUUGUGUAUUUCUUCGUUAUUCAAAAAAUAAAUCCGACGUUACCUACGUCAUCUCGAAUUAAAGUCAGAUUAAAUUUUUACCAAAAUUAAAAAAAAAUCAAAAUAAUUUUUUUGUCUCUAAUAUACGGAUAAAUAAAAAAAAUUGGUGACGGUAGAGAAAUAUAUUUGAAAGAAUAAAAAGUCAAAAUGCUUUUUGGUAUCUGACUUAAGAGGAAACAAGAACAAUUGGGAACAAUAAAAGUAUAUUUGUAAGGGUAAAAUAGUAAUUUUAUAAAGAUAAUAACUGAGUUCAUUAACAGAAUUUAAUUUUAGAAAUAUAUUUGAAAGAACUCAGAAUGUUACAACGUUUUUUUUAUAUUAAUCUUCCAAGUGAGGUAAAUAAAAAAGACUGAAAUUUUUCAUAAAUAUAUAAGCAAUUGCCUCUUAAUUAUAAUAAUUAUAUUUUUAAAAUUUUAUAAAAUAAUUUAAUAAGUAGUUUAAUAAUUACACACCUGUUUUGAUCAGAUGUCGUGUAUAUGAUCUUAUAAUACAUCAGAAGAUAACAAAAUUUAUUUUUUCUUCUGAUUUUGAUAGUUAAGUUUGACAAUUGAAGGGUUGAACUGAACUUUAAUUUUUAUUACUUUUCUUACAUGUUAGAGUACAAAAAAUAAAUAUCUUUGUGUUUUGAAGCUUCAUAAAAUUAUAUGCUACACAAACUACUAAAACUAUUGUUUUGUUAAGAACUUUAAUUACUGACUGUCCUAGCGCAAGUAGUAAACGGCUUAGUGGUUGGUAUCUGAUAUUUCAAAUUCAAAUUCUAGUUGAUUCACAUUUCCAGCUAAAUUUAAAUCUAAUUGUUAAAAUUGGAAGUUCAUGUACAUGCUGCUGAGGCUCCUUAUACAUUUUCCAAAAAAAUUUAAUUGACUUUAUUUAGAAAUAAAUUUAUUUAUUUACAUUAAAUCAGAGUGCAAUUCAAUUUUAUUCUUCUUUACUAUUUGGCAAAAAGAUGAGAAAUUAUUUCAAUAUGAUUAUUUUUGGCAUUCAAUUUUCAUACAUAUAGAUAUAGUAAUAAAAAUGUUAUAACUAAUCUAAGAAGGGGUAUGGAAAUUAUUGAUAAUAUAUACCUAGUAAUAAUAAAUUCUCAUCCAAUUCAACUUCAAUAUUUUUGAAUCGAAUGAUAGUCGUUUGUACAAUGAGAAUUCCCUAAAAAUCCUUUUUAAUUAAUUGAAUUUUUAUUAACUUAUCAUAUCAAACAACAUAUAUAAAAAAAUUAAAAUUUUAAUUGUUUAAAUAAAACAAAAAUUGGGCAAUAUCCUAAAUUCGAACCCAUGAAUGAGCAAAACGAGCAAAGCUCCAUGUGGUUAAGGAAUUGAGGCUUGGAGUGAGAAUCGGAAUAAUUUAUUUAUAUUGUUGGUGUUUAGUUCGAGUGAUUGACAUUUUGAUUUUUAUUUCAAGAAAAGUAGAAUCCUUCUUUUUUCGGAAGGGAUUAGAAAAAAAAAAAAAAAAUUUCCCUCACAAAAAAUUAUUUAAAUUCAAAUAUUAAUCUAUAUUUAAUUUAGAAUAAAUUGUAACUGUUAAAUUUGAAUUGAAUUAUGGGUUCAAUUUUUUAUUUUUAUUUUCUUAAGUUCAAAUUAAAUUCUAAUAUAAGUUUGAUUUUGAAUUUAGUUCUAAAUUUCAAUUUUGACUUUAAACUUUAGUUUGAAUUGUGAAUUCAAAUUUUAUUUUGAGUUUAAAUUUAGAUUCAAAUUUUGAUUAUGAAUUUGGAUAGUAAAUUUAAAUUCUGAUUAAAAUAUAAAUUUCAGUUGGAAUACAAUUCCUAUUUUGAUUACUUCUUUAUUUUUUUUUGACAGAUAGGUAGCACGCUACCCGCUUCAUUUAUUUUAUUUAGAAAUAAACUUAGCUGGAAAUGCGAAUCAAUUAGAAUUCGAACUUGGGUCUCGGAUACCAACCACCAAACCCUUUGCCACUUGUUCUAGGGACGGUCGGUAUUUUGAUUAUUUUUAUGAUCUAAACAAACGAGGAGUUUUAUCAAUCCAUUUAUGGAUCCCAUUCCAUUCCUAUUCCUAUUCCAAUUUCGAUUUCUAUUUUGAAUCAAACGUGCCGUGUAUAUCCAAUAAUAAGAUUAUCUCUAUGUAGAAAAAAAAAAGUACUUUUUAUUUAUAAGCUAUGGAGGAGGUAAACAACUUUUAUUUAAAGUCACUCUAUCAGAUAACUGCGGUUGAAACUGUGACUAAUUUAGACAUAAAUUCAACUUCAGCAAUUGAGCUUCUUUGUGCUAUUUUAACUGCAGCAACUGAAUUAAAAAAUAUCAGAUUAAAGCGCCGAAUUUGAAUCUGCACGCAAUUAUAACUACAAUUAAGUUAUAAUUAUACGCAACCAAAGAGCCCCUUAGAUUUUUUAGAUGUUGUGGAUUGCAUCCCAUUAAGAAUUUCACUUCAGUACUUGAAAAUCUUUGGUGGACCAACUCCAAUCAAUCAAUGAGCUCAAAAGAGGGAGUGAGAAGAGAAUGGAUACAUUACAUAAAGGAUAUAUGUAUAUAACAACAUGCAAGUGCAUGCAUGUGUUGUGUAUAAUAUCCUUGCUUAUUACACUCCUUAAAUCAAAUGCAACCCUUUUCCCCUUUAUUUUUUGUGAUUUUAGACACAAUAACACUACAUAAAACACACAUGCAUGCACGCAAAGGACACCCAUUUUUACCCUGUGUGAUAUCCUCAUUUAUUACACCAGACAUGUAAGUAUAGCAUAUAUAAACCCUUUUGAACCUAGUUUGGUCCCAGGUAGACGCCGACCGCGUCGAGGAGCGCACCGGAUCGACCGAAAAAUCCAGUGAUCUUUCCGUCUUCCACGGGAACGGAGAACGCGGUUCCCUCUUCAGCACCGUAGGGUCCGUACGUGCUAACAUUGGUGCCGAAAGUAAGCGAACGGACGACGUUCAGGUCGCCGAAGUUACCGUAGUAGCCUGAUAUUGAUGUGAGGAACUCCCCUUCCUGGAGAGAUAUCUGUGAACGAAAAUAUAUAACAAAUGAAGCUUAUUGUGAUCACUAAAUGUUUAAUUAAUACAUUAUAUGUGUCUAGUUUUAUGUAGUAUUAAUUAAAAAGAGUGUGUGCACAAGUUGUGUGAGCAUGCAAAUUAAGAAGUUUAAUUGGUAACAAUAGUAUAUGGAACAUUAAUUAUAUAUGCUGCUCACAAAUUAAAAAUCAGUUUAGAAAAUUUAAAUUAGCGUAAUUUUAAAAAUAUUGUUUAAAGCGACUCAUCUGUUUUUUACAUGACGUAUUAUAGAUCUACAGUAUAAACUGAUUUGACGAAGAGACUAUACUCACAAAUAAAUUUUGGCUAAAUUACAUAAAAUCAACAUGUCAAAAUUUGAUUUUUCGCUUUCCCCCCCUGUUAUUUCAAAAUCUAUACUUUGCCCUCUUGUAAAAUAAAAAAUGUUCACAGGGGGGUACGGUGUGUAAAAUGACUAUUUGGCCCUAACCAUUUUUGUCUUCUCUCUCAUCUUCCUCAACCGCCGCCUCGAUCGGCCACGAUUCACACCUCGAUCGGCCGCGAUUUCUCUCCAUUUUCUUCUCCACCUGCUCUCCUUCUCCUCCUGCACCCUUGUCGUCCCUCGAUUUCGGCGACAGUAGAGAGGAAAUCGAGAUGGGCGCUGAUGGAGAGGUAGGCAAGGGCAACGGGGGUGAGGGCGAGGCAAUGGAGGAGGGCGAGGCGGCGGCAAAGCGGCGAGCCGGAGGGAGGCGAAGCAACAGGGAAGAGGGCAGAGGGAUUUUUUUGGCAUAAAAAUAUUUUAUAACGGAACCAUAACGGAUCACUAACGGUAGGGGGUGAAGUGCAUAUUUUUUAUUUUACAAGGGGACAAAGUGUAGAUUUUUAAAUGACGGGAAGAAAAAAAGUAAAAAAUCGGAUUUUAACAUGGUGAUUUUCUGUAAUUUAGCCAUAAAUUUUUGCAACACUUUACAAACUAGCGUACGUGGCAGUGUUUAAUGGGUGAAAAGGAUGUAAAUCACAAAAAGAUAAAUAUGAAAUUCAGUCAUUCAGUUGUACAGUUUGUAAACUAUUACGAGAUUUGUUUGUAAGUAAAGUAUAGUGAAAACCACCGAGUAAACUAUUGUGACAGAGUUAUGAGGGAUUAAACAUAGAAUCUCGUUUAGAAAAGUGAUGGGCACUUUGGACCACCUUUCACGGACCAAGUGAGGUCGUAAAAGCAAACGCCUUCAUAUAAAGCAGAAGUUAGGCCAAACAGAAGAUCUAAUUAAAUACCUACUUCAGUAAGAUCUCCUCCAUUGUCUCCAUACUGAGGAGUUCACUGAAUCUUCUCGUCAACCUCGUACAUGACCUGGACGGCGUCAAUGGCGCCACCGUGCCAAACUCUGAUGCCCAGAAUCUUCGUCGCGGCCCCCAUAUCCCAUGCGCCGCCGCCACCGCCACCCCACUUCCCCACCUUCACCACUCCGGCCUUUGCAUCAAGUAGCCGAACACAGAUAGUAAAUUACUAAGAAUAUAAGCUAUAAAUAUAUAGUAAUCAAAUGUUGCAAUAUGAUAAAAUCAUGUAACUCACCAUUGGAAGAACUACUUGUUUGUUAUGUACCACAAGAAGUUUUUGUUAAAAUGCUUGCUUUGUGGAUGUGAUGCAUGCAUGGUGAGGGUAUUUAUAGGGAGGCAGAUGAUGUUCAUGGUGAAUUAAUUAACUAUAUUUUGGGGAUUUUAAUUAAGGGGAUAAGUAUGAGGCUAAUUAAGUUUGGCAGCACGAGGAUUAAUGUGGAAAACUAUGUGUUUAAGUUCUCUAAGUGCGUGACACCCUUAUUAAUUUUCUUGUCCCAAACCAACAACAGAGUUCCCACUAGUUGCUUUAGCAAUCGAUCAAGCACAUGGCUUUAACCUUUGGCUACGACUUUUUUAUUUCCCCUGUUAUUUUUUAAAAAAAAAGAAAAAUAAAAGAAGUUGGUAGGCUCUUUAAGUUUCAAGAGACCCAAAUAUAUACAAUCGAAUAUUUAUUAUAAUAUUUUUUACAUUCUAGUAUAAUAAGAUAACUGCAGAGCAACUAUUUAAGUGUCGUGGCACGGGAUCGCGUAGGAAACUUACCGGUACGUUACGGCACGGUGCGUGUCAAGCCGUGCCGAUGAAUACCGGUCAAAAAAAUUCUUGUGCACCGAUACAUAAUAGUAUAAAAUAUUUUUUUUUUUUAACAACAAAAUAUUUUAACUAUUUAUUAUAUCUUUUUAUCACAUCUUUUGAACUUUGUUGAGAAAAUUACUUACUAAUUUAAAGAAUAAAAAAUUUUAAGCUGUGCUAUCGGCACGGGGUCUGUAUCGUACCGGUAUCUUAUUGGCACGGUACGGCACGGUGAAUACAGCCCGUACUGACGGGCACUUAAAAUCUUGCUGUAGAGAACAAAUCGAAUCCUCAAAUUUUUAAUUCAUAUUCCAAAUAAUAACCAGUGAAACUGUUAAGAAAAUGCUAUUCAAAACUUCAAAAAUAUCUAUAUAAUAUAUCUCUUUUAGACCAAAAUAUUUUUAUUAAUUUCCAAACGUUCCUUCAAUUAAUUAAAUUAGAAAACAAUUUCCAAAUAUUUUUAUUAAUUAAAACUUUCUUCAUUAUGAAUGCCAACAUAUGAGUAUUACUGAACUUUUGUAGGGAUAAAAAUUAAAAAUUAAAUUUUAUUGAGAUAUUUUUUACUAUUUCAUAUAUUUACAGAAAGAGGUAUGCAAUUAAUUCAAUUUAAAAUAUAUAACCCAAAAAAAUCAAAAUAAUUCAGCACCUCUUUUUCCAAACAGUAAAAUUAAAUUUGAGUUCGCUUUAACUAAUGUCAUAGAGCGAGUUGGAAUUGCAAUGAGUUCCCAAAUACGGCAACGAAUUUACCGAGAGAGAGCUCCCAAAUACGGCAACGAAUUAACAGUAGAGAGACAGAGAAAGAGUCGCAAAGUCGGCGCCGUAGUAUUUUUAUCUGCAUGAACCCCCGACUCCCUCUCCUGCGAUCGCGUCAUCAUCCGUCGAUCGCGAUGCUUUGAAAUUCGCGGUGCUCGCGUGAUGAAACAGCGAGUGGAAGGGAACGGUGUAACGCGGCGAUCGUCCUCAACGCACGCGCGCGCUCCACGUGCGCGAUCGCCACAGGUCGUAUCGAAGUAAACUCUGCGUCCGCUCAGAACUAGAACCCUCUGAACACCUCUCCAAAUCUCUCUCGCUCUCUCUCUCCCUCCUCGUAUUCCCAAAACGCCCCUUCCCCCACCAAUCAUGGCCCUUCCCAAAACGCCCCUCCCCAAACUCCUCUCUCUCCUCCUCCUCCUCCUCCUCCUCUCCUCCUCUUCUUCGUCCUCCUCCUCCUCCUCCGCCUCCUAUUCCGAGCUCUUCGAAUCAUGGUGCGAGGAGCACGGGAAGAGCUACGCCUCCGAGGAGGAGAAGCUCGCGCGGUUCCGCGCCUUCGAGGACAACGCCGCCUUCGUCGCCGCGCACAACGCCGCCGCCGAUGGCGCCUCCUCCUACGCGCUCGCCCUCAACGCCUUCGCCGAUCUCACCCCCGACGAGUUCCGCGCCGCUCGCCUAGGGCUCGCCCCGGGUCUCGCCUCCGCCGCGGCGCCGCGCCGCGCCGGGGAUCGCCCCGUGUUCCGGGGGUUCAGCGGCGACGUGCCCGAGUCGAUCGAUUGGAGGGAGAAAGGGGCCGUCACCGAAGUCAAAGAUCAGGGCAGCUGUGGUACGAUUCUUAAUUUCUAUUAAACUUGCUAUUAUUGGAUGGUUCUCUUGAUCUUGGACUAAUGAAGUGUUUUUAGAAUACGAUUUGUUAAUUUGGAUAUUGGGGGAUUUUGAUUGAAGUUUCAAUUUAGGAACGGUUCUUGAUACUCUCUGUAAAGAGCUCUUUUUCCUUCCAAACGUAAAGAAGUUGAGGCAAGAUCCUCUUUAUUCACUUUUGGGAAUCACCUCAGGUCUUGUUUUGCCCAGUUGGAGCUCCCUUAUUAAAGCGAUUGAGAUGCGCUACCACUUUUAAUAUAAAUUUGCCAAAAAGCUUACUGUUGAAGGUAGAAGUCGAUGCUUCAGAUUGGAGCUUUUGCUUUGAGGCUAUAAAAGUCUAGUCUUUGUUUGAUUGCUAUCUUCGGGUUCUGCUUCUUGAGUAGAGGAGAUGUUCAAGAAGCUUAGCUCAUGCACUAGUUAGUAAUCAAGAUGAGAAAAAUACGAUGGCGGAAAAUUAUGUAUCAGCUCUUAUUUAGGCUAGUUGAUGAUGUAGAUCUACGUUUCAUAUUUGACCUCACUUUGCUUGUUCUUGGAGAAAAAAAAAAAAAAAAAAAAAAAACUUCAUACUAAAAGUAAAAGGUAUAGUUGAAGGAGAAAGGUGGGAAUUUCUAUUUACGCAGUUGUAUUGAUCCUUAGGAAUUAAUAAGCUGAGAAGCAAACAAAAAACAGUCAUUGGUUUCUGAAUCUCGAAAAAGGUUAUCAGUUUGUUCUUAAUGUUUGUGAACUAUACCGAACUUUAUUUUGUUCAUUUUUAUUGUUUGGUUACUUGCCUAGGUGCUUGCUGGAGCUUCUCAGCAACUGGAGCAAUAGAAGGAAUUAAUAAGAUUGUGACUGGAUCUCUAGUCAGCCUUUCUGAACAGGAAUUAAUUGAUUGCGACCGAUCUUAUAAUAAUGGUUGUGGCGGUGGACUCAUGGAUUAUGCUUUUCAGUGGGUGAUAAAAAAUAAAGGAAUCGACACAGAAGAUGACUAUCCAUAUCUAGGCACAGAAAAGACAUGUAAUAAGAACAAGGUAGUAUUUCACAUCCUGCCAAUAAAAUUGCCCUCGUUUUCUUCUCUUCAUAUAUUUUACUCCAUCAUAUCAAAUGCUAAAGAAUGACCGUGUUUUCCUAUUACAGAUGAAUCGUCGGGUUGUAAACAUAGACAGUUACACUGAUGUGCCCUCGAACAACGAAAAAUUAUUACUCCAGGCUGUGGCAACACAACCUGUGAGUGUAGGAAUAUGUGGUAGUGACAGAGCAUUUCAGUUAUAUUCGCAGGUUUGUUCUGCUUUUAAGAUUUAAAAGUAUUACAGGUUUGUUCUGCUUUCAUGUUCCUCUAAUAUAAGAGCAUUUAGAAAAGUUUCUGAAGGAUAUUCAUGAAUUUAGAUUAUGUAGGGACAUGUAUGUAAAUCAUAAUUUUAUUUAGGGUGUUUAUUAGUAAAUAGUCAGGUUUUUUGGGUGUGUAUUUGUAAAAAAAAAUUUCCAUUUUCUGAUGUAUACUUUAUCUUAGGCCUAACUUAAGUGCUCAUCUUAUUUUUCCUAUUAGGGUAUAUUUACCGGACCAUGUUCGACAUCAUUGGAUCAUGCUGUGUUAAUUGUUGGUUAUGGUUCACAAAAUGGAGUCGAUUACUGGAUUGUGAAGAACUCAUGGGGAACAAGCUGGGGUAUGGAUGGGUAUAUCCAUAUGCUUCGUAAUGGCGAUAGCUCACAAGGGGUUUGUGGCAUUAAUAUGUUACCUUCCUACCCUACAAAAACAAGCCCUAAUCCUCCCCCUUCACCCGGACCCGGUCCAACUAAAUGCAGCCUCCUGACCUACUGUCCAGCUGGAAGUACCUGCUGCUGCUCUUGGCGUGUCUUAGGACUGUGCCUUUCAUGGAGUUGUUGCGAACUGGACAAUGCAGUUUGCUGCAAGGAUCAUCAGUCCUGCUGCCCGCAUGAUUAUCCUGUUUGUGAUACCAACAGGAAACAAUGCUUUAAGGUACUUUUGCGCCGCUAAAGAUAAAGAUAAUCUAGUCGUGAAUUAAUCAUUAGUCAUGCUUGAGUAGCUACUGGUAAACCAAAAAAAUUGUUUAUUCCUUGUCGUUUUGCUAACUUAGAUGCAGUCAAAAUGUCCAAAAGUUGAGAGGUGCACCUUUUCCAGCUUGUUUAUCUCAAGGUUCAUCUGGCCAUGGAUUUUGUCAAUUUUGAGUUGUAUUUUUCUUUUUCUGGUAAAAUAUUGAGUUGUCUUUUAUGUCAAUCUGUUCUGCUAAUUUUUGUUCAUUUCAGAACUUACCAUUACACAUUAACCUAGAGUCUCCUAUUAGUUCACUGCAGCAGCUUAUUGUCCUUGCUUUCUCGUCUGCUUACUCUUAUGGGUUGUCCUGACUUGCACAAUCGCAGGCUAAUGGGAAUUCCACAGGCAUACAAGCCAUUAAGAGGAAAGAUGCUUUACUGAAACAUGGAUCUUGGAAUAAUUUACUUGACCUGUGGGAUGUGUAGAAUAUUACACCAAUAACAGUAAGGUUCUCUUUUUUCUUAUUUUCAUGUCAUUCCUUUUUUUUUCCCUUCUCUUUUCAGGCAAAAUCUCUCUCUCUCUCUCUCUCUCUCUCUCUCUCUUUUCUUUUUUUUUCGUCUCACACUUCAAUUUUGCAUUGACUUCCCGAAUUCCAGAUUUCAAUGGAUAUGCUGUAUCUUUCCCUCGAUGUAAAGUUGCGGAUCGGUAAUUUACUUCAGAUAUCCCUCUACUCAUUCCGAUUUGCCAAUUGAUAUACUUACAGAAGUCCCUCCAUCUUAUACCGAUUGAUAACCUUUAGUUGCGUGUGGUGUUCUGUGGUCAUUGAUGAAUUGUUAUUUGUGCAAUUUAAUGUUCAAUAAUCCCAACUAGUAUACCACUUUAUAUGAUGAUAGAUUUUGUAUCAUUAAUGUAAAAUUGCUUGUAUGAUCGCAAUAAGUUUGUAUCGUUGACUAGAGUUUUAAAUCGUUCAGUUUGUAUCAGCACUCUAUUAAAGCAUUCUGUGAUUAUUUAUAGCUCUAUUUGGCAUCCUCUGUUUGAAGCUUAUUCAUUGCAAGUUCCUCUCGAAAUAAUCUACAUUGAUAGUAAUCAGUUACACUUGUGCCGAGAAUAGUUCAAAUAUCUCCAAUGAGUCCAAUCUGUUGUAAACUUAGCUUAAUGAUUCUAUAUGUAGCGGUAUCUGGCGAUUUCAACUGCGCUCUAUAGUCUUUUGAAUUAAUGCGCAUAUAUACGUUUUUUAAAUUUGUGCACAAUUGUCUGAUUUGAUAAUAGCAAAAGGGGAUCUUGUCUAGAGUGACAAAUUAAAAGAGAAUAUUCUAAUUGCCUUCGAUCCCUGUAUUGUAAUAAACAAGAAUGUAGCAUACUUGUAUGUGGUUGUCCUUCUGCAUGUUCAUGUUUGAGUAAAACAACAUUGUUUCUGAAGUCUAUCUCUGGUAUGAUGUCGACUUUUUCAUAAUCUUUCCUGCAUCCUUUGUGCUGUGUUUGUUACAGCAAAGAAUUUUUAAGGUAGAGAAUUUAUUAUUACUCACUAAUGGCUGCAGAAGAGCAAUUAAGAAGAAAUUAUCAUAUGUGCUGUUUAUAACAUGAAUUAGUUUCUUAGUAUAGAUCAAGAUACCUGCCUAAAUACAGACAUGUGAAUGAGCAUGCGGUAUCUAUGCAUGCACAUGUGCAGCGUGUGCUUGUCUGCGCGCAUGGUGGUGGGCGAGCCUGAAGGAAAUUUUGCAGAAUCUAUUGCGUAUUACACACUCUUUGAUCUAGUCUUUAUGCAAUAUGAAGACUUUUUCCCCUUCCUUUUUGUGAUAUCAAAUCUAAGUUUGAUUUUAGCCAAUUGCAUGAUGUGCAAUUUUGAAUUUUUCACUUUGUGGCAGUGGUAACAUGGUAGAAGUAACCCUCUCCUGUCAAAACAAAUGACGCAACUUUUAGGCCAUGUUUGGAUGCAUGAAUAUUUUGUUAAGUAUUUUUUUUUUUUUCAAUUUUCUCAUGUUUGGAUGAGGAGUAUGAUGAAAUAUUUAAAAUCAGAUUCCAACUUCAAGUUAUAUUUUGGAAAUAAGAUAAAUUAUCUCACAUGUGUAAUAUGCUAGCCUACCAAGUUGUAAAUAUCUAGUUCUUUCAAGGAGUUAAAAAUCAAAUUCUUCGGUUACAGUCAUACCUACAAAUCUUUGUGCUGAAUAAGUUAUUCAAGUUGGAUAACUUAUUCGAACAUCCAAACACGACGGUUCUUAGUUGGUUCAUUUGAAAGCAUUAUUAGAUAUCGACAAGCGAGAAGGAUUAAGUUUCCUUUCCUCCACGGCAUUAUAAAUAAGCUCAUUAGUGGUAUUUCCUAUUAUGAGAAAAUGGUUUGUUCAAUAUGAUCAUAGCACACAAAGAACAUGUAAACUCUAUCAUCAAUUACACCCAACAAUCCUCAUGAAUUCAAUAACAACAAACCCAAUCAAAUCCCUCCCCUAAAAAGAAGAAAAUUUAUAAAAGAGAGAAAAGCAUCCAACACUGAGAUGUAAGAAAAUAACCUCACCUGCCUCAAAAAACAGAGGCUUAUGUUUAUUUCAAAAGCAAAUCAAAGAUCAAAGAACAUAUGAAGGAUUAUCACUUGGAGUCGUCAGUUGGGUUCCAGUAUCUGUUGGUGAACCACAUAGUAUCGGCAGCCACGGCGUUCCCGUCCUGGUUGCGGUGCCAACUGUAGUAGGCGUGCGUCUUGUUCUUGAUCUCGAAUAUGGCAUGGCCGAAGCUGGCCUCCCUGAAAGCUGAGUAGCUAGGCUGCGGCUCCGUCAUGCUGUAGUGUUAUUCAGGAAAAAUUUAAGUUUUUUAUCAAACCAGAGGAACUAAAUUCGGGCAGUGUCUGUGAAAAUGCUUUCAUAGAGGAUUUGAGUCUUUGCAAGAAUCUUACUUGUUGGCAAGCCCUUCGAUGUUUCCGCCAUCGCCGAUUGUAAUGUAGACCGGAGCUGAUUGAUCAGAGACCGGGGUGCAUUUCGCAUUCGUGAUGUUGUAUGCGAUAUUUGAUAUCCUAUGCUGCAAUGAGGGGGAGAAGCGGCAAAUUAAGAAUAAAUCGAAUCAGUAUGCUCCUAUUGAUUUUGCAAUUCGUACUAAGGUAGGAUAGUCAUCAGGUAGAUUCAAGGAAAACAGAAAAUAAGUAGGGAAAACAAAUCCAAGAGGAAAAAAAAAGAAAAUUUUUGCCCAAAAUCGUCUACUUAAUAUCUGAAAUAUAACUUGAAAAGGACUGAAUAAUGAACAAAUUACAAAUAAUACAGAAAAAACUCACGAAACUAGAAACUUACACUGCGUUCGUAGGCAUGAACAUGGCCAGCAAAGACCACGUCGACUUUGUAUUGCACAAACCAUGAUUCAAAUUGUACCCUCAUGGUUUCGCCCUCCAUAUAGUGGUAGUUGUAGCUGUUAUACCACGGCGAGUGCAUGAGAACGAUCAACCACGGGGUCACAGUUCUGUUCACUUUGGCGAGCUCAGUCUGAAGCCAUUGGUACUGCGGAGUGUACUUACCUAGUAAAGAAAGGGAAACAAAAUUAAGUACCAAAUAGUUGAACUAUCUUGAAGAGAGAGGCUACAAAUCCAUUACAUCAAACUUGGAUUCAAAAGUUUAUUCUAACCGUAUGCAGAGUAUGAUGCAAGGACGAUGAUGUGGGCGGAGGCUCGCUUGAUCGAAUACCAGAAAGGAGCCGUGCUGUUCGAAGCCUUGUAGGGGGUCGGAAACCUGUGUAGGAAUGGUUUGAAUGGCUCAGUUUCACCCUGCAAUUGUACAUCAGCGUAUCAGUUUCAGUUUUUCCUUUUCUUUCGGUUGUAAAGUCAGCAUACUAGUUCAUUGAGAUCUUAUUUGAAAAGUAAAGCUUUUGUAAACUGUAUUAUAAUAGAGUUUACAGGCUACAUCAGGUGAAUUUUUUUUUUUUUCAAGCUUGAACAACAUCAACUCAUGACAGAGAAUAGUACAGUGAUUGAGAAAGCUUUACAGCACAAGAAAAGGUCGAGCCAUGAGCAUAAAAUGUAAGUUCUCUUUCUAAUUAUUUCUAACAAUUCUUGCUUUUUCUCUUGCUUUAAUUUCCUCACUAACCAUGACUAAUGCUUCCCCUUUUCUUAAAUUUCUAAAGGUUGAGCAAUGCUUAUUUCAAUUUCACCUUUUUCUUCUUUAUAUUCCCCUUGUAUCAUCUGUUCAUGUGGGUUGAGAUGUAGAAGACAUAACAGCAAAUAGCAAAUGAUCAUAUACACAUUAUGAUGUUCGCAAAUGAUCGAAAACAACACUAAAAUUAAUGUAUACUUAUUUUUGUUAGCUGUUUACUCACAAUUUCAGGAGCAAAAUCGAUCUCAUGGUUUCCGACUGUCCAAAUCCAAGGCUGGUAGGCGGCGCUUCUCUCAAUAAACCGGCUCCAGGUAUCCCAUCUCACAUUGUCAUGAAACGGGUAGUCAUCGGCAUAACUGAGGUCACCCACAAAAAGCAACGCCCCAGAGUUCGAAUUGGAGUCGUAGUGUGAGAGCGUAAUGUUUGAAUCAUAAGUUUGCCCAAGAUCACCUGCACGAAAGAACUUAGAUUGCAUUAUAGUACACAAAAACCGACUAGACUUGGUGCCAAAAUAACUACGGCAAGGAAUGUACAUCCAUAAGGUGCUCUGAAAACUUUAUAGGUGUUAAGAUCUCGUUUGGUGUCGACAUUAAUAGUGCAGGAAUUGAUGUACUCUAAUUUACCAUGAAAAUGCAGAUUCGGCUUACCUGUUUUGUGAAUAACAAUUUCUAUUACACUGACAUCGGUUCUCGAAAGCAUUUGUUGUGUACAUGUUUAUGUGGAACCAGAGGAUAAACUAAAAAGAGAAAAGGAGAACCCAUGAAGGGAAUUUACCAAUGAGGCCAAAAGUAUACGGAACAUCGGGACCGACUUUAGGUGGACUUUUGAACCAGAACUGCCUUUCUGUUUGCCCGACUCCGACGGUAUAGUAGUAAGUUGUAUCAUACUGCAAAUUACCGAAAAAAAUGAGAAUAAUUUAUUUAAGUUAUUUGCUUAUAUUCGAAUUCAUAAGCUGUGAAAGUGAGUAGGAAUCACCAUCAAAUCCUUGAGGACACAGUGAUGAAUGUAUCCCGAGGUGUAGUUGUAGAAUUGAUAGCGAGUGUAGCUGCCCUUGGCGGAUUUGUUGAGCUUGUCCUUUGAGGUUCCAUAGAGCACCUUGCUAGAUCCUGGCUCGUCGGCAGUAGUCCAUGAUACGAUCACGGCCGAGCCCUCAAGAUCACCUUGAGUUAUGUGAACCUUCGUCGAGCAAAAAGAUCAAACACUUUAGGUGAGAAGUUCACUUAAGAAUGAGAACAUAUAUGAUAAAGAAAGAUAUGAAACUGAUCAGAAUGAAGGAAAAAAGCUUAGUAGGAUGCAUUCUAUAGGACAAAAAAGGUAUAACAUGUUUGACAGUUUCUAAUGUAUGACUCGCAAAUAAGAACAUGACAACAUUUCUAAUUACUAGUCCUAUACUUGUUAAGAGUUAAGACUACUACUUCCUGUGUUGUUUCCUAUCCGAUUGAUUUGCGGAUAAUAGAAUAAAUUUCACAUUUGCACAAAAUAUAAUUGUAUAUAUACCCUGCUGAGCUUUGUUUGUACAUAUUUAAUCAGUAAAUAGCUUGAUUUCUUAUGUUCAUACCUUUUGAAGUCAAAGUUUUGCAUCCAUGUCUUUCGAAAGCCCAGUUAAGUAUAAGGAUAAAUUUAAGCAAUGAUUCACGCAAAUGAAUAAAAACGCAUCACCACCACUCACUAGAUAGGCUGGUAUGUACUUUCUAUCCGAACUCUCUCACCUGUUGAGGGGCAUUGCGGCCAGGUGGCACGCGGAAGACGUUGCUGUCGAGCGGCAUGUCGACGGAAGCCAGCAGCUGCCGCCUGUAGGCGCUCGUGACACCCGCGUCAACGCACGUCAGCGUCGUCACCGCGAGCGCCGCCGCGAAAACCACAAGAAGUAGUAGACCCACAUGGGUAGUAGGAUGAGCUCUUCUGCUGCUUCCACCCAUCUUCUCUCUUCCCCUCCUCUUCUGUUUCUAGUUUGUAUUUGCACAAGUCCACACAGCUACAGAUCUGGGUCAUGUUGGGGUCUCUAUAAAUAGGGGAAGAGAAGAGUAGCAGGAGAGGAGGGGAAUAUUCAUGAGAAGGUGCUCAUUACUUUGAAGAGAAAAAUGAGGGGGGUGGAUUUUGGAAGAAGCAGUUGACUUUGAAUGUGAGCAUUGGAAAGAGAGGUUUGGGUUUCAUACAGAUGUUGUGUUAGUAUGUCACUCUCAUCAGGAAAGUGUGCACAAAUUGAACUUCUGGUUACUGUAACUCUCAGUCUAAGUCUUAUUUUUGUCCUUGAAACUUUUAGAUGCCAAUUUGACUGGAAUUCUUGCUUCUGCUUUCCAUUUGAACAAUGUUCAGCAGAGUGUCUGACAGAGAGACAAAGGUUGGAACUUGGAACUUUCCAUCUGCUGCAGCGAGAAGCAGAUUUAUGAUUAUGAGCAUAGAAAGCAAGAAGGCAAAUUCGAUUUGCAAAUAAGAAAGUACUUCUAAUAGCACUAUUCAGACUAUAUUUAUCCAAUUAUGCCAUUUUCUAUGGCAGGACCAAACAAGACCACAAGUAACAUUCGACAGCCGUAAAUUUUAAUAUUGUUCUACUUUCAUCCUUACAAUCAUCUACUGUUGGAAAAAAAAAACAGGCACAUCUGUGCACAACUAAGUCAAUCAUCUAAACUUUUAGCAGAGAAAAGACUACAAUUCGGUGGUAGGCACUAGCAUAAGAGAUGAGAUCGAAAGCAGAUGAUGCAUAUUGAUAUGUUAACACAUGAUAUUGAGGAGAUUUUGAUUGAUUUAUGCAUGCAGCUCAAAUUGUCAUAUGGAAUUGCCAAAAUGUUAAUAUAUUGUGAAGCAUCUAGAGUAUUUUCCACUGCAAAAUGAAAAAAAAAGUUAACUGAUUGAUAAUAACAAUAGCUCAAAAAACUUUUUGCUACUGAAAAGCUAAUGAUUCAUCCUAAACUAUUUGAUUCCUCUACGCUACGGUAUAAUAAGUCUUUUUGAAUUCUAUAAUGUCAUUUUUUAAUGAUAGCUCUAGUCAUAGGGGUGCAAAUGGAUUCGGAUUAAUGGAGCUCCUGUUUGAUCCACCACUGAUGGAGCCACCAAGUAAAUAUAGCAGUAGGCGGAAGACUCUUUUCUUCCUUUCUCCUUUGAUAUGUUCCGAUCUUUUCAAAAUUGGUCAAAAAUCAUUCUUCUACCGAUCACCCGAAUAGCACGGUAAUUGGGGGCCAAAUAUAGGAAUAAAAUUAAUAUGUCAUGAAUCUAUUCCGAUCAGAUAAGAAAUGAAGCGGCAGGUGGAGAACCCCUUUGGAUUCCGGAUCUGUUCUAUUUGCAUUCCUAUCAGAACAAGUCAGGCGGGGAUAUCUAAAAGAUAGAAUUUUCAUCUUAAGAUAUGGAUUGUAGAUUAUUUGACUAAGCCUUCUUUGACUGUUUUUAAUAGAGAGAAAGAGAGAGAGAGAGAGAGAGAGAGAGAGAGCAUUGCAUGGUAGUCGCGUUCUAAGUUUCAACAUCACAUACAGGAUACUUUAUUUGAGUUCUAAUGAAAACGCGAAGCUAAGGUCGAAUCUUUUUUUGUUUGUUUUUAUGUGGGGAAAUUAAUUGAUAUAAUUAUAAUAUACGAAUUGCAUAAAAUUGUUCGUUGUGACAAUGAUGUCUCUGUGAAAUGAUAAAUAAGAACAGCACAUAUAGUGUUACAUUGAUGUGUCAAUUUAUGCCCUGUGUAUAGGAAGGCAAAAGUCUCCUGAGGAAAAAAUAGUACUUUAAUUUAAGUAAAAUAUUAAAAGAUUUUUUUUAACAAAAAAAGUUUAUAAAUGUGUGUUUUGAUAUGCAGAUAAAGAUUCACAGUGAUAGUUUAUCCUGCUAUCCCAGCCUUAUUUUGCCAAAUAUAUAAUGCAAAAGUUAAAUUAAUAUAGGGAUAACAUUUCAAAAAUAUUAGCGACAAUAUUUAGUGGCCGUUUGAUUGAAUGCAAUAAAAAAUGUACUAUAAUUGAAACUGCAUGUAGUUGAAAAUAUAGUAGUUACAACUAUAUAUAUUUUGUUUGGUUUAAUAUAAUAAAAAAUAUUGCAAUUGUAAAUAAUUUGUUUGGUUGUAUGUAGUUGAUAAUUAUAUUUUUGAAAUUUUAUUACUUUAUAUAAGAGUAAUCAGAAAAUUAUGUUUAUUUUUUAUUUAAAGUUACUCUCUUCAGCUAUUGUAGUUGGAAUUAUGACCAAUUUGAGCGUAAUUCUAAGGACUCCAAUUGGUCCUUUCCAUGCAGGUUCAAUUUAAAUAAUUGAAUACAAAUGGAUCAAAUCAAAUACCGGAUUUGGAUCAUAUGUAGUUACAAAUGCAUGUAGUUGUAACUACAUACAAUCAAACAAAUUCUUACAGAAUGUUUGGCUCAUAAUUGGAAUAAGAAUGAAAAAUAGAAUUGAAUUGUAUUCGAAUGAAAAAUAGAAUGACGAAUCAUACAAAAAUAUUUGGUUCAUUAUUGGAAUAGAAAUCAAAAUGGACAUCUAGAAUUUUGAGAAAUGAUUCUGAUCAAGAGAGAGGAGAGUGAUGAAGGAAGAGGAGAGAGGGGUGUUUGUGUGAGAGAGUUUUAAAUGGUUUACUUUGAAAUGCACCAAUCCAGAAUUCAAAACUAGAUUAGACCAUAUAUGGAUUGGAUCAUUUUCAUUCUAGAAUGGAAUGAAAAUGAAAAUUCAAAUUCAUGUAUAACAAAUAAUAACUAUGAAAUCAAUGAAUCUCAUUCUGAUUCUAUAGUUUAAAAUAGAUGAAUCAAACAAGCCCGUAAUGCAGUUGGCUAAGAAAUUGAUUAUUUAUAUUCGAGGUCCACUAUCAUCCUAACUACACAUCUCUUCAUUCAAAGGCCGAAAACCUAAUAGUGCACCAAUGACUCUGAGUAGGGCUAUUGUGCUAUUAGGAACACAGCAGCUCUUAUGUUUCUAACUUUCUAACCAUCCAUCAAUUUUGAUAGGUCAUUAGAACAAGAGAGAGAAGAAAAAUUGGGAGAAAUUGGGUGUCUCAAUUUAUCUUCUUUUUGAAUUUCUCUCCAAUUUCUUUUUUUUCUCAUCUUAAUCACUCAUCAAAAUUAAUAGGUGGUUAAAAAGUUAGGAGCAUAAGGGCUGUUGUUCCUAAUAGCACAGUAACCCUACUCUAUAUAUAUACUAUUUCAAAUCCUGAGAUGUCUCAUAGAUCACGCCAAUUUUGAUUAAUAUAUAUAUAAUUUUUUUAUGAUUUUACUGACUAAUGGAAAACAUAUUUCAAUAUAUCUUCGGCUUAGCUCUGUUUCGUCUAAUAGUGUCAGACGGUAUCUUAAUGCCUUCAUCAGGUUUAUGUCGUCUCUACUUCUUCUUGUUUUUUUUUUUUUUUUUUUUUUUUUGAGAGAUAGAUAUCACUCUAUCCGCUUCGUUUAUUUUAUUUCGAAAUAAACUUAGCUAUAAGUGUGAAUCAACUAUAAUUCAAACUUGGGUCUCGAGUAUCAACCAAUAAGUUUUUUUGCCACUUGCUUUAGUGACGGCCGGUUGUGUUAAUUUAUUAGUUUCAAGUAAUGUGAACAGGUGAAUCUUAAUCAUUNAGUGGGUGGUUGGUUAAAUAGUUUAAUCUAAUGGUUGAAAAUGAUCCGAGGAGUAGAUCUCACGGUAAAAAACUUGCAAACAUCAAGUGCUUGGUGCUUUUACAAGCACCAUAGCUGGACUCUCUCUCUCUCUCUCUCUCUCUAUAUAUAUAUAUAUAUCAUAUGAAGUCUCUUGUGAUAUUCUCUAUAUUUCAUUUUCGAAAAAAAAAAAAACUAAAUGAGUUCCUUUUAUUAUUAUUAUUAUUAUUGUUAUUUUGAAGUAGGGAGGGAAUCAAAAGAGAGUUUACUAAAACAAUCAACUACCCUCACAAGCCAUAUGCAACUAGGUAAAGCAAAACAAGUAGCCAAAUAAAUAAGGUUGGCGAGCAUAAUUAUCCUCUAAAAAAAGAUAUUAUUUAUGAGAAAAUUAAAAAAUAUAUAAUCUAAGAGUUAUCUAAGGAGAGUUGACAAUGCGAGAAAAUUCCUUGUUUUUUCAUUUUAACUCUUUUUUCUUAAGAAAAGAGAACAUUCCUUUUAUAUGCUGAAAUGUCAACGUGCAAGUCAACUAUCAUUCAAGCUUGUGCAGAUAUUAUUUUACGUUCUAUAUAUGUACAUGCAAAUUGAAGUUCAAAAAAUUAUAGCAAGAGAUGCUAAAGGAGAGAUGAUUAUGUUAAUUAAAUAUGUUAAAGCGUAUUUCUCUCUUUGAGCUUAAGUUUAUGAGCGUGUUUGGUUUGACAAUUUUUCAACCAGGAAUUUGAAUUCAGAAUGAAAAUGGAUUGCUUCGUUUGUAUAUGUGACAUCCCCAAUAGUCCCACAUCGGAUGGGAUAUUGAUUCCGAUCAGUUUAUAUGAGACCUACACGCUAAUAAUAAUAAUCGGACUUAAGCAUUUUGGGUCGGUGAUUUAGGCCCAACGAGUUAUUAUUACUAGCGGGUCGGGUCGUUGCAAUUGAUAUUAGAGCCGAAUACCAGCCGGAAGUAUGCGGGACAAAGUGCUACACCAACGGGUUUUGGUGGGAGCCACCUCUUGAAUCCGUAGGAGCCACCUCUAGAAUCUCACAUUGCCUGGUAAUGGUCCUAGUAUGUCUGUGAUCUGAUUUGGACCCGACGAGGACGUCAGGAUCUAAACAGGGGGAGAGUUUGUAACACUCCCAAUAGUCCCACAUCGGAUGGGAUACUGUCUGAUUAUAGUCCCACAUCGGAUGGGAUACUGAUUACUGAUUCUAAUAAUAAUCGGACUUAAGCAUUUUGGGUCGAUGGUUUGGGCUCAACAAGUUAUUGUUGCUAGCGGGUCGGGUCGUUGCUAUGUAUGUUUGGUAUACGAGAGUUUCGAUUCUUGUUUCCGAAUGAACUUGCUUUGAAAGUACCACAGUUAUAUUUUAUCUUUUUAUUUAAUUUUUUAGUUUUUAUUUUUAAUUAAAAUAUAUGUCAAAAUUUAGUUUUUCAAUUUUAUAUCUUGAUAAGAACUUGAUGUGAAAUUUAAAUUCGAUCAAGCAUUUUGAAUUUGAAUUUUAUUUGAAUUAAUUUUUUAUAACAAUUAUUUUCCCAUCUCAACUAAAUAGCAUAGAUGGGAAUCAACUACUCCAAUUUGGAAUGUUAUUCUAAACCAAAUAUAUAAAGGGAAUUUAUUAUUCCGUUCUAUUCCAUUUCUAUUGGAAUAUACACUGCCGAAUGUGUGUGGCAAAUAUAUCAUUCCUAUUGGAUUUUAUCAUUCGGUUCUAUUCCAUUUCCCCUCCGUGCAAAUAUAUCAUUCCUAUAUAUAUAUAAUAUAUUAUAUAGGGCAUGUUUGGUUCGAAGUCGGAGUCGGAACUGGAAUCGGAAUCAAAAUAAGUUGGAUCGGAAUCGGAAUAAAUCAUUUUCAUUGUCAGUGUUUGGUUUCAGAUGGAUAUAAAAAACGUAAUCAAAUUAAUAUACUAACUUAUUUAUAAUAUAUAAUUUAAUUCAAAUUAAAAAUAAAUAUUAAAUUAUUACAUCAAAAUUUUGAAAUAAUGUCUAAUUUAAAUCUAAUUUUUUAAAAAAAAUUAAACUUUGAAGUUGAGUAGAUAAUUCAAAAUAUGAAAUUAAAUUUGAUUUAUUCAAAUUCAAACUUAAAUACAAUUUAAAUUUUAAUUUGAAUUCAUAAAUUUAAUUUAAGUUUGAAAUAAUUUGAAUAAAACUUAUAUAAAUUAAAAUUUAAUUAAAUUCAAAUUCAUAGUUAGAUUCGAAAUACUUAAUUAAAUUUUAAUUUUAAUUUAAGUUCAAAUUAAAAUUAAAAUUAAUAUUUAAUUUUUAAUUUUAACUCAUAUUUUAAUUAAAAAAGUUGAAAAAAACAAAUUUAACCAAAUAAAUAUCCAUUCGUCCGAUUCACUUUCAAUCGACUCCUAGACCGGAUUGAAAAAAAGGUGAUUGGGGGAUUCCCAUUCCAUCGGGAAUCAGAAUCGGAAUCGGAAUCGGACUCCGCGUACCAAAUACAACACAAACGAUUCAACCAUUCCCGAUUCCGAUUCAGGGUUAAAAAGAAGCGAGCCAACACGCCCCACUAGAAUACUUUUAAAACAGCCAAAGGGAUAGUGUUUGAGUUUUAACAUUGAUGGAGAGAUGUAGGCAUGAGAUGAUGGUGGUAGGGUGAUGUAGGUGGAAUAGUAUUUGAUCCAAGGGUAUUAGUAAUUAAGGAGUAAUCUAAGGGCUAGAAACUUAGAAGCACAGAGGAUUGGUGCUUCUAAAGUAUUCUAGCUCAAUUUAUAUAUAUAUUUUAUAUAUAUAUAUAUAUAAUAUAUAUAUAUAUAUAUAAGAGAGAGAGAGAGAGAGAGAGAGAGAGAGAGAGAAGUGAGAAGAGAGAGAGAGAAUAGGCUACUAUACUCUUAUGAGUAUUGGGCCUUCGUACUCAUAAGUUGUUUUCAAUAAUGGAGCUUCCGAAUCGACAAUCACUCCGUUAAAUAUGAUCUAAGUAUUUAAACUUGUAGAAAAUAAUUUCGUAAUUUUCAAAAUCAUAAUAAACCCAUUAAGAGGGUAUAAAAUGAACGGUCAAAAUCGAACAACGUCCUAAAAUGGAUGAUUGGAUCAUCAAUUUAAGAUCGCAGUUAUUGGUCUUUAUCUAGGUUGUGAAUAGAAUUUUCUAUCAAAAAUUUAACCUAUUCCAAUUUUUUUGCACCGUUAAACUAGCAAGUAUUCCAUACCGAUCGUAAAAAUUAUCAAUUUGUGAGAUUGAUGUAAGGUAAAUGAUGUCGAAAAAUUUAAAACUGAUUCUAGAACUUUAAAUGCUCUAGAAAUGUUUACGGUAUGGAAUUGUCGAUUCGGAAGCCUCUUCAUCCGUAAACGACUUAUGAGUACGAGAACGAUCGUACUCAUAAAAGUAUAAUAGCCGGACUAUUAUAUAUUAUAAUUAUAUAUAUAUAUAUAAUAUAGAAUGUGCGAUUAGGAUGAUAGUGUUCCCGAUUAAUUAAUAGUGGUCCCUAAGGUUGAGUAGGUGGUUGUUUACUAGUAUAGACUAUACGGAUGAAAUGAUCAAGGAUAGAAUCUAAGGUAGAAAACUAAUACUACAAAGCUUGGCUAUUUUAUCCGAUAGUAUAGUAGCCGGACUCUAUAUAUAUAUAUAUAGAAUUAGGCUGGAAUACUAUUAAUAGUAAAACGUUUUUUUUGCUAUCAAAUUUUUAACCCUUGGAUGAAAAAUUAUACGGUCAGGAUGAUAUUAGUCAGUUAGAGUUGAGUGGUCCCCCUAGGGUUGAGUGGUCCCCACUAGGUUAUAGUAUUUAAUCCAAUGAUUAGAAAUAAUGAAAAGAGUUGAUCCAAAGGCUAAAAAACUGAUAGCAACUAAUAGUAGCCCAGUCCAACUAUAUAUAUAUAUAUAUAUAUAUAUAUUUGAGCUUUAUGCUUUUAAAAGCACCAAAUUAUUAGUGCGUGUAGAUUUUCAAUAGAUUUUCAGCUUUUAAAUAAAGGAUCGUAGGGUUAAGAUAAUAAUAGUUCCCUAAAAUUGAGUGGAUGAUUGAUGGAAUAGCAUAAGGAAUAGACCUAACGGUGUAAAACUUACCAGCAUCAAAUACUUAAACGCCUUUAAAAGAAACAGAGCCAGACUAUAUAUAGAGAGAGAGUCCGGCUAGUAUACUCUUAUGAGUACGAUAGUCUUCGUACUCAUAAGUCGUUCUCGCUGAUAUCUGAAUCGACGAACCCAAAUACUAGUCUCUCAAACCAAACACCAACAUAGGGAUCGACCAUUCCAAUUUCCAUUCGAGCCUAAAAUCCUUCAAAUCAAACACGAGUUCAAAUCGCUUUCGCUAACAAACCAGUUCUCCAGUUAAUUACUCUCAGAGAUUUGCGAGCCUGAAUCAUGCUUACCAGUAGAGUAAAUGAUGCAGUUUCUCUUCAUAGAUAACACAGUACAAGACAAGUUUCUAAUCCCUGAAGUAUAUAAUUUAGAUCAAAUUAAUCAUGUCAUAUGUACUACCAAAAGAAGCAUCUUGAAUGUAAUUCCAUAAGCAAAAUACGGGCAGCGCGAAAAAACGACUGCCAUUUUGUUACAUACAAAUGAAUUAGCUCCCAUAGAUGAGUUCUACAGAACAAAAUUGCACAUUUCCACCUACAGAACCAAAAAAAAAAAGGGCGAAGCGAAAAGAACAACAUUAAAACAACAAUGAUAAUGUGCCAUCUCACUUCAGUAAGUGCUGAAAUAAAUCUUGGAAGCCAUUCAUAUGAUAUGAGGGCAUAUAUCCACAAAUGAUACAGUUUUUUAAGUUACGGCGAUACCACAGAUAAACAAAUGAAAACAUGAAUUUAAACAAAAAACAAAAAAGGAAAAGGGAAAGGGAGGAGGGAGGGGGCGCAUGGUACCUACUCGACAAAAGCCUGCUGUGUUCAUCCUGCGGCUUUGGCCGCAACCACGGCUUCCAAUCGUCUCCACGCAAGUUCUCGCUGCUCCUCGACUUCCUUGGCCUUGGCUUCUUUCUCGAGGAACUGCCUCUGGCACUCCUCGAACAACUCGCUGUCCAUGUCGAGGAACAUCUUGCGGACGUUUGCUGUUAGGCCGUGAACGGCUUGGUUCCAAUGGCUCCGGAUGUUCUUCUCGAGGGCUUCGAAUAUGAUGGGGAAUAUGACGCUACGGUUUUGGGCUAUUAGGCUCACGAUGUGGUCGUUGUUCCAUAGGAACAAGGCCCGUUCGGCAACCUUGGAAAAAAUGUACGAGACAAGUAAAAAAAAGGUUAUCUUAGAAAACAGAACAAUGAUGACAAAUGAUUGGUUGAGGAAAACACCAGCACAAGAUCCAGUUUAACAGAAAGGGAUGCAAAAUAAAGAACCAUCACGUGCUAUCCAACAAGAUGUCCAAAGUAGGGAGUGAACUUACCGUGAUGAAAAUAUAAGAACUGAAAAGAUUGACGGGCACUGAGACAUGCAACAAAUAUGAAAGUUGAAGUUUCAUUUCAACUCUAAAUUGUACUUUAUUUUUGGAGUUAUUAAAGUUCGACUUUGUAUUUUACACUAAUUUGAUUUGUUACAAAUUCAGUAAGUUUCCAACAGAUUACCAUCCAAUGGUAGGCAGUGGUUUGAUCAUAUAAUAAUAGCUGUGAAGUUUCGGAACAGGGAACACACUAUUUCUAAGGUUUUGGGGGGUUUUUCUUCCAUUUUUUUCAGUUUCUUUCAUGCACAAGACAACAUCAUGGCGAUAAUGAUUUUAAAAGCACCAGCACUGUAACAUGUUAUGCAAAACCUUUACUGAUGUUUCUGGCAUUCUAUGAAAAAAAGCGACAACUACAUGUAACUGAAAAUGUUUUUUAAAUUCAAUAUUACAAUGAUUGGCAAGGAUAAUUUACCAGCUAAUGAAAAGGCCGAAAUUAUUAAACUUUGAGAAGAACAGCUAUGCCAUUAUAUUUUUUUUCUUUUUCGAAAGAAGACUUGCCAUUAUUUCAUUGUCCACUGUAUUCCAUUUGACUGCAAAUUCAUAUUUGGAAUGUCACUGAAACCAUGGCUCUAACAAAGAUUAAUAAUGCCACUACACACUAAAGAUGCGGCAGUUGCAAUCCAUUUUCUCUUAAAAGAAUUUUAACGAAACAAAAAAGGGGAAUACUGACGUUCUAAAAGCUAACUAAUAAGGCACCAAUGGUGUGUAAACUAACAAAAAGAAUAAAUAGCUAGAGGCCAACAGGUAAGCAACACACUGAACAUAUAUAGGCAUAGUAAGGUAAAAAUCAAAGCCUGCAGGCUCCAGUGUACAGUGAAAGUAUAAUUGCACAUUAUUAGAUUACAUUUUGCAAGAAUUAUGAAUGUCCUAAAUAUACAUCAGUGACUGAAGGACACGAUGCAGUGGUUUGUUUCUGAUGAAAACUACAUGAUAAAAGUCAAUGGUGCCCUCUUGCAUGAGGUCUAUCCUACACGUUUUGUCCCACCAAAGAUCCUCAAGAAAUCUUGAGAGGCUUUGAUCUUUAAUCAUGAAAUUGGAUAGGUCUAACAUAAGCCUUCCUGAGCAUUUGAGCAUGGUUUAGAAGGUAUUUACGUUAACUUAUUGAAAGUAUUUGCGAGGAACAAAACACAUACAAGUUAACCUGCCUUAUCUGACAAAACGUCCACUCAAAAAACGCCACUUACAUAACUGAUAACAAUAUGACGUAAUUUUUUCCUAAAGUUAUGAAUCCUUUAGAUAGACCAAAAAACAAUUCUUACUAUCUUUAAUAAUCAUAAUAGUGCUGAAUACAGACAAUAUGUAAAAAACACACACUACAAGAUGACCAACCUAUACAGCAGACAAGAGGUGGCCCAAGUUUCAAAAUACGCACUACAAGACGACCAACCUAUACAAUGGACAAGAGAAGGCCUCAAAAGUAAGGAUUCAUGCUUCAGCGUGCUCUAUACCUAGCCAAUCAUUCAUUAUAAUGCACGGACUACAUUAGUGCCACUGUCAGAGCCGAUAUGUACUCACCAGGGAAGGUGCAUCACAUGCAUAUAGAUUUGCCUUACGUACAUUGUGACUAGCGGAAGCCAAUCAGGUAAUCAAGUUUAAUUAACACGUCUCUGAAUAACAGCCCUUCCUCUGUAAAAUGAGUUGAUGGUCUUUUGCAAGUCUAGAAAGCUGGAUUAACUGACAGAGUGGACCGUCAACCAGAACUUUUAUUGAAUCAGCCUAAUAUUUAAAACUCUCUUAAGAAUUACAUUUUCAUGAGGGAACUAAACUUGUGUCCGUUGACUGUUGUUCUAAGAGAUAUAUUGUGUAACGUUAAAUAUUGUUGUAGGGAUCUUUCCUUCCCUUCCUUACCCCUGUCAUAACCAUGAUCACCAAUGCCUGUUGGAAAACAAUUUUUCUAUGACAAGAGGAAGUCAUCCGAAACUGUUGGGCUCCUCUCCGGCUUAGGGAAGACAUUACUAAUAGGAGAAUCCAACAGGAUAACUGUUGAAGUGCCAAUCACCAUGCCACUCUCCUCUGUAAGGAAGAGCCCAUCAAAAACACUAGUGGUGUAUACUUACUCAUAUGUGGGUUCAGGUUUCUUCUACAUCCAACAAUCCCAAAACUACACAACUACAUAAAGGUCCAAAAUAGGAUUUAUUAAUAUCAAAAAGCUAAAGUUCAAAGAGCAAUUACCCAACAAUAAGGAUCUAAGAAAAUAAAACCGCAGAUACUGUGCAGAAAUACUGACACUUCCAUGCACUAAAGGGUGUGAUACAUAUCUCAAAAAGUGGGAAGUGUGCAUGUUUUUUUGACAAAAUAACGAAAACAUUGAAUAAUUCAGUAGCUUGUACAACAUAUAAACAACUAGACUAAGAAGAUCUUACAAAUCAUCUCUUUAUAGUUCAACAAAUCAAUUUUCCACUCGACAGUUCAAACUAUUGCUAACAAUAUAUGAAAUGAUUAAGCUAAAAAUUUAUACAGAAUAACAUAGAAAACACACUUAUGUUAAGAUAACAUAUAACAGUCUUGCAUGGAUGACUCUUUAAAUAUGAUCAUGCAAAACGAGCCUGUCAUAAGUAGUGAUUUGAAUAUUGAACUAUGGACACCAAAUUUGCACUUGGUCUCCAUUGGGCCUAGGGCAUAAGAGCACCUAGCAACUGGCUGCAUAACCUAAAGCCGAAAGUGAUACCAUAUGGUAGUUGAUAACUUUUUAUUCUUUGUCACACACCAAUUUUGCAAUUCAUUUCGAGAAGAACUGAAAAAUGAGGAAACAAGGCCAUCUUUACGUGUUGCUACCUUCUCUAACAAAUUCUCAUGAUGAUGUUCAUGGCAUUCCCCUCAAUCUAUCACAAAUUCCUUAAAGAGCAAACAGAUCAAUCUUGUCAGUCCAUUGCAAUAUGCCGAUCCUUCAUAGCCACAUGCAUGACAUUCCGUCAACUUAAUAACGGCAACAAGUACAACAAAAGUCUAUGUUUUCACAUUUUGAAGUAUCUAUCCUACAAAACGAUAUCCUAGUAGAAGCUUCCUAGAGAUCAUAACUUUGCCUCAAAUGAAAAUUAUUGAAUCAUUAGAUUCAAGAAGAUCUCCUUUUUGCCCCAAAAAUUAUGAAAAUAGAGACCUAUAUGUCUCCAUCUAAUUUUACUAUUUUCUUUUCCAUCCUCUAAACGACCUUACAGCUAUCAGCAUUGUAAUCAAUUAAUUUUCCCUCCUAAAACCAGCAAGAUAUUUGAUAAAGAUUGUCACUUCAACCUUCCCAUACUCUCUCCCAGAUCAUCCUCUAUAAUGUAUUCUUAGUCUCAGAUCUUAAAUUUGAAGCUCUUAAUUCUCAUAGAACUUGCGUUAUUCCGCUACAAAUUCAAAGCAGCAAUUGCAAAUUCACGUGCAACAGAUCUUAAAUCACCUUUAUCUUGAAGGGAUCUUAAAUCACCUUUAUCUUGAAGGAAUAUUUUGUUUGGGUUCACCUCUGUGGAAGUAUCAUCAAUUUUAAGCCGGAAAUACUAACACUAGCUAGCUAAUAGGAAGGAGAUCUUAGACAAACCAAACAUGCAAACUUACAACUAAGGUGCUUUAAAGAAAGAUUGGGAGGAGAAUAAAUGCUUCACUCGUAUGGAAAUAACAAACAUUAAUUGUACUGGGUACGGUUGGAAUUCUAUGCAUGGUUUAGCAAUAUGAGGGACAUUAAGCUCAAAAAGAAAGGGUUGGAAAAAAAAAAAAAAAGAAAAAAAAGAAAAAAAACAGUGUUGUGUCUUCGAUUAAAUUCUUUAAAUAAUUCGUUCCCAAAAUUUUGCCACCACAAGGAAAUUAAUGUUUAAUUUUGUAAUCUUGGAUUUCUUUUUUCCUUUGUUUUUGUUUUUGUUUUUGUUUUUGUUUUUAAUAAGAUAGACUUUGGCUUUUGUGAUUUAUUUGGACAUAUAAAUGGGGGGUAGUUUUCUUAGUUGUAUUAAUUUAACUGGUUGUAAUAAAAUAGUAAAAAAUUAGUAAGUGGUGUUAAUAAGGGGCCCUAAUCAACAACUCAUUGGAACUGGACACACACAUAUAUAUAUAUAUGAGCCCAUAUAAUGCCCAUGAAUUGUUUUCUUUUUUUUUAAAUUAAAAACAAUUUUGCUCCUUUUUGGCCCAUGUUAAUUUGGUCCAGCUUGUUUAAUCCUUCUUCCUCCUCCUCACUGGGAUUUCUUUUUUUAUUGGAAUGAUAAAUAAAUUUAUUUUAUUAAUAAUAAUAAAUUUUUUUCUUUACUUUUUUGCAAAAUAGGCUUGCUUUUUUUAAUAAAUUAUCUUCUUUUUUUCUCAGGAGCUGUACGCUUAUAUCUUGCUUUGUUUCGACAAAUUUUAAUUGCACUAUAAUUAUUUAUAGAGUGUAUGGGUAGCGUUAUUGUUUUAUUUUUAGCUCAUUUUCUUACUUUCUAAUAGCGAUAUUAAUAAGACGUAAACUUUUAUUAAGAAAAGUGUAGGAUAGAUAAAAAAAUUUUGCUCCAAUUUUUUACAACAGGAUUAAUAAUUAGGAACCAUACCAAGAUGUACUAAAUAUAACAAGUAUUUGUAUAUUAGAAUUAACCAAGUUCAUUAGGCAAAGCCCUAAUCAUGGGAUGCACUAAGCACAUAUUACUUGGUACUUACUUUACUCCAAUGUAAUACUCUAAACCAACUAAUUAAUGAUUUUGGCACUUUAUGAGUGUGACUGAGACAAAGUUGUGAUUUUGUUUUAUCCAUUUAUUGAUUGAUACCACAUGACUCAUUUCUUCUUUGAGUGGAUUGAAGGAGAAGGGAGAUGUCCUCAUCAAGGAGGUUUCAUGAUGUUGAAUCGUUUUUGGAUAAUGUGAAUUGUUAUGAUUAUAAAUUUGUAAUCCCAUGCAAAGUACAAAGAUAAAUUAGCCUACUUUAUUAUGUAUUAAUUCAUUAUUAUCACCGACCGUCCCUAUAGCAAGCGGUAAAGGGUUUAAUGGUUAGCAUCCGAGGUCCUAAGUUUGAAUCCUGAUUGAUUCACAUUUCCAGCUAAGUUUAUUUCUAAACGAAAUAAACAAAGCGGAUAGUGUGCUACCUAUCUCUCUCAAAAAAAAAAAAAAAUUCAUUAUUAUCAAUUAUCAACCAAAGAUGAGAGACAAUCAACUUGCGACGACGAAGACGUGAAGGUAAAAUAUUGAUCUAAUCAUUUAAAAGCAAAAGGUUCAAUUUUACGGUCUAUAUUUCUGUUGUUUCGAAAAGCUGCUACUAAAAAAAUUUCUUAGGAUCGGCUUGAUCUAGCAGUACGACGAUAAUAUUUUUCAAUCAUGCCGCGAUUUUUACAAACGGGACUAAAAAAAAUAUAAGGCUAAGUGAUCAUGCGAGACUAUCAUAUUAGAAUUUUCUAUUCUGGUAUCAUAUAAAAAAACUAUUAUUCUUCAAAAGGUUAAAUUACUGAAAAAUAAUAUUUAUUUGUUAUAUAUUUAACACACAAGAUGUCCUACCAAUUGUUGGUUUGCAUCUGACCAAUGGAUGGAAGCUAAAGCAUUUCCUUUAUUAAAAAAAAAUUAUUAUCAUUAAAGCAAGGGAAGAAAAGGAAGAAUGGGAGAGUUACAAAUGAAGGUAAUUAACCAUUAUUUAAGUGCUAAGUGUAGAAGCCACUCAUUUAUGUUAUGUAGAUAUGGAGGAAUCUAUAAUAAUUGGGACUAGAAUAGAAAUGGUAAGUCACAGUUGAUUAUCUAAGAAAUAAAGAGAGCAAUUGUGUAGUCAAAUGAGAAGAAGGGCCGACAAUCACUUUUCAAUCCAAAAACGCAUUUUAAAAGUUAGGCUAAACACCCCCGAAGAGAGAAGUGACUGGGAACAGGAGCAGGAACAAUGAGUACAGCUAGGGAUGCAAACGGAUUCGGGUUGGUGGAGCUCCCACCCCGAUUCGCUCCGAAUUAGGCGGUAAACGAAAAGAAAUAAACAGAUUCGAGGCAGGAAACUGGGUUAUUUUUAUGAUCCGAGACAAAUUCAGGACAGAAAAUGAAAAAAAUUUUGACCCACUCCUAAUCCGCCUCAAAAACUAUUUAUAUUUUAAAAAAAUAUUCCUAAAAAAUAAUAUAUUUAUAAGAAAGUUCAAAAUACACAUAAAUUGGUGUUCUCAGCUUUCUCAUGUAUUUGAAACUUUUGAAUUUUGCUUCGGAUUGUGAUUAAUAUUUUUAAUUUUUAUAAUUAAUGUUGUUAAUUUUAUACAUAGCUUAGUAACAUUAUUUAUUAUUAUUAAAAAAUAUUAAUUUAUAUUUUAUAAAAUAUUAAUAAUAUUAUAAUUUUUUAAAAAUAUUAAUUGGCGGGGGAUUGGGGGCGCCGGUAGGAGGUGGAUUAUUAGUCUGGGUGGAUUAUAGAAUAUAUUUUUUAAUCGAUCACAAAUUAGGGAUGGGAGGCGGGGCGGGGCGGGGCGGGGCGGCCGCCUCCAAAUCCACCCCGUUUGCAUUCCUAAGUACAGCUUCAACACUUAAAAAAAAAAGGAAAACUUCAAAUACCUUCUCACUUUAGUACCCUAUGGUUUAAAGUGUAUCAAGCUAGUACUCUGUGGUUUUACACUUUUUUACUUUAGUACUCUGUGAUUUAAAGUGUAUCAAGUUAGUACCCUGUGGUUUCACACUUUAUCACUUUAGUACCCUAUGGUUUAAAAACCAUAGGGUACUAACUUGAUAAAAAAAUAAAACCACAGGGUACAAACUUGAUACAAAAAUAAAACCACAGAGUACUAACUUAAUACACUUUAAACCACAGGGUACUAAAGUGAUAAAGUGAGAAAUCACAGAAUACUAACUUGAUACACUUUAAACUACAAAGUACUAAAAUAAAAAAAUGCGAAACCACAUAGGAGAUUUGAAGUUUUCUCAAAAAAAAAAAAAAAUAAAGGGCAAGUACACUAGCAUGAAAAUAGUUUUACUGUCGUUUUUGGGAGGGGGAGGGGGCUGGUAUCUUCUUUACAAAUAAAUUUAUGAACUUUUAAUUUUGACAAUUACAUUCUUAAUUUUUAUCAAAUAAUUCAAUACAACCCUCAUCUCAGAAGUCGCGUACAUAAUUCUGUGAAACCCUAUAAUAAAAAAUUUAUUUUCUCUUCCAAUUUUGAUAACAAAGUAAAGAAUAAGUAAUACCACACUCUAAUAAAUUUUUUUUUUACAUGUUAGAAUAUAAAAAAGGGUACAUUUCAAAUACCACCUCUGUGAUUUUAUAUUUUCUCACUUUAUUAUCUUAUAGUUCAAAGUGUAUCAAUUUAGUACUAUGUGGUUUCAUUUUUCUCUUUUCGUCAGAUUUUUUCAUUAAAUCGACGAAGUUAAACUUAAAAGAUAUUAAGUGAAUAUUUGAUAAAUAUAGGUGGGGUAUCUGAAGUUUUUUGUAUAUAAUUUAACGAAAUGUUAACAGAGAAGCUAAUAAAAAGAGAAAAAUAAAACCAUAGAAUAUUAAAUUAAUACACUUUAAACCACAAGGGUGGUAUUUGAAGUUUAUCCUUUAAAAAAUAAAUUUGCUUGCAUUUUAAAGUUUUAUAGAACUAUAUGCAAAUGCACACAACCAAAAUGAGUACAUAAUUAGCAACUUUAAUUGAGAAGAGGAGCCUAUUGAACUAGGUGAUAAAGUUUAAAAAAUAUAAUUACCAAAAUUGAAAGUUCAUUAUUCAUAUGCUUAUUUUGGAUUUCAUAUCCAAGCCCCAAAAGUUAUUUAAUCCACCCAACUAACAACAAGAUGAGUAGUAAUUGGGCCUCCAUAAUCAAAAUUGGGCUUCAAUUGACUUAAUUGGGCUUUUUAAUCAGCGUUGAACUAUUUCUACUUCCACCCUUUGAAUUAAGAAAUUUAUUAAACUUAGCAACUAUUCAUCGUUUAUUAUUUUCUUUUUUUUGUAAAAAAUAAACCCAUACGUUGUUUAAACAGUUGAAGUCAGAAAAGUUGACAGCACGGCUGAUUAUACUUUAAUAAAAUUUUCAAUUAAAAUAAAUCAACUUAAACCAAAAAAUAAAAAUAAAAAAAAAAUCAGGGUUCCAUUUUACGGUCCAGUGUAAAGAGGACACCAGGGAAAAAAAAAUAUAAAAAAAAAAAUCCUUGAAAAUAAAAUUGCUAGAGGACCAACUUGUAUGUACUAGGACAGGCCUCUCAUUCCUCAAAAAGGGUUUACAGAUCUUCCGCUGCAAAAUCGAUCAGAAAGCGAGCUUCUGAUUCCUAACAAAAAUACAACUCGAGUUUCAAAUGCAGAAGAAACAAGAAUAGUUCAUCAUUAACAAACAAAGUAAAGCAUAUACUCGUAGAUAUUAAAAAGCAAAAAUAUUAGAAAAUGAGGGAGAAAAAGAAUAAGAAAUACAAUAGCUCUGAAUCUGAAGAGAGAGAUUCAUUAAAACAGCUGCAUGAUAAAGCCUUCUUAAGUUCUAAAUAUAUAUCUACAUGAAAACCAUAAACAUCCCAAUAUUAGUAAACUGCCAACACAGAAUCUUGAGGUUACAGAAAAUUUGGCCAAAGUAACUAAAUACCAACAGCAACUACCACCCUCCUUUGCUACUGCUUCCUCCCUUAGCCCCGCCCCAGGCCCCGGCCGCUUUAUCCCAGCAGCUUCCCUGAUCCGCACCGCCGCCUUCGGCUUCUUUGGGUUUCUCCCGCGAGCCCCCUCCCGACAUAGCUCCAACAUUUCCGGGCGAGCUUUUCUCCCACCCGGCGCUUUGAUCACCAGAAGCUCUUCCACUUCCAGUCGAAUUUUUCUCCCAGCCAGAACUCUCAACUCCAGAAGCUCUCCCGGUGUUCCAGCUGUUCUUCUCUUCAGUGUUGUUAUUCCAACUAGACGGUGCGUUGUUCCCCUUGAUUUCUGUAUCAUCCUUUCCCCAGUUAGAGCUCUGCUUGCCCCAUGCUGAAGCGCUUUCUCCAGCAGCCGGUUUUCCCCGACUCCAAUCGUUGUUCCCUUGUUGAUCACUACUGUUAACGGCAUCCGAUUUGCCCCAGCUAGAUCCUUGACUAUUCUGGGAAGUUCGAUCACCGAAGUUUCCUCGUCCGCCCCUCCAACUGUUAUCCUGAUUUCUACCGCCCCUCCAACUGUUAUCCUGAUUUCUACCUCUAUUUGCUCCAUAUCGACCCCUUCCUCUUUCCCCGCUAGUUCCUCUACCGCUGUCAGAAUCUCUUCGCUGAUUCCAAUUGCUACUUCCAUUGUUUUCAUCUCUGUUCCAACUAGAUCGGUGAUCGUUCCCGCGAUCUGCUGGUUUGUUCCAGUCGUUGUCACGAGAUCGAUAACCACCUUCUCCAGAAUAGCGUCCUCUUCCUCUUCCACCACCAAACCCACCAAAUCCACGACCCUCAGAAUUUCUUGGUUUAUCCCAGGUGGAUUCAUUGCCUCCAUCAAAUGAAGAACAUUUACUCCAGCUGUCUGUUGGAGUUGCACCUUUAUCUUUUGUCUUCUCCCAGUUAUUCCAUUGUGACUCUGAUUGGCUCCUUUGUGAAGCUGCUGACUCCCAUUUGCUUCCGCUGUUUAAGCUAGUAUCUUGCUCUUUAUUCCAAGUUGAACUAUUUCCAACAUUGGUUUCGGUGGUGAUGUUCUCUUGAGGCUUUGAAGCUUUGCCCCAAGCAUCUUCUUCUUCACUUCCCAACGUCGACUUCCUCCCUUUAGCAUUCCACGCAUCUGAUUUAUCAUUGGCUGCAGGAUCACUGCUUGCAUGCUUUGUUUUCUCCAACAAAUCAAAGUUGGUGCCACUUUUGGUAGAAGCUUUGUUCCAUCCCGCAUCAAAAGAAUCGUUUCCAGCUUUAGAAGUCACCUUACUAGCCCAAGGAUCAGCUUCACAUUCUUGACCUGCUUGAAAACGCAAGCAAUCGGCUUCUCAAAAUCCAUUCACAAGGAAUACAAGAUAAAGAACAAAUAACAAAUGCACAAAACGGCACAUCAACAAAAGACCUGCAACACUAUUUCGAUUCCCAAAUAUCCCAAAAAGAAUACCUAUUCAACAAAACAUACAAAUAGACUAUACUGUUGUAAUAUAACACUUACCUCCAGCAUCCUCAGCAGCAAAUGUUUUCCCAGAGAAGCCACUUGAUUGCUUGUCCUGCAAAGAAUUUGAACUAUUCCAUCCACUUGUAGGUACAGAUGCAUCAGCUGAUUUGUUUUCAGAUGAGAACUUAUCCCAACUAGAAGAUUUCGACGCAUUCCACUUAUCUCCACCACCAUCUUCACUUCUCUUGGACUGCCCAAGAUUCCACUUAGAAUCCGAAGAAGUCCAAUUGGUGUCUGUGUCAUCCUUCUUCGGCUCCGACAAGCUUUUAGCACCCCAACUCUUCCCUGCCUCAUUAGCAGCAUCUUUAUCCUGAAUAAAAUUAUCUGUUGGUUUUUCAUUUCGACGAAAGCUACUAGAUUUAUCCCAGCCAGCACCUUGAUCACUAGCCCAACUAGAAGGAGCUUUAGAAUAAGUUCCUUCUCCGGAACUUUGCCGUUCAUUCCUGCAAUCAGAGGAGUCACCUCUCCCGCGACCACGGCCAAAGCCACCACCACGACCUCCACCGCGACCAAAAGGUCUAUAGUCUACAGAAUUGUCCCUGGAAUCCCCAAAUUCAUUGUUAUCACAACCUCUUCCUCUUCCUCCAUAUCGACCUCCUCUAUUCCAGCUAGACCCCUUAGAUCCAUCAAAAUCCCCUUUCCUGUUCCAAUUUCUCUCCUCAUGUUUUUCUCCACCAGCACCAUUGUUUCCAUAGUUACCACUUGGUUUGUUCCAGCCACCCUGUUUAUCACUUUUGGCCCAAUCCCCUCCAUCGAAACUCUUUGGUUUGUUCCAGCUAUCUGUUUGGUUAUCUCUGUCAGCUUUGUCCUCUCCUUUGUUCCAGUUCGACAUAGAAUCACCACCAAAAGAUUUUGGCUUAUACCAGUUGUCAUUUGGAUUUUGAUUAGACACUCCUGCUUUAUUCCAAUUGCCACUUUCAGUUUCAGUUUUCUCCUUUGCUGCUUUAUCCCAGCUGCUGGUGUUGCCUCCAGCUGCUGAUGAUUGGGUUGAUUUAGCAGCAGCAUCCCAACCACCACUUUGGUUUCCUUUGAAUGCACCAUCUUUUUCUUGACUUUGGCUUGAUCCCCAAUUUUGACUUUCAUUACCACUCUUGCUUUGGUUCGUUGCAGCUCUGCCCCAAGGAUCAUCUUCAUUCAUCUCUAUUCCCUUUCCUUUAGCUUUGCCCCAAGUAUCAUCGUCGUUUAUCACGAUUCCUUUCCCCGUAGCUUUGCCCCAAGAAUCGUCCUCCUUUAUCACUAUACCUUUUCCCUUAGCUUUGUCCCAAGAAUCGUCCUCAUUUAUCACUAUUCCUUUUCCCUUAGCUUUACCCCAAGUAUCACCAUCAUCCAUCGCAAUUGCUUUGCCCUUAACAUCCCAAGAAUCUGUUUUGCUGGUAACAGCCUCAGAUUUUGUCCAAUUAUUUGGUUCGUUCCAGCUAGAACCCUUCCCUUUGUCCUUAUCGUUUGAUGCUUUAUCCCAGGCAUUGUCUCCACCAGUUUUUGAAUUAUCCAAGUUGCUUAUUUUGUUGCCCGUGCCCCAGCUUCCUCCAGAAUCACUUGCCAGCGUUUUUUCUUUCUCCCAUCCACCGGCGUCAGAAGUGCUUUUUUGAGAACCUUUGUUACUCCAAUCAUUUGAGUUAUUUUGCCAAGUAUCAGCUUGACCACUGGCGGCAUUAGUUGUUGAUUUAUCCCAUGAUGAAUUUUGAUCUCCGCUAGGGGCAGCUGCAUUAGCCCAGGUGUCUGCUGAUUGAUCAGAUUUCACCUUGCUACCCCAUGGGUCGACGUCAUCUGAUGAUAGCAAGCAAAAAUGUAUAAUUGCAACACAAGAUAACAUGUUAAUGAAUUAUAUCAAGAACUGACAUCCAUUAUUACCCAAGAAAGCACAGUUUGAUAUAGUUAUAUUCUACCAAAACAUUCUACAAAAGAAAAACUAAUUUAUUAAGCAAGCAAUAGAUCGAGAACUCACCUUUUUCACACAUAUCAAGGCUAAAGAUAACUUGUGAUUAAGAGGACAGCAAGUCAGCAACAAUAUUCAAGAUAAGGGUCAAGACAGGAAUGUCAAGGGUGGAGAGAAAUUUUCCACCAUCUAUAUACCCCCAAAUGCUCAGUGGGAACAAAUUCUAUUGGGAAAGUGAUUUUUCAUCAUUCAUGUUCCCCAAUUUUAAGGCAACAAAUGAAAGCGAUUAUCCAUCUCAAAAAUUAGAUUACCAUAUAAUGAGAACCCCCGAUCCCUCCAUCUAUUUAGUAAUAUUCUUUUUAGGUUUCUUUGACACCAAAGUUUGUAGAUAGCAUAUUUCACAGGUUAUCCUGCUUCAGUGCUAAAACAGGUAAUGUAUCCUUCUCCAAAAUUCUACAUAACUUGACGUCGUUUAGGUAGAGAGAAAAUGAUGGCAUUUAUGAUCUUCCACCCCUAAUCAUCAUGCUGUAAUGGACUUCUCAAAAGAUGAAGACUGGCUAUCGACUAUCAGCAAUUUUUUUUCAGCAAUCUAAAGUUGCUUCCUGGUUGGAUAAAGUAGGAGCACAAGUGCAUCAUUUAUGCUCAGAUUAGCUAGCCACCAGUUUGACCCAAAACUAGCCUUUUUUAUAUCACUCUCAAAUUGAUAAACACCAUUGGGCUAAUAUUCUAAAAAGCCAAAUUUCCACCACUUUUUCAGUCCUCUUUCAACUGCAAAUAGAACAAGGCCCAUUUUACUGAAAACCAUAUCUUGCCAAUAAACUACGGAUACAGUUUUAUCAUGUCCAUGUACGUUUCAGGAAUGAACAUGACUUGGUCAAAAUUUCAAGAGUACAAAAUAAGUACUGGCAUACGAGAACUUUAUGACUAAUUCCAUUUUUGUUGACUCAUUCGGUCUCCAUUGGCAAAGAAGGCCUGAUAAAAUGGGAAAGAAAAACACUUUCACAUCGUUGAGAAGAUUAUACAAUCAGGCAUUAUAAACAACUAUUCACAAUAAUACAAGGAAAAUACAUUCAAACUUGACAUAGUAGUAUCCAAACCAUCAUGAAACUAUAGGAAAAUGGCACAUCUGCUAAUUCAUAAUGUGACUGUUAAAAAUGAUACCUGUUUUAUUGUCAGUAUUGCCAGCAGCUGAUAGCUUGGAGGCAGAAAAUGGUUGCCAACCGUCACUGCAACAUAGUGAAUGGUGAAGUCAGCAUAAGUGAAACCGCCUAUAUAUUUUGAUGCAUAUCUAAUUGUCACUAUUCAUCUUACUUAAUAAGAGAAACAGGAGCAAUUGAUCUACCGAAUUAGUGAAGCUAUUUCUCAAAACACAAAGAGCAUAACACAGCUUUAUAAGACAACUGUCUUCAUGCACGAAAUGUAAAGAGAUACAUAGGAACUAACUCAUUUUGCAUCAUGUAUUCCCAAAUCAAAGAAUUGCAUAAUGCUAUUUAUCACUAGACCUCCGUGUAAACCCUUUUCUGCAACUUUGUUAUGAUUUGCCGUUGCAUUACAUUGAACAAAAUAGAAAACAGAAUUUCUUCGGGUGGCAACAAGAAGAAUGAAGCAAUAACUAACAAAAAAACUGACUGAUAAUUUUCGUAAAGGUUGGAAAAAUAUGCAUAAACAACAAAAGCUAAUGCAUAGAAAGAGAGAAUUAAAACUAAUUCUGAUAGAAAACAAGCCAACCUGCCAAAUGAUGGUAAUGGACUAUCCCAUGAACUUCUACCAGGUUGUGAUUCUGUUCCAUCAGCAGAGAAUGGACCUACAAAUGUAAAGGAGACGGGGGAAUUGAAAACAUCAAAUUACUGAUCCAUUGAACUCAAAUCUUCAACCUAAACAUUAAAGACAAAGGAGACACAGACAGUUCAAAUCCAAAAUAACUUGAUAUAGAGAAAGACAAAUGCAAGAGAUUGAAAUUCAUCACUAUAUUAUAGUCCUUGAAAACGCUUCUAUAGACCCAAAAAAGGAUGCUCACUAGCAAUCGACGGGGCUUUGUAUCCCUUGAAUUCAGCCUAAUAUAUAGAGAGUGAUGAAAGUUCCCAACAAAAGAACAAAAAUGUAUGAGUCUACCUAUCGAUGGCAUUUCUUGAGUUCCAAACAGAUCAGAUGCUGCACCAGUUGAAUCAUCCCUUUUGAACACAAACAGCAGGAACAGUAGUAAAAGUAUAAGAAUAAAGUAGGAAGACAAACAAAGACACAUUUGCAUAACAUAAGAACAAUAUUGCACAAAAGGAAACCAAACAAACAAUAUACAAAUUACCUUUUUCUGGUUGGAACAGAAAGAAACUUGGCAUCAACUGCAUAAGCAAAAGAAAGAACUUGUUUUAAAGGAAGUUAUAGUACAGUAUGCCAAAUAUGUUUUAAGUCAACGAACCUGUAAUAAUUUUCACUAAAGAAUCCAGCUUUACUGUCACCUCGGAGCGAAAGAUGCGCACAACACGACAGAGGUAACCUUUUAAAGGGCCUUUACAUAUCCUCAAUGUCUGCCCAAUGGAGAAGAGGGAAUCUCUAUCAUAUUGGCGACGCCUACCAGCUGCACCAUCAAGUGAAUUAGGAUAAUCACAAUCGCCUUCCAUAGCACUAGAGGUAUAAAGUGAUCAGACAUACCACCAGAAGAACUAUCUUGAUUCUCGAAUGAUAUGGUAGGCGGCUCUGAAAAUAGAGAAGCUGACCCAUCUCCCUGCUAUAUAUAUAUAUAUAUAUAUAUAUAUAUAUAUAUAUAUAUAUAUAUAUAUAUAUAUAUAUAUAUAUAUAUAUANNNNNNNNNNNNNNNNNNNNNNNNNNNNNNNNNNNNNNNNNNNNNNNNNNNNNNNNNNNNNNNNNNNNNNNNNNNNNNNNNNNNNNNNNNNNNNNNNNNNNNNNNNNNNNNNNNNNNNNNNNNNNNNNNNNNNNNNNNNNNNNNNNNNNNNNNNNNNNNNNNNNNNNNNNNNNNNNNNNNNNNNNNNNNNNNNNNNNNNNNNNNNNNNNNNNNNNNNNNNNNNNNNNNNNNNNNNNNNNNNNNNNNNNNNNNNNNNNNNNNNNNNNNNNNNNNNNNNNNNNNNNNNNNNNNNNNNNNNNNNNNNNNNNNNNNNNNNNNNNNNNNNNNNNNNNNNNNNNNNNNNNNNNNNNNNNNNNNNNNNNNNNNNNNNNNNNNNNNNNNNNNNNNNNNNNNNNNNNNNNNNNNNNNNNNNNNNNNNNNNNNNNNNNNNNNNNNNNNNNNNNNNNNNNNNNNNNNNNNNNNNNNNNNNNNNNNNNNNNNNNNNNNNNNNNNNNNNNNNNNNNNNNNNNNNNNNNNNNNNNNNNNNNNNNNNNNNNNNNNNNNNNNNNNNNNNNNNNNNNNNNNNNNNNNNNNNNNNNNNNNNNNNNNNNNNNNNNNNNNNNNNNNNNNNNNNNNNNNNNNNNNNNNNNNNNNNNNNNNNNNNNNNNNNNNNNNNNNNNNNNNNNNNNNNNNNNNNNNNNNNNNNNNNNNNNNNNNNNNNNNNNNNNNNNNNNNNNNNNNNNNNNNNNNNNNNNNNNNNNNNNNNNNNNNNNNNNNNNNNNNNNNNNNNNNNNNNNNNNNNNNNNNNNNNNNNNNNNNNNNNNNNNNNNNNNNNNNNNNNNNNNNNNNNNNNNNNNNNNNNNNNNNNNNNNNNNNNNNNNNNNNNNNNNNNNNNNNNNNNNNNNNNNNNNNNNNNNNNNNNNNNNNNNNNNNNNNNNNNNNNNNNNNNNNNNNNNNNNNNNNNNNNNNNNNNNNNNNNNNNNNNNNNNNNNNNNNNNNNNNNNNNNNNNNNNNNNNNNNNNNNNNNNNNNNNNNNNNNNNNNNNNNNNNNNNNNNNNNNNNNNNNNNNNUAAAUUUAUAUAUAUAUAUAUAUAUAUAUAUAUAUAUAUAUAUAUAUAAACAAAGAGUUAGACAACAAGGUUAUAAACAGGAGAAUCAUUAUCAAGCAAUAUAUCGUCCACAUAAAUACCAAAUUGUCAUCAAAAGAAUUCACUGAUUCCCUUGACUUCUUGAUUUUCUCACAUGACUCAGACUUGGCACAGAAGAACCCACUAUUCUCAGUCUCAUUUUCAUCAUAGAUAAAUAUUGAGCCCCUGUACAAGUGCUUCACAAUGCCUUGUCUACCCUGCCAAAAUGAUUCAACAAGAACACAUCAACACCAAAGUGGAACUCAGUAAUUUAUAACAGUCAAGAGAAAUUUGCUAAAACAAUUCAUAACUUAAUGCAAGAAAUCAUAAAACCAAUCGAUGGGCAGUAUUCUCCAUAUAAAUAACCAGUGUUAACAAAUGGUAGCAUUCUUUAAAGUAUACUGCUUCAUCUAAAGGACAUGUCUCUACCUCUAAGGAUCCCUCCAGAACCUUGACAAUGUCAUUAACAGAUAUGGUCUUCGAGUGCCGGUCUAAAGCAGUGAACAUUUUAUCAACACAACCACUCUUAAUAUCCUGCUUCCUAAGUGUCACAACGGCCGAUCCUUCAGUGCCGCCUUUUAGUAUCUGAAAGAAUAUAUUUAAUAUACAAGAUUUAGCUACAAAGGAAACUAUAAUAAGAGAAAAAGGUUAAAAUGAAUGCAGUUACCCGGACUCCGUCUUUCUCCACAGUAACAAUAACACCAAAGUCCUUUUGUCUGUUAAUCCAAAAGAGCAAAGAGCAAACAACAGAGGUUAGUUUUAUCAACAUUACAGGGUUUAGUUUUGUCAAUUAUAGAGCAUACUAAACAGAUGAAGUAACAGAAACAAACCCGAAUAACACGAGAUCAUGAAGUUUGUACUCAUUCUUCCUAGAAGUAGUUGCAACAUUAUCUGAGUCGUCAGUCAACCGUACUUUCUUACGACCACUAUAAACACUUGAAACCCAAUCUAAGUCCUCGCUGUCAUCCUUAUUCACGUUAGAGAACUUCAGAAGUUCAGAUUCAGAUGGCUGUACUCCCCAGAAAACAACUGAUCCAUUUGAAACCCAUUUGUACAUGUAACCAUCUUUCAACAUCAUACCAUCAAGUACUUCGAAAACUUCACCACUUUGACGAUCACGUCUCGUUUCAAUAAGGGGUCUGAACUCACUGAGGAAAGAAAUAGGAUCGCGAGUAUUCAGAGUUAAAACACUAUAGUAUUGAAGUGAAACUGCAGAACAAAACAAGCUAUGGAAUGAUGGAAAAUUUUACUCUAGUUCAUGCGAGCUAAUAAGACGUGGAGCAGGAACUGCAGCAUGCUUCAAAGAUAGUCCACCACCCUGCAUAUAAUUCAAAAUAGUUGACGAUAAGCAACAUGCAAGACUCUGCACAUAUACGGAGGGAACUUGAGCUUCAAUCUCUCACUCAUAACAUGAAAAAAGGCAACCCAACAUAUCUGGAGCCUGGUGAUUGGAGCAACAAUACAUAUAUACUCUAUUAGGAUCUAAAUAUGCUUGCCUGCAUACUCUACUAGCAUCUGCAUGUGCUUGUCAUGUCAUAUCUAGUGAAAACAGACAAAACAAUCAGAACGGUAAAGUAGCUGAUGCCAAUUCUGGAGAGUAUCUCCCGUGAGAUCGCUUCAAGGACCAAGUAUAACUUAGAAAGAAAAAGUAAGAAGGAUGGUGAAAUAAAUAGAAAAAGGACUAUAUCUAUACAAUUGAUUAAUUUGUUAUGAAACUAGUUUUAACUAACCCACCAUCCGCAUCACAUAUAACAAGAAAAGAAUAAACAAUAGAAAAUAAGAGAUUGAUCUUUACAAAUUUUUUUGAAAUAGCUUGCAGAUCAAUUCUAGGAAUCAACUUUAUCAUCACUCUUUUCCGUCCAUCAUCAAGAUUAACAACCUACAAAAGAGAAAAAUGAAAAAAGAGCAAAUAAACCUCAUAGAACAGAAGCAAACAGAAAACUGGAAAAUAGAGACAAAGUAAGAAAAGAGUUACUAAUUCGGAAUACCUGUGCAAGAUCUCCUUUAUAUUUCCCACUCUUCAUACGGACCCACGAACCCUGAGAUAUUCCACAAGAUUUGUUACGACUAGAGAGCAAAUGAGAAACUUCACUUGGGGGGACAAGGUUAAUUCUGCCUGGAUAUAUGUUACAAAAUCCUUUGCAUGCCUGAAGUACAGUAGAUACUAAUUAGACAAAACAAUGGCAACCUUCCACUCUGCCAAGUUAACAACCACUAACAGAUGGAAAAUCGAAAAACAAACCUCGCUAACGUCAUUUGCUUUGUCCGCUUCAACAAAAACAAAACCUUUCACAUGGUCAAGUGCAAAAGCAGAAACUAUUUGCAGUUUGUUUCCGAGACAGUCCAAGUCAACAAACUUUUGCAUGAAGCAAAAGGCCAUCUGCCUCUCACGACCAAUCUGUAUCAGACAGUCAUGCAGAACAGCAAUUAGAGAACAAUAUUUUAGACGAAAUAGCUUAGUUCAAAGAGACUACAACAAACCAUGCAUUUAAUCUUCCAAACAGUAGGAUCCUUCAUUAAAUCAGCUGCAGAUACUUCAUCUCCAGAUUCUUUAGAAUCUUCAGCAUGCACUACAUACUUCGAACUACGACCGUAACGGUCUUUAAUUAGUUCUUCCAGUUCAUCACCACUCAACUCCUCUUCCUUCACAAAAAAGGGAAGGUGAGGAGGCCUCGCUGUGCCUUUCAAGUCUUCAUUUUCAGCUUUGCAUUCAUCAGGAAAAUCUGUUCCAUUAGGUAAAGAGAAAACAAAGAAUAUCAGAACCGUUCCAUUAGGUAAAGAGAAAACAAGAAUAUCAGAACCGGUAAAGCCAAGCUUGCAUAAUAGCUGAUAUCAGCUUCUCCUUUGUAUUGCCAGUCAGGCUUUCGGGAAGCAAUAUGUGAUUUGAUGUACAAAAUAAAUAUCUAAAAUUAAAAAUCCAUUAUAACUUAUCUGUACGAGGUUAACAGGAUAUGGAAAAGAGAAAUAGACGUGACUGGACCGAUUAAUAUACAUAGAAAUCAUUUCUUCAAGAAAGGGAUGCACAAUUACAUCCACAAAAUUACGUAGACAACUCAAAGAACGAUAAUGAAAACCAAAGAGGAAAAACGAAGGCAGCAAACUGUCAAAAUCCAAGAAACUUCAUGUCAUGCAUCUACCGGAAAUUUAUAGUUAAAUAGCUAACUAUGCUGUCUAGCUAGCAAAAGUUCUGAAUAGUUAAUAUCAAAUCACAUAAUGCCAGAAUAGUUGGUAAUGUUGCAACAGAAAACUGCAAAAGGAGAAACAAAGAAAGCGGAUAAAUCACAAGAAGUUGAAAAAGGAUAUCAUACAAAACGGCUCCCAUAAAACUAGAGCGAAUAACGUUAACUAUAUUAUUGUGUUACUCUUUGAUUUUUGCAUAUGAAGAUACUAGUUAAUCUAUAAUCCAGACAAUUUGACAGUUUCUAACAACGGAGAAAAGUAUACUGCUGCCCCAUCCCAAUCAAGGAGCACGUUUCUGCUCUAUUAAACAUUAAACCUAGCCACUGAAAAGCACAAUUUAAAAUUCUUGCAACAGCGAGACCUACAUCAAAAGCUGCCAGGAAAUUCUCCACACAAAAGAUAAGCACAAAGAGUAAAAUGUGAAACAUCGUAAUAUGUGGCAGAUAGAAGAUUCUGAAAAUUUUGGGUUUAUGAUAACAUGCAGCCUGAUGCAUACCCAUCUGUAUGCCGCAUUGACCAUCCAAGGAAACAGCACAAGGUACAUAUUAUGCUGUGUUUCAUGCAAAAGGGGCAUGCAACAGCCUGUUUUACGGUUUGAGGGCACAUUUAACCUCGCUGGAGCUUUCGGCAAAAGUGUUCUUAGAGCUGUUCAGAAAAGCAUUUACAACUUUUUUCAUCAAGUCCGACCAACAGCUUCCGCUGCAGCAGAACCCUAAAAUUGGAGCAAUACGUUUUUGCAGCCCAAAAGCUCAUCUUAGGUUCCAACCACAGAAAAAGUUCCAGAUUUCUUGUUUGCUAAACAUCUUGAUGUUGAUUUUCAGUAUAGCGAAGCUGUUGCAGAAACCUUGCCCAAUAGGCACAUAAGUCCAAGAGGGCAAGCGCCUUAUAAUCACAACUUUUCCCAUUGAAGGUGCCAUAACACAUGACAAGUUGGCAAUGCGAUGAUGACAUGCAAAACAGGAAUUCCUUGAAUCCUUACACAAAGACCACAAUUAGCUUGAAUUCCAAGAGAAUGUACCCAAGCUAAUCCGGACUCAAACAUUAUGUCGAGCCCGUAGAUAUAGCACAUUGUACUGAAAUUGACGGCUCACUCUUUUAUCCAAAUCCUAUCAUUUAUAUGCUAAACAGACGCACCAAAAAAUUAUAGAAACUGCAACCUAAGCUCAAGCAUGCCCUAGAACAAAAACCCUAACGACGUCGCUUGUUACGAAACCCCAAAAACCGAAAAGAAAGCGAAUCGCAUUGAGCAAAGCGAGUCUCAACAAUUAGCAAGAGGAAACCCUACACGAGUAAGAAGAAGAAGAAGCACGGAGGUAAUGGCGAAGGCAUCAUUCAUACCCUCCUCGGCGUCCUCGCCACCGGACUCGAGCUCGUCGUCGUCGGCGUCCAUGGCGGCGUCAUCGAAGAACUGCAACACGCCGGGGCGGCCCCGCUUCGCGCGGCCGCGGGAGGAGGCGGCGCCACCGGAGCCCUGCGCUGCCUCGGCGGCGGGGUUCUUUCGCUUCGCGGAGGCGGAGGAGGGGGAGGAAGCCACCUGCUUCCCCUUCCCCUUCACCGCCAUUGAUGAGCUCGACGAGAGAGCUCAGAGGAAAAGGAAGAAGACGACGACGAAGAGUUGGAGAGAGAGAGAGAGAGAGAGAGAGACGAAGAUGGGGCUCUACUCAACCCUUGUGGUAUGGUCGAGGAGGGGUCGAGGGUAUAAUCGGUAUCUUAUCCUCGAGGUGCACAAUUAUCAGAGUAACUGACACGUGGCGCGAUUUGAAUGGGCUAUUAGUGGAAAACUAAUACGACACGUAGAUGGUGCAGCAUAGUUCAGGAUGUUCCUUGAGCAUAGUUUUUUCGUGAUGGGACGGUUUUGCCCCCGGGAGUGUGAGCGACGAUAGCGACAAGUGUUCGACGUUUCGUUUUGAUACGACACCGUAGGGAGAUAGGACACGUGGCUACAUACAGUGUGUAUGCGGCUUUGGGGCACGUGGACGGUGAUGAUUUGUUUAAAUGUCUGUUUUGUGUUUGCUAUGAGAUAGCAAAAGUUUUACUUGAGUAUUUUGUAGACUCCACUAAACAGGCGAAAAAGUUUGCGAAAAGCCGCAUAAUAUGAAAUUAUCUGGACCGUUCGAUGGAAAGCAACGGUUGCGUGAACGGACGAGAUCGGCCAAUCCUGGUAGCGAGAACGGUAGAUCAUCAGGAAUUGGUACCCACCCAUUUUUUGACAAUAUAAAAAAGGAUUAAUAGUAAUUUUAAUUAUUUAUUUAGUUGAGAUUAUAUUUUUACAAUAAUAAUAACUAAAAGUAAAAAAAAAAUCAUCAAUGGCGUAUCAUACCAUGUAAAUUUUUUACAUUUAUAAAUUUACAAAUUCAAAAAGGACUAAAAUGAAAAACUCUGCAUCAUUUGUAUACUUUUCACUAUAAACUUUUUCAACAUUCCUCAAAAAGAUAGGAACAUGCAUAAACAGUUUCUAAACUCUACAUCAUUAUCAAAUAGCCCUUUAUUAAACUUUAACUUCGGACAAUUAAACAUUUAAACUUUAUCAAAUUAUUCAAUAAUUCUAUUUCUUUGAAAAAAUUUACUAAUUAAGUAGCUAUUUUAGUGGUAUCUUUUAUAAAUAAUCAUGUAAAACUUCAAAAUACAAAACAAAGCCUAGUUUUUUUUUUAAGUAUGCAAAUUAAAAAAUAAUGCUGAACUUAUUUUAUAUUUUAUUGCCUUUUUAAGUGUUCAAAUAGAAAAGAUAAAUUUUACAAACUUUUGUGCAAGAUAAUUUUCUUUAAAAAAAAGUCUAUUAAACUAUUAAGGAAGUCCAGUUGUCAAAACGCCAAAGCUUAGGGGGUGAUUGUACAUUUUCCCCCAAAAAAAUUGACUCAGAUUCAACCGGUUCAAUUCACGGGCCGCUCCGGUCCGGUUUUUUUGAAACAUCGGAUCCUCUCCAUCUAGGGUUUAAUUAAAAAAACCAUAACCCGCUCCGCCACGUUAUAAACCCUACGCCCCUCUCCAUCGUCGUCUCCCCCGACACAUCACCCCCCCCACCCCUCUUCUCUCUCCCGCAUGAGGUACGCUCCCUCUCAUUCCCCAUCCAUCCGCCAUUAAAACCCUAAUCCCAAGCUCCGCUUAUGGCUCCGCUUCUCCAGAAGCUCUCCUUCCUCCUCCGCACCUCUUCCUCCUCUUCCCACCUCCUCCGAUCCCUUCUCCUGUCCACGGCAACAGCUUCGAAGAAGCCCCAAAACCCUUACGCUCCCGAGUCCCAUUUCAUGGUCGAUUACCUCGUCUCCUCCAUUGGGCUCUCCCGGGACCAAGCCAUUAAGGCCUCCAAGGGCCUCGCCCACCUCCGAUCCCCCGAUCGCCCCGACGCCGUCGUUGGCUUCCUCAAGCGCACCGGAUUAUCCGACGCCCACAUCAAAAGCCUAAUCUCCUGGCACCCCAAAUUGCUUUGCGCCAACACGGAGAAGACCCUCGAGCGCCGCGCUAAGGAGCUCGAGGAGGGCGGCUUCUCCGGGCCGCUGCUCGUCCAGGUCGUCCGGUCCAACCCUUUUGCUUUCACCAUCAAUGGCGUCCUCCAAAGGCUCCAGUUUUGGAAAGAGUUCGUCGGCGGCGACAACACGGUUUUCUCUAAGGUUGUGAGAAGAAAUAGGAUGCUUAUUAACUAUGAUAUCGAAAGGAAGGUUGUUCCUAAUAUUACUCUUCUGAGAAACUACGGAUUGUCCGACAAGGAUAUCACGCUGGUGAUGAUGAGGGUGAACGGGUUCAUACUCCGCUCGCCGAUCUCGAUUAAGCAUCUGCUGAAGCAAACAGAGGAUUUGGGCUUCUCCCCUGAGUCGAAGAUGUUCGUGCAAGCUCUGUCAGUGGUGGCCAUGAUUAAAAGUACGACCUUGCAGAAGAAGAUCGAGCUUUUCAAGAGCUUUGGGUGGUCUAAAGAUGAGGUUCAUAAGGCAUUUCGGAAGUGCCCGAAUGUGCUCUCGCUCGCGGAGGAGAAUGUGAGGUUGAAAAUGGAUUUCUUGCUGGGGAAAGCAGGCUGCCUGCCGGUGUAUAUCAAAGAGAGGCCGAUGCUUCUUGCCUACAGUUUGGAGAAGAGGCUGGUGCCUCGGCAUCAUGUGAUGAGUAUCCUCAAGGAGAAGGGGAUUGGAAAGUAUUUUAGCUUUUAUAGUGUCGUUGGUUUACCCGAGAAAAACUUUGUUGAGAAGUUUAUUAGGCGCAAUGAGAAAGGAAUGCCAGGUCUUGACAAGGUCUAUGCUGCUGCUUGCGCCGGAGUGAUACCCACUUAGUGGUCUCGAAGUUUCUGAAUGAAGUAUGGUGCUUUUCUACGUAAACGGCAAGAUCAUGAGCUCUUGUUUAAAUUUUAAUGCUCAAUUUGCACCUGGUUGUGGAGAGUACCUUCAUUAUGCUUGGAGGAAUUGUAAAAACUUCACUAAGUCAAGGCAUCGAUAUUUCUCAUGACCAUGAUUUCUAUUCUUUCAUGGUUUUGUUUAGAUUCUGAAUUUUCCUUUAAGGUCCAAUCUGUUUUGUGGUAGCAAGUAUGUAAUAUUUAUUCGAUCCCAAGUUCAAGCCUCUUAUCAGCAUGUCUUAUCUUAUAAGGCGCUUACAGAGCUACACGAGUGUUCAUAAUUUGCUGGGAGAUUAUCAGAGAGAGUUUGUCAUUCCCCUGGUUUGGUUGCUUCUAAAACAGCUAAUAGUUUGCUUCUCUAAUAGGUUGUUUGAGUUCAUCUGAGUUGUAUUAAGCAGGAUAGUUUUACGUGAUCCAUAGCUAAUGUAGGAAUUGUUUAGUCUACUGUUUUAGUCUAGUAUUACGAUAUAUGAUUCUUUUCUUGAUUCAUCAAUUUGUAGCGCUAGCAACUCUCCUUUGUUAUUGUUAUUUGCGUGUGGUUUCAAGUUGGAUUCAAUUUGCAUUGUAAUUUUUAGUUUUGUUAAUGUAUUCGUACUUACAGUCUUACACCAUGCCACCACGUCUUAGCUAGUGUCGGUUGAAAGACUGACCAGCUAAGUCGCUAACCUUCUGCACAUCGGAGAUUAACAGACUUUGGAAUUUGAUGGACAACUUGAGUUCUAAUGUGUAUUUAGUUGGAUCAGAAGGGAAGAUAAUUUUAUCAACCCCAAAAUGGAACUAAAAGUCAGGUACACCUUACGAUUCUCUCCAUCUUUUACCUACGCCCCCUUUCAUUUCAGUUUCAAACUUGUUACAAUGUGUUAAAUUAAUAUAACUUUUCAUUUUUACAUAUUAAGUUUCACAUAUCUUAUUGAGUACAAUGCGAUAAUUGUGUAUGAGAUUAUAUUUGUUUUGUUUUUUUUGUGCCUUUUCUUCUUUUCUUCGCACUUCCAUGAAAUUUUUUUUGUCUUUCCAAUUAUUCAUGUUUGAAAAACCAAUUUGGCGCAGCAUUUUUACCCUUCUCUUUAGUGAUUAAUUGCUGUCUUUUUCACUAGCUCCUCCAAAUGCAGCUAACCUUAAAUGUAGCCGUGUUUUGUCCCUAUAAAUUGUUUCUCUAAUGCAGUUUUGACAACAUUACUGUAAAGCACCUGAAUCUAUUUAUUAUGUUUACGGGCCCCAAGUUAUUUCGUUGGUGUCCAUUGACAAGAAUGGUGCAAAGAAUGCUUACCUUCUAAUAAAAACUUAGAACUGUGAUGACCUCUCUGGUAAGUUAUUUCCACUGGGGUUGUUGAUUUAAUCAUUUGGGAUUUAAUUAUUUGGAAAUUGUAGGUUUUCUUCAUGGCUUAUCUGUAACAAUGAGAAAUAAGCAUGACAAAUUGCAACCAAGAUGUAGAUGCAACAUUAAUAACACUGUUAAGCAGAAUCAAUCGAACAGAACAUAUGCCUCCUUUACUUGCUGCAAGCUGUUUUCUUUUUCUUUGCUGCAAGCUGUUUUCUUUUUCUUUGCUGCAUUUUAGUGGCGUUCUUUUAUAAUAAUUUUAUUCCUUCGAAGUUUGAGAGAGAUUUCCAUGUCUGAAUGGAUGACAAAGAUGGACUUAAAUUCAUCAUUUGUAGGUGGAUGCUUGUUGGUGUGUUGUGGAGAAAAUCCAACAUUGUAUAAGAGGGUGUGCCAUCACUACCUGUCGAUUAUAGAUUAAAACCUUUCACAAAGGAAAUUCUUGUUGCAAUUGUAAUUUGGGGGUAAGCCCGCUUUUCCUUCUUUUCUGUCUAAUACCGUGAACUCUCAUGCAGUUAUAGGAUCAGUCGUUUAAUUUGUUUUAAGUUCUUUUCUUGAUUCUGAGAGAUACGUGAAUCAGUUUCUUCUAAACAGUGAUAGAAUUUGUUUUAAUUUUUCCCAUUUGGUGUUCUGUAUGAUUUUUAGUAGCAAAACAGAAUUUCUCUUUUUGUGUCGAGAGCCUUCUUUUGCCCUAAAAGUGGAAGUUUGAUUAUCUCCUCUCCACUUUAUAUUACGUUUUCGUUUAAAGCCCCAUCAAGCAUUUUAUCUUCAGUUUAUUUUGGUAGAAAACAUUUGAAGCGCACACGCUUUUGAACUCUCAUUGCAAGAAUUAUAUUUUAUGCCUUCUUCAUUUAUGGGUACAAUUUCAUACCUGCAUUUAGCUUAUAGUAUCUUUUCUCACUGCACCAACAUUGGAUUGCUAAUACAAUUUCCCCAAGUCCCUCAAUAUUUUUUUAAAUUUAUUAUCUAACAAUUCGCAAACUCAGGUCCCAGGCUUCCCCACUACAAAGGAUCAAAAUAUACCCACGGAAUUGGCAUCGAUGGUAAAAUUUUCUCAGUACCUGCGAUUGUAUAGAAAACUAAUAACUUUGGGCAGCUGCAAAAUCAAACAUUUUAGCCUCAAUUUGGCAAAAUCUAAAGCGAGCCCGUAUUUCGCCAAAGUUGAGUUCAUUAUAAGCUCACUGUUGUAGACACGGAGGCUCUAACCCAUGGGCAUUUGGCAAGUCUUAUAGAUCAGCUUGGUAUCAAGGGCCGGAUAAUGCUUGUGCGCAAAAAAAAGGUGUUGGAACUACAGAAAUUAUAAUUCAAAAGAGUAAUUGCCGGUAUGUGUGAAGGUAUGUUUUUCUAUCAUAUUUUGUUGCUGUCCAUAAUGCAGUUUACUCGUAAUCGAAAGGAAAGCCUAUAUCUCUCCAUUGCAGCCUGAUUUUCGGGAACUCCUGAGCAGAUCUCAGAUGUGUUCAUAUCAAUGAAAGGGGUGACUCAUUAUUUUGAUUAAUGAUUUCUUCGGACAUAAAGAAGAUUCUGUAAAUACUUACUCCAAAUCUCGCUUUUCAGGAUCUGAUGCAGAAGAAUUUUUGGAAGGAUUUUCUUCGCAGCUCUGGUCAGGCCAUUUGGUCUCAGUCGCAGUUUCUUUGUUUUUGAUUCAGCCCAGCCCGGAAUUCUAUUGUUCGACUCGGAAAAUUUUCAUUUAGGUUGGAUGUAGAAGCAUAUAUAUGCCGGCCUUGGGCUCAAAACCCGGCCUUGCCCGAAAUUGGUUCAUCGCGGCUUUUAAUGUCGUGCUAUUGAAAAUGUUAUCGUAUUAAAACCCUUUAAACAUAAUUUCUCUAUAAUAAAAAUAAAAAUUCUAAAUUAUGGGUUUUAUUUUCGAAAUGCUGGGUUUUGCGUGAGCUUUGUUGUUGUUGUUUCGCACAAAUGUUACACUCUCCUUUCAUUAGUUGAUUUUCACUCGUGAUUCGUCCUCGUUCGUGAUCUAAGCGAGUUUUUUUUUUCAUUCAAUUUGAUCCUAUCAAAGAAAACUUAGUGUCGGAAAAUCACCGCUAAUUUUUUUAAAAAAAAUAUGGCGAGUUAUUCGUUUCAUUCAUUGUAAAACUGAACUAAACAACAAGAACAAACUAGAUUGAGAUCACAAAACCGCAAAACUUAGGAAGUGCCUUUAAAAUUCUGAUCUUCUGUAUUGCGAUUGCUCGAUUUUUCUUCUUUUUUUUUCCUGAAUUGGGCACACUGACAAUUUGGUUACCACGUGCUGUUUCUUAUCUUUAUCCAAAUAUUAUAAAGUCUCAAUUCGUCUUCACGUAUCUUUAGGCUCUUUAGGCAAAAGAAUGAGAGCUUCCCAAUAAAAAUCAGAUGUUAUUGGAAAGCUGAAAAGUUAAACUGUUACGAAAUAGUAUUUAAAUAUAUUUUUUAUUUUAAUAUCAUAUUAAAUAAUUAUUAUAUUGUAAAAAUUUAAAUAAUUAAAAAAUAGUGUUUAAAUAUUUUUAUAUUUAACAUGAGUGUUUGUCGGAGAGCUCAGUGCAAUGGAUAAGCUCGAGCCCCAUUGAUUCCCCCUUCCGAUCGAAUAAACACCAUUCGUGGAAACGCACAUGGGCGACUACUUAGUCAAACCUCUUUUAAUCUUUGAAUCAUGUUUGCGUUUCCUUAUUAGCGUACGAUUUACGCGUCAAACGCGAGAGCGUUCGACGAAGUCAAGCUCGGAUGAUCACGGUCCAAAUACGAAUCCGAAGCUUCCACUGCCUCUUCCGGGAACUUUUUCUUUUUCUUUUUCUUCUUUUUUUUUUUUUUCCAAAUUAGUCUAUAAUUCAAAUUUUUAAAUUCGGCCUCUAUGAAGGGUCCACCAACAAAUUCAUAGAACCCCCUCGAUUAUAGGCUAUUUCGACAAUAUGUUUUUCGAUAAAUUUUCUUUUUUUGUGAGUGAUUACAAUCCCUUAUCGUUGUGUUUAAUCGACCCCUUUGUGGUUUUUUUAUAUUUUUAAAAAAUAAAGUAAUUAGCUACAGCUUUGAUAUUUGAUAUUAGGGGGCCAAAAACAAAUUUGUAUUACAGUAAACCAAAUAAUAAUCUAAGGGUGCGCCUACAUCAAAUUGGGCUGAAGCCAAUUAUAGUGUUUUUGAAAAGUUCGAGUUACGAACAUAUUCGUAUUACAACAGUAAACCAGAUAAUAAAAAAUAUAUAUAUUUACGAUAAAAAAAUUCCUUCAUCUCUUUUCACUUUGGAUAGAACAAACCUCCUCCCUUCUCUCCCUGAUUUUCACCAAUGAAGGUACAACAACACCCACCCCUGUUUUAUAUAGCAAUUUUUGGUCAAAAAUUGCUUUCUUAGUUAAGUUCAUUGGACAUGUCCAAUCAACUUUAGGUUAAAGAUGAUUUAAUUAAUAGUGAUCAGACCAAUUUCUUGAUGAAUAUGUUGACUUAAACCAUAAGAAGAACCAUUCUCUAACUAUUGAAUAUAAAAUAUAUAAGCGUCGUUCUCUUAUAGCUUAAAUUUUCAGAGAUAAACGAUUAUUUUAUACAAUUUAAUACGGUAUCAGUGCAGUGAAUCAUGAAUUCGAGACCCGCAAGACUCUUAACAUUAUUUAGUUUUCUCCCCUUUUUAUUAAGUCUACGUUUUGAGUAUAUUAAAAAGUUUCGAGUCCAAAUAAGAAGAGGCUUGUUAUUUUGAAGAUAAAUAAUUAUUUUAUAUAAUUUAACACUCACCCUAAUCAAAUCAUAUUAUUUUAAUAUAUAGAACUCAUGGCGCACACGUUUUGACAGUGUUUUCUUAAAAAGCAAUUAAGAAACAAUUGAGGGCAAAAGGAUUUAAUUUGGUCAGGGUGUCAACAUCAACAAAUGCAGUACUAAAUUGCCCUUUAUAAUUUAUUUUAUAUAUUAAGCUAAGAUGCUAGUAUUAUAUUUUUGGGAUGGUUCUAUCCUAAUUAGCACCUAAUGAUUAUUUGUAAGGUAAAUUACACUUUGGUCCUCAAACCAUGAGAGGCGUGACGCUUUAGUCCUCGGACUUUAAUUCGUUGCCCAUGGACUAAACAUUGUGCAUGACACUUUAAUCCUCAAAUUUUAAUUAGUUAUAAUUUUUUAUUCGAACUAUAAAGCAUGCGACAUUUUAGUCCUUGGACAUUUUGAAUUGUUGUAAUUAAAUUUCUUAAUACAAUUUUUUUAAUAAAUAUUAAUGAAUUUACAAAUAUCGAAAAAUUAUAAUAUUUUAAUUAUUAUUGUAUCAUCAAGUAAGAUAUUACUACAAUUCAAAAAAUUUGAGGAUUAAAAUAUCUUAUACCUCAUAUAGUUCGAAUAAAAAAUUAUAACUAAUUAAAAUUUAAGAAAUAAAAUAUCAGGCAUCUCACAAUUUAAGAACCAAAAGUGCAAUUUACCUUUAUUUUUAUGUUAUCAUUUUUGUAACCUAGUAUCUAACAAUGCUUUUGUUCUUUUUGCUUUUUCCUGUCCUUUUUUUUUUUUUGCUGAAGUAAAUCUUUUCUGAGAUAUCCAAAACUAUAAACUGUCAAAUAGUGUCAUCAAUAUUUUUGCAUGCACAAAUAUCUAACUUUUGAUUUCUAUAGUAGAGUAAAUAAUGCUCUUCUAGUCCGUGCUUCGAAGAUAGACGACAUAUAAAAUAUUAUUUCUCCGCAGUUUUAACUUGUUCAUCACAAUAAUUAUUUAUUGACGUCAGAAACCAAAAUAUCCCUUCAAUUGAAUUAGGUUGUUUUCUAAUUUUUAUGUUUGAUUUAGUAAUUAAAAAUAGAUUAAAAACACAAAUAAAUCUCAUAUAAAUUAAUAUCCAUUUUUUAUUUAUUUCGCCUAACUUCAAACAAUUUAUAUUUUACCCUAUCAAAAUUCAAGAAAAUACGCUUACUUUCAAGAAGAAAAACAUAAUUGUUUAAUUUAUUUCUAUACUUUAAGUGAUAUUUUACGGUUAUACAAUCAAAAACAAAUGGAACACGUGAUGAGCCCUGGGAGAAGAUAGCAAAUAUCAAACUUAAAAUUUACAACAUGAUAAAAAAAUGUUAAAUAUAAAAGUAUUAAAUAAUUAUCUCUACUUCUAAGUUUUUAGAGAAUAACGAGACUGUUUCGUAUAAUUAACAAAUAUCAAAUUGCUGAAAAUGUAGAAAGACAAAAACAAAAUGUCAAUGACGAUUUUUUUAUAUCUUAACUCUAAAAAAAACAGCUAAACUAUUAAAGAGAAAUUUAUGAACAUAAGUAAAAUGUUAAAUAAUCUUUUUUUUCUUCUCAUUUUGAGAGGUAAGACGCCCAAAAGCAGCAGUAAAACCAAAAGGUUUCAUAACCUUCACAUUUCCCCCUUUUUUUUUUUUUUUGGUAAACUUCAAAUACCACUCCGGUGGUUUCGCACUUUCUCACUUUAGUACCUUUUAGUUUAAAGUGUAUUAAUUCAGUACCCUGUCGUAUCAUUUUUUUUUUUUUCGUCAGCUCCUCCGUUAACAUUUCGUUAAAUUAUAUACAAAAAAUUUCAGAUAGCCUACCUAAAUUUAUUAAAUAUUCACUUUUAGUACCUUUUAGUUUUACCUUUGUCACUGAUUUAACAAAAAAAAAUUAAUAAAUAAGAUAAUAAAAAGAAAAUAAUAAAAUAAUAAAAUACAAAAUUAAUAUACUUUAAACUACAAAAUAUUAAAAUAAAAGAAUACGAAAUAACCAAAAUAGUAUUUAAAUUUUUUUUUUUUUUUGGUUUUUCUUUUGGCCUUCUCUUUUUUGGCCUCUGUUUGGGUCAAAGUAGCCGUCCAAACAAAGGCUGCGUCCUACAGCUUUUUCGAGAAGCCCUUUUGCAACUCCAAAUGACUCUUCUUUGCAUUGAGGGUUAAAAAAACAAAAAAAAGAAAAAUUUCAAAUAUUAUCUCUGUGAUUUCAAUUUUUUCCACUUUAAUAUUUUAUAAUUUAAAGUGUAUCAAUUUAGAAUUCUGUAAUUUUUUUCUUUUUUUAUUAUCGAUUUUACUUUUUUUUUGUUAAAUCAGUGACAAAGUUAAAAUUAAAAGGUACUAAAGUGAAUAUUUGAUAAAUCUAGGUGUGAUAUCUGAAAUUUUUUUGCAUAUAAUUUAACGAAAUAUUAACGAAAAAAAUAAUGAAAAGAUAAAAAUGAAACCAUAGGACACUAAUUUGAUACACUUUAAAUCACAUAAUACUAAAAUGAGAAAGAGCGAAAUCACAAUAGUGGUAUUUGGAGUUUACCAAAAGCAAAAGUGCUCACUAAUUAUUAGUGUACUAAUGCCAUUUGGGUAAAAGAGAUGAACUAUAUAUAAUUAAAUACUAAAAUUAUUUUAAUUUCUUUACCUUUUUCUUUUUGCUUUAUUUCCUCUUAUAAGCAUGUGCUUUUUCUGCGGAAUAAGUACUUACACUUUUUUUCUUUUUUUUUUUGAGAGAUAGAUAGAUAGCACGCUACCCGCUUCGUUUAUUUCAUUUAGAAAUAAAUUUAGCUAGAAAUGUGAAUUAACUAGGAUUCGAACUUGGGUCUCGAGUACCAACUACCAAGCCUUUUUGCCACUUGCGCUAGGAACGGUCGGUAUAAGUACUUACACUUAAAAAUGGUGUGGCGGGGUAUCCAUUUUUUUAAAUUUUUUAAAAAGUAUGAAAAAAUAAUUAUAAAAAAAAUUAUGAUUUUUUUUCUUCAGUGUUCCUUCGUCUGAUUUAAGAAAAAUUGAUUUUUAAAAUUAUUUUUAUAAUUUACAGAAAACUGGUGUUUUCGUUUCCCUAAAAAAAAAAAAAGAAACAUUAAUUUUCCAAAAAAUCUGAAAAAAAAAAGUUUUCAAAAAAAUUAAUGAUUUUUAGAACCACACAGAUGAAAAGUUGAAAAAAAAAAAUAAUUCCAUGAAAAACUUUUUUCUAGAAAAAUAUUUUUUUCAUAUUUUCUUGAAAAAAAUUCUAUUAAGUCCCGGAGACAUAUGCGACCAAUCUAGUAGUUGGUGGGUGUAAUUGUUGACGAGCAACAAAGGGGAUCGCUUAGAGAAAUUACUGCUUCAAUUAAAUUCGUCAUGCCUCGAUUUUGAAUAACAGAUUUUAAAUUUGAAUCCUGCAAAAUUAUAUAAUAUUGAGACUUUAUAUAAUAUAAAUUACUUUAAGAAAUUAUUUGAGAAGCAAGGUCAAUUAUAAGACAUUUGCUUNAAAAAAUCUUAAAUUAUCAUUAUAUUUAUGUUAUAUAAUAAUAUAAUAAUAUAUUUGUAUAAUAAUGAGUGAAUAGCAAAUAUAUACCUAUAAAGUUAAACUUUCAUAUAUUUUUUCUGCAAAAGUUCUAAUAUUUUUAAAUAUGUUCUUCUGAUUUGUUACCAUUGAAAAACUAUUUAUAUUUUUAAUUUUACCAAAAAAUAUGUCUCUGCACAAGUCAUAACACUAUAAUAUAAUACAAGUAAAAAUGUCAAAAUUUAAUCAGGGUUAAGUAUUUAACCUAUAGUUAACUAAAUUUUUUUAACGAAUUCUAACAAUAGGAAUAUAUUUGAAAACAUGAGGACUUUUACAGUGACAAUAUAUGAAAGUUGAAUUUUAUGAAAUUAUAUUUAUUAUUCACUAUAUUUGCAGAAACCUGUAUUAAAUUAACCUUAUAAUAUAAUACACAUUAAUUAAUUUACAGUGUAUGGUUGAUACCUGAGAGCUUGGUGGUUGGUAACCGAGGUUUUAAGUUCGAUUUCUAAUUGAUUCAUAUUUUCAGCUAAAUUUAUUUCUAAAUAAAAUAAACGAAGCAGAAAGCAUGCUACCUAUCUCUCUCAAAAAAAAUUAUAGUCCGUGGUUGGUAAGUCGUACAAAUAUGUGAGACAUGUUAAUUAAAUAGAAAGGUAGGUGUUACCAUCCGGGGACUUUUUUUAUAACCCUUCUUCAUGUCCUCAUCACUACAUCUUUAAUUAUCCAUCAAAAUAUAAUUAUUUUUUUCCUUACAAACUAACAUUUUUAGUUUCUAAACUAUGAGUCAGCGCGGCAUUUUGAUUUUUUAACUUUAAUUUGUUACAAUAAUAUUUUAUUUUGAUGUUUCAAAUUAUUUUAAUUAUGUUUUAAAAUUUAAUUUAUUUGAGUAAAUGCUGAUGUUUCAUUAAUAUAAAAGUGAUGUCACAAUAUAAUAUAAUAAUUAAAAAUAUAAUAUUAUUUUUAUAUUAAUUACACGUUAAUAUUUAAUUAAUUAAUUAUAAUAAAGUAAAAUUUAAUGCCCACCAAAAGUUUAAUUCAAACGUCCCUUCUUUGUGACGUGGCACUUUUUUAUUGGGCCAAAAUUUGGACCGGGGUGUCACACAUUCCACGUCGUAAGAAAGGUACCAAAUCCAUACCCAAACCUAUUUAAAAUAAAUAAAUUGUUAAGGAUACUUCUGAAUGUACCCCAAAAUAUAGUUUAUUAUAGUCAUUUUUUCUGAUGGUAAACUUUAAAUACCACUUUCGUGGUUUCGCAUUUUCUCACUUUAGUAAUUUGUGAUUUAAAAUGUACCAAUUUAGUAUCCUAUGGUUUCAUCUUUUUUUUUUUCGUCAGUCUCUCUGUUAAUUUUUUGUUAAAUCAUAUAUAAAAAACUUCAUAUACCCCACCUAUAGUUUAUUGAAUAUUCACUUUAAUGUUACUUAGUUUUAAUUUUAUUACUGAUUUAACGAAAAUAUUAGUGGAGGGGAUAAUAAGAAGAGAAAAAUAAAAUCAUAAGGUACGAAAGUGAUACACUUUGAAUUAUAGGGUACUAAAGUAAGAAAUUACGAAAUCACAGAAGUGGUACAUGAAGUUUUUUUCAAAAAUUUUUUUUUUAUCAAACUUAUCUACCUCUCAUGUCACGUUUGAAAUUUAAGACAUAGUGAAAACGAUGGUAACUAUGACAGUAUAUUUGUCUAAAUAAAAUUUAAUUUUCUUAUAACAUCUGCAAAUGAAACGAGUUUAAGCUUUUGUUAAACAAAAAGUAAAAAUAUACUCUUAAGGUCUAAAUGUUGCAUCCUAAUCAACCACAAUGCUUCUAUUUUAUUGCAAAAAAAAAAAAAUUAUCUAAAAACAUUUGAAAUGUAUAGUGAUUUUAAUAGUUCUUAUUAUAUUUAGUAAUUUAACUAAUAUUAUUGUAUUUUAUUGCAAGGCUAACAAGUGUCCUUUAUACAGUGGCGGAAUGAUAAUUGGAUUUGGUUUUUUUCUUUAUAUUUAGAAAUGGCAAUGAGAUACUAUUGGAAUCUACAACAUGUUUCUACGCUUGUUUUGCCAGAAAAAAAAGAAAAACAAUUCUAUAACUUCCUUGAAUUCUAUUGGUUAAAAAUCUACUGUCUUUUUCUUUAUUCUAUUUAUAGAAGUUUUCAAUUUGCGCAUGCAGAUUGAAACAUAGUUGGACAGUAUAAUUUUCAGCGUAUAUGGGACGAAUCUAAAAUACAGCAAAUCGCAAAUCUACAAUAGCUCUAAGUUUAUAACUAGUUGAAGCUUCUACCAUAUAUUCAUCUUAUUUCUUAUGCUUAUUUUGAGGCUCGAAUUUUUAAACUUAGUCAAUGUCAAAUUCGCUCCAUGCAGAAUAAGUCAAGUUUAGACACCCAAACUUGAACACGGCAUUUGCAUAUUAUAUUAUUUUUAGCCACAUUUCUAUUUUUCUAGAACUUUGGGUAGCUAUUGGUGGCCUACUUUUAUUCAACCAAAAUAAUAAUAAUAAUAAUAAUAAUAAUAAUAAUAACAAAACACGCAUUCUUAAUUUGGCGACAAAAUGGAGGAGGCGAAUUGAGGGGUCAAUAAUUCAACACCAUCAUUAUUCCAAGUCAAUUUAGGAGAAAUAAAAUAAAUAAUAUAAGAUAUAUAUAAAUAAUAGCUAAGAGAGAGAAAGAGGAAGCUAUUGUGUGAACCCGGUGCGCCCAUACACUUGUAAGAUUCCAGAUAGUUUUAUAUAUAAGAUAUAGUAGGUCUAAACUCUUAAUCUGAUUUAAGCAUUUUAGGUGGUGAUUAGGCCCAAAAGAUUAAGAGAAUUAAGCGUAUUAGAACGAGAGUAGUCAUAAGAUAGGUGAUUAUUUGAAAAGUUGGGACGUCACAGCAAAAGCAUGCAUUUGGUUUCGUCAAGAAACAAUGAACAACACAUUUGUAUCGAGCGUAUCAAGUUAUUUGAGAUGUAGUUUUUACAGUUCUAUCAAAAAAUAUUUCGCCCUAUUUUUUUUUUUUUUUAUUUAUAGUAUUAGACAUCCUUAAAUAACAUAUGAAUUCUUAAUAUUUUAUUAUGAGACCUUUAAUUUUGGUGGAUGUGUUCUAUGAUGUUAUAAAAAAUUACAUAUCAUGAGACCAAAAAAUAUCUUACUCAAAUUAAAUUGAAAUCAAGGUUUUUCAAAUGAAUUGCAAAACAAUUGUUGAAAUCAAGGUUUUAGUGCAUUUUAAGUUUUUUGUUUAUUUUAGCAUUUUCAUAAGUCGAAAUUUCUUCUGGCACUCUAACUUUGGAAUAUAAAUCACGCCAUCUUUAAAACAUUAUCAUUAAACAUNUCAAGGAUUUUCAAAUGAAUUGCAAAACAAUUGUUGAAAUCAAGGUUUUAGUGCAUUUUAAGUUUUUUGUUUAUUUUAGCAUUUUCAUAAGUCGAAAUUUCUUCUGGCACUCUAACUUUGGAAUAUAAAUCACGCCAUCUUUAAAACAUUAUCAUUAAACAUUAAGAUUCUAUUUGGAUGUAAAAAUAUUUUUUUUGUUAAUAUAUUUUUAAUUUACUUAAGAAAUUUAAUAGUAUUUGAUAAAAAAAGAGUAUGAUUAAUAAAUAUUCAGACAAAAUAUCACAUUUCAUUUUCAAGUCAACUUUUUUUUAAAAAAAUAAGAUAAAUUAUUUUAUUGACAAAAUAUACUAUCCUAAUAAGUUAUUAGUAAAACUGUAUAAAACUUACCUGAACUAUAAACCAUUUUGAUUCUGUUAUAGCACCCAAUCUUUUUAUUUAUUUGAAUGAACUAAUUUGAUGACUCUUCGAAUGCAAAAUCUAAGCUAAUCGCUUACUUUAAUUAAUUUAAAUGCAUUGAGAUUUUAAAGUCAGACAGUUACAAAUUGACUCAAAUUAAAUAAAUUAAAAGAUUGGACGGUAAAAUUAAAAUUUUUAAAGAUUAAUCAAAAAAGAAAAUAAUUGAGGCGGUUGUUUGGUUCUCAGAAAAAUAUGAAAAAGAAAAGGGUUUUCUAGCAGUUUUUCGUCCACUUGACUUUUUAAGAAAAACUAGCUUUUUUUUGAAAACUGGUUUUUUUGUUUUAUUUUGUAAAUUCAGAUAACAAAAAUAUUCACUUACCAUAAAAUUUAGACGGACUAAAAAAUUUAAAAAAAAGAAUUUUUAUGAAAAAUUAUUUUUGUAAAUUUUUUUUGGGACAAUUGCUUAUAUAUUCUUGAAAAGUUACUAACUUUCUAAUUUAUCUUUCUUAGAAGGCUAAUAUUAUAUUCCAAAUUAUUUCAAAUAUACUUCUAGAGUUAAAUUCUGAUAAUGAACUGUUAGCAAUAGUCGUUAUCUCUGUAAAAUUAUUAUUUUGUAUUUUCAAAUAUAUUCUUCUGCCAUCACCAAUUUUUCUUACUUGCUCUUAAGUUAGGGUACAAAAAAUAUUUUGAUUUUUAGUCUUUUCAAAUACACCCUUCUAUCAUCACCAAUAUUUCUUAUUUGUCCUUAAGUUAAAGUCAAAAGAGAUAUUUUAAUUUUUUUAAAACUUUAAUAGAUAUUUAACUCACAUUUAAUCGAAGUUAACUUAACGGAUUGUAACUGUAGGGGUAUUUUAGAAUAACGGAGGAACAUAUAAGAGAUAUAUUAAAAAGAGAAAAAAAAGGGGGCAAAUUAGAUAUUUUUAAAAUUUUGAGGGGUAUAUAAGCAAAUAUAAUUUUUGUUUUCAUACUAUUCCGAGGUCAAAACAGGACGUGAGUGCGGUGCAUGAAUUAUAUAAUACACCAGGUGCAAUGUAACAGUUUCCAAAUGUUAGAGAGAGAGAGAGAGAGAGAGAGAGAGAGAGAGAGAGGUAUAGGAACAUUGAUACAGGUACGCUUGUCUCACGUAAUUCCUUUCCCACCCCUCUCUCUCUCUCUCUCUCUUUCUCUCUCUCUCUCUCUUUCCCACAACAACACAUCUUUAAAAACGCAACAUCUCUUCUUCUUCUUCUUCUUCUUCUUCUUCUUCCCCACCCUCCCCGACACCCAAAGCGUCGCUAAACCCCUACCCCCUUCUCUCUCUCUCGCGCUCCCUCUCCUUCCUCGCGCGAAACCCUAGUUUCCUCCUAAUCUCCGCAAGAAGGGAUCGGGAACAGGAGCAGUGGAGGUGAUGAGGCCGCCCCCUGUGGUGGUCGUGCUCCUCCUCCUCCUCUUCGCCGCGGCGGCGGCGGCGGGGAUUGAGGGGUUUCCGAAGAGGAUGAGGUUGGAGAGGGCCUUGCCCCGCCAUGGAGUCGCGUUGGAGCACCUCAAGGCGCGGGAUAGGGCUCGCCAUAGCCGGAUGCUCCUCGGCUCGUCGUCGCCCUCCGUCGAAGGGGUCGUCGAUUUCCCCGUCGAGGGCUCCGCGAAUCCCUUCACCGUUGGGUACCCUUUUCGAUCCCUCCUGCUUAUUACGGUUCCGGGAACUCUUCUUUUGCUUAUUUUUGACGUGUCUCUUUCUUUUCGUUUUUGAUGACUUUUUGUGAUUGAAUCUUCGCUUUUCAGCGAAAUCUCUCUUAGGGUUCUGAAUUGGUUUGUUGUAUGAUGUGCCUUUCGUUUUCCUCUCCUCUCUUGGCUUUCUAUAUUUUAGAAUUUUCAAGAAUUUAUGAUGAAGAGUUUAGCGUUGUUGGUAUCGGUUCUUUAAUUAUCUGCAAGUGUGGCUUAUUAUCGUGGAGGGAAAAAAAAAGGUCAAAUUUUCUUCUUUUUGGCAAUAAAGAUGUGUUUUUUUUUUUCCUUUUAUUUUCCUGAUUUUGGGUUUUAAAUUCUUAGGCUUUACUUCACGCGCGUGCAAUUGGGGAAUCCGCCGAAGGAAUUCUACGUUCAGAUCGACACCGGAAGCGAUAUUUUGUGGGUGGCUUGCAAUCCCUGUAAUGGAUGCCCCACAUCCAGCGGAUUAAAUGUGAGGCCUCCCAUUUCGUCAAAUUCUUCUUUUUCUUUCACAAUUGUGUGUUUUUUUUUUCUUUUUUGUUUCAUAUCGGUUAAAUUGAACGCAUAAUCUUGCUUUUUAUAUUGGUGAAGAAUGUUUGGAGACCCAACUCCAUUUUUAAAUUGAUGCCCCAUCAAAGUUUAUUUGUUUCUCAUUUGAGUAACUUUUGUUGGUUGUUGAAUUGGAGGUUUUGUUGAAUUUCACUACGCUCCGCCAGCUUUUCAGCUGAUGGAACUGUGGAUUCAAAUGGUUAAUUUAAUGGCCGAUAACUAACGAAAAUGAGCCAGAGUCGAAGCAUCUAAAAUUUGAGGGGGCCAAUAGAAAAGGACUAAUGUUCGAGGGACUAUUUCAGUAUGGCUUGAAUAUUUUGUAAUUUUCUUUUUUCAGAUUCAACUAGAGUUUUUUGACCCCGACAAGUCAUCUACUUCAUCGAAGAUCGCUUGCUCAGAUAAUCGGUGCACAUCUGCCCUCCAGUCCGGCGAGGCGAUCUGCUCCACUUCCGGCUCAUCAAGCUCUCCGUGUGAUUAUUCUUUCCAGUAUGGUGAUGGAAGUGGAACUUCUGGGUACUAUGUAUCUGAUACGAUGUACUUCGACACUAUUAUGGGGAAUGAGCAGACUGCCAACUCUUCAGCUACGGUUGUUUUUGGGUAAGAAUAGUGUGUGAGUUUGUUUGAUAUACUUUAUGAUUGGGAUGUUCUACUAAAUUAUAUUCUUUUUUUUUAAAAAAAAAAUCCAUCCUGUAGCAUGGGGGGUUUGGAGGACCCAUACCUAUAUAUAUAUAUAUAUAGCAUCAAUUAUGUUUAAAAGGCAAAUAUUAUACUAUAAUUUCAUUAUAGAAAAUAUGCAGUCUAACAAUUAUUCAAUAUUUCAAUUAAUGUUUUAUAGACAGUGACAAGAAAGACUUUUGCUUCUUUUUAUAUCUAUUGCAAGGCUGCAUGCCUUUGGCACCACUAAUUUCAAACCAGAUUUUGCAGAGUUAGUCAUUUUGAUUUCUUCUAAUUGAUUAGGCUGAAUAAUUCAUGCAAUCAUUGGAGACAAAUGUCUAGGCGUCCAUAUCAGGCCAUUAAUAGGAGAGUUCCGACAAAACAAGAUAUUCUGAAUUAUUAGUUCACGUACUGCUCUCGUUGUUGUUUUCAUGUGAUCCUGGGACCCAAAUAGUCAAAAAGCAUUAUGCAGUAUGUGACAGUUGAUCGAUGCAGUAUGUGGUGCAUGUGCGUUUAGCAAUUAAAAUAAUAAAACAAUAUAACUUAAAACAAUUGUAGUAAUACACUUCUUAUAAUUAGGAUUGUAUAAAUGCACUAUAACUUGGCUAAAAUGUAAAGCAUAUUAUAAAGUUCAAACCGUGAAAUAGAAUCACAAAACUGCCGAACAAAAUUUACCAGAGAAAUAGGACACUAACUACACUUAAAAAAAAAAAAACAGAGCAUAUAGGANGAGAGGCCGCAUAAUAUUAUACGGCCAAUAUGUGGCCGCAUAUUAUUAUGGGGACUGCAUAUGAGGCCCAAUAUGCGGACCGACCACAUAUACUAUCGUAUAUUGAUACCCGGUGCAUUUAAGAACCGCAUAUGCGGUGCGUAGACCGCUUUUUAAAACCAUGGCAUAACGUUUUUGGCUGCAAAAAUUAUGUAUCUGCUACUGACAUGGCUGUAAGAAGUGGUAUAUUACAUCAAUAUGAAUUUGAACUUUCCUCUUAAGUUUCACUUAGUCCUUGAAGCAUUUGACUAAUAUUGUGUAAGUGUUUCUUUAUAAGUCCCCCCUGCAAGCAUGAAUGUUAUAUGUGUAAGGAAAUUCUAAUGUGCCUUCCAAUUACUCAAAAUUUGGAUAUUGAUAUUUUGUCAAUUGGCUACAGUCAUGUGCAAUUUAUAGUUUUUGCUUAAGGAUUGAACAUCAUGAUGCAAUUUAUUUCUGUUAUCUUUGCUAGAUAAUAAGUUAUGUUAUGCUUUUUCCUUAAACAGAUGUAGCAACUCACAGUCAGGAGACCUAACCAAGCCAGAUAGGGCAGUUGAUGGGAUUUUUGGGUUUGGACAGCAUGACUUGUCUGUCAUUUCACAAUUGAACUCUUUAGGGGUGGCUCCUAAGGUGUUUUCUCAUUGCUUAAAAGGUUCAGAUAAUGGUGGAGGCAUACUUGUUCUCGGUGAGAUUGUAGAACCGGGAAUAGUCUACACCCCACUCGUACAAUCACAGUAAGUGAUAUUUGGUAAGAGUUCUAGGGUCUGAUUGGCCCUGUGGCUCUUUUCAAUGUUGGAUUUACUCAUUCCAUACUUUAUAUGAAUGGUCUUUAAAUAGCAGAGUUUUAUAGUAAUUUGCUUAUUUUAUUCUAUGCACGCUUUCUUCUUUUGGUCUUUCUUCUCAUGAAUGAUGCAACUGUUGCUUGUUCAACUUUGCUUUGCUCUCCUGGGCUCCUUUCACCAUUAGUUUGUACAUGCUUUUUCCGGGAUAGGACAAUCAAAUAUGUACUAUGUAACAAAAAUCUUCCUAAAAGAGAAAAUGAAUACAUUGCAUCAUCUACUUCUCAUACUUUCGUUCUUGCAUAAACAGCAUAUUAUCAGGCUGAUAUACUCUUCGUAAAUAGCUUCUUGUUGUAUCUCUUUAUCAUCUACCUUUGAUUGCUGCUUUUUAAGCUGGAUGUGAACUUGUUGAGUGUGCAUACAAUAUUCAUAGCUAUUUACAACUGCAUUGCAAUAUCUCAAUGUGACUGCAAAGUGUGAGAACUUUUAUUUCUGCAUUCUUUCUCUUCUCUUCUUGUCUAAAAACACAUUGGUGACUAUUAUAAAAAUGUGAACUUAAUUGGUUGAGGUUGCAUAAUUUUAAGCACACACUUAAUAAUCUCAAAUUCAUGAAAUAGUUGGUAUUAGAUACUUUUAGUUAAGAAGUUCUUUCCUUGUCAUCUGGAGAUAAACAUGAUUGUCUUACAGCAUCUGACAAAAAGAUGCUUUAGUAAUGGCGCUCUCUUUAUUACCUUUAUAGGCCUCAUUACAACUUGAAUCUUGAGAGUAUUGCUGUCAAUGGUCAAACACUGUCUAUUGAUUCCUCACUGUUUGCGACAUCAAACACACAAGGAACCAUUGUUGAUUCUGGGACGACUCUGGCUUACCUUGCAGAUCAAGCAUAUGAUCCUUUUGUUAAUGCUGUAAGUAUAAUAUAUUUUUACUUCUCCAAGUGAUUUGAAAACUACAGGAUUGUACUUGCGUAUGCUCUUGAACUACUCUUUCUUUAGUUGUGGGCAAACUCACAGAGACAGCUGCUCCUACCUGGACCAUCUAGUGGCUUAGGAGAUCGAUCAAUUUAAGUUGAAAACACUCUGUAAUGUUUAGCCUUGUUUUUGUCCGAAUAUAGUGCCAACCUUCUAUGUGAUUAAUUUGACAUAAUGAGGAACAACUAGCACCAGUAAGUCAAUAAUUAAUAGGAAAAUAACCAGAAAAGUAGAAACUAGAAAGUAAACACAAAAGAUGGAGAAACUACAAUUGUACGCUAUUGAACAUUUUAACCUUGUUAAUCUAAUAAAUGUCACUCCCCACUAUAUUCCUUAAUUUUUGAAUGUUCAUUUUGCUAUUUCUACCCACCACUUUGUCAAAUAUUCCAAAAAGUCAAAAUUUUAACUGGAACAUCUAAGAUGUGUGGGUUGCUUGAAAGUUCUAUGUUAUCAGAAUGUAUCAAAUCUCAUCAGCUAAAUCAUAUUUAGAAGAAAUAUGAGCCAUCUAAGUUAACCCUGUCCACGUCUUCAAGUAACAUUUAAAUUUGGUGUGAAUUGAACAUAAAAAAUGUGCUCAAAAGCUUUAUCCUCUUGAUCAUUGUAUAAUGAUAAUUUUGCUUACAGUGAAGGCUUUUCACUCUGUGCAGAUAACAUCUUCUCUCUCAUCGUCAGUACAUUCCUUUAUUGUAAAAGGGAACCAAUGUUUUCUUACAUCCAACAGGUUUUUAUUCUUUUAACAAUAGUAAUUCAUAAUCUCAUAUUCUGUAAAGAUGUUCAGUAGCUUAUUAUUCUAUAUAAUCCCUGCUUCUGUGUCAGUGUUGAUUCAUCAUUUCCAACUGUUUCAUUGAAUUUUAUGGGGGGAGCAACCUUGUUAUUAAAGCCGGAGGACUAUCUUUUGCAGCAGGGUUCUGUCGUAAGUUGCUGCACAUGUUUCUUCACUCUACAAUCUGAUUAUCCGCUUUUUACCACUAACAGGAUGAGUCUGUACUUUCAGGCUCGUCCUUUCUUUCGAACUUUGUUUACCUUUUCUUUAAUAUCCAUACACAUUUCUGUUUGCAGGAUAAUUCUAUUAUAUGGUGCAUUGGCUGGCAAAAGAACCAGGGCCAAGAAAUCACAAUAUUAGGAGGUAUGUGGAAGAUUUUUUUUUAAAAAUUAAAACCUCCUCCUUUUCUUGUAACAUGCUGGUAAAUAAACAUUGUAGCCACACGACAGAUACAUGUUACUGGAACAAUAUGAUAGUAUUAGGACUAGUAGGUCUAAUAUGAAUUUUUAACCAUUUAAAUCAUUUACAUCAUGAAUUUACUGUUUAUACUUUGCCUGCAAGAUCCCAAGAUGAGAGCCUCAACCUUGUUGCUUAGAUUUCAUAGUUAUACCUAAUUAACUAUAUGGAGCGUGUGUGUGUCAUUUAUGUACUAGUCUCUACCUGUAGGAACCUCAAAUCAAAUGACUAGAGUACUAUAGUUGGCAGUUGACUUUCAACCCAUGAGAUAGUCUUAGUCCGUUGUCUUGAGAUCUAAAAUUAACACUUAUUUCUGAUGCAUGGUCUGGCUUAAGGAGAUGUGUUGGUUCUGAUCCUCAUUAGAAUCCAUUACCUUGUCAAUCAAAAUUUUAGCUUUUCAGUUUUAGUCUCUGUAUUGUGGGAAAAGCUUCACACACUUUUAUACCUUAUGAUUUACUAUAGUAUUAAAUUUGUGGCACUUCUUUGCUUUUAGUUAUUAGAAUCCAUUUGGAAGUCAUUUUAAGGAAAAGGAAUAUACCAGAAAAGAUGGCUACUGAGCAAAUAUCGGAAUAAUAGUACAUGAAAGAAAAAUAAAGACAAUACACUUAUUUCCUGUAAUCAAAUUAAAUGGCCUUUUUGACUGGUCAAGUUAUUAAAUGAAGUUAAUUUUGCAGUUACAACUUUGAAGAUUCUACUGCAGAAUUUUUAAUUUGUAGAUUUAUUGUUUUUUUAAUAACAUACUUCAAAUGGACUUUCUUUUAUAAGUUGAUGUUGACAAACAUCAAUACACAAUUUAGCUAAUUAAAAAAAGGAUUGUAGGCUUGUAGUCGGAAAGGAUAUACUGUUGCUCAUCCAUCAACAGUUUUUGUUUUACUUUGUUAUUGUUAUUCAAUGAUGAGGCUUACAUUUUCAAAUAAAGCUUAUUCUUUUUAGAGUGCCUUGACUUUUAAAUCUUAAUAUACAUUAUCAUGUAUCAUUUUAUAGUUCAUUGAUAAUUAUUUCACAACAUAUUUUUUCUAAUAAAGCUUAUUCUUUUAGAGUGCUUUGAUAUUUAAACUCAACAUAAGUUAUUCUGCACCACUUUAGAUUUUAUUGAUGACUUUCAUUUUCCUGGCAGAUCUUGUUUUAAAGGACAAAAUUUUCGUUUACGACUUGGCUAAUCAGCGUGUUGGCUGGGUGGAUUAUGACUGUAAGUAUAACAAUCAUAAAACGAACACUUACUCUAAACAAUAAAGGCGAAGGUUUUUUUUUUUUUUUUUUUUUCCAAAGUCAAUUCUUAGAUUGUAAAGUUUGCCUCCACUUUUCUUUUCUGUUCAGGUUCCAUGUCUGUUAAUGUUACUACAUCAUCUGGAAAGAAUCAGUAUCUAAAUGCCGGGCAAUUGGAUGUAAGUGCCUCACCAAACACCGCAUUUUAUGGGAUAAUGCCCGCUGGAAUUGUAAUUUUCCUUGUGCAUAUUUUUGUUCUGGCCAUCUCACAGAGAUAGCAACAUACGCACACGCACACGCACACUUAUGUUAUUCAUUCUUUAUUGAUGUAUUCGGACAUCAAUGACUCGAUUACUCACACCAAUUGCUAUAUCAUUCUUAUGUAAAUUCUUUAUACCACAAUGUAUGUAAUGAUUAAUUGCAUUCACAUUUUUCGCCGUUCUACAUCAAUUUUAUUACAUUUCUGUGCUGAUAGUAGGCUAUGUUUACUCUGCUUUUUCAAACUGCUAGCUACCGUAAUGCCUUCGAGAUGAUGUAUAGAUACUUAAGCUCAUUGAUGUUUGUGUAAAAACAUUUGUAGUGUAUGAAAUAGCUUCUUUUAUUUUUAUACAUAAUGAUCAAUGAUCAGGUAGGAUACAACUUAUCUUUAGUACUCUGCUGUGUAUUGGCCAACUCUUUAUUCUUUUCCCUUUCUUUCAUCUCUAACUUUUGCUAGUUUUAUAAUCCUCACUUUAACCUCACUGACUCUUUUCUCCCUUCUUUUAAUAACUUUUCCCUACUCACUGUUUUCUUCUCGAUUCAUCUGGAACUUGUGUGACAUUCCACCUGUUCACACAUACCAUGUGCUUGUGUAGGAUAAUGAUGUUCUGUAAAAAGAGCUAUGUGCCUAAUUUAUCACUGUUGCAUUCUAUUCUGAUAAAUCUCUUUAGGUGUUUUUUUCUUGUUUUUGGAUUGUUAAAUCAAUUUUGGCAAAUACAUCAAUAUUUUCUUUUUACUACAUUAUUAUGAAAACCACAGCGAAAACUAGAAUGCUUCCAAUAUAAUGAAUGAUGGAUUCUUAAUUGGAGUCGCCUUUUUGUUUCGUUCCAUUUCCUUCCAAAUUUUUCCUCGCUUUUGCUUUCAUUUCAUCGUAUUUUUAUCAAACACCUGGGCCCAACGUUGAAAAGCAACGAGAGAUUGAAUAUAACAAUUUAUAAAUCCUAACAUUUGUUUGGAUGUACGAACAUAUUAUUCGGCGCAUCAUCUUGUAUUUACUGAAAAAAAAUACAGAUAAUCAUAGAUGUGGGGUGUGAUUACCUGUAUGAGUAUGAAAAUCAGUUCCUGUUACUGACUCUUUUCUAGUCAACAAUAUCUAUAGAAUCAACAGCUCUUUAAUUUGUUCAUCGAUUUAUGCGAAUAGUUUCUGCAAGAAACGAAUGAAUGAUUCAACAAGGGAACGCUACGUUGCACGUUGGUUUAAAGUAAUUAUUGUGUAGGCCCACAAAGAUCCCAACAGGGAGCGUAAAUUAUAUAAUAAUAUGAUCACCAUUCAAAAGAUGAGUAAGCUUUUCAACAUUGUCAAAGUAAGGAUUCGCGUUCAACAGAUCGAGUCCACGGCCCAGAAAAGUCUUAGCUGCUACGCAUGCUUACAUACUGGACAGAAGAAUACAUUGUUGACUAAUAAGAACUUAAGAGAUACAACAAUCCUUGUGUAGAUGAGAAUGAUAUAUGUAAUCAUAAAAUAAGAGGAUAGGAAAGAGGGGUUGUAAUUGGAACUGGAAUUGUAGAUUUUGUUAUUUUAUACGUAGGAUGACGAAAUUACCUUAAAAAACAAAGUUUAUAUUUUGUUUUUGUUUUUGUUUUUUUUUUUUUUUUUUUUCCUGAGGCUAAAAAACAGCAAGUUUUUCUCUUUUAGUACCUGUUUUUGGACAAAAAUUCUAUGGGCACCGGCCUCAAAUUAGUUAGUUUGGGGCCGGUCCCCGAUGGGCGCCGCAUGGCACAGGCGCCACGCGGCGCCCAUCCGCCACUGCUCUCCCAAUAUGGGGAGAGCAGUGGAAUUUCUGGGCGCACCUGGUGCAUGUAUACCAGGUGCACCAUAAUUGUAAUUUGUUUAAUUUUUUUAAAAUUGUAACUUAAUAUGGUAGUAUAUAUGUUAUGAUUUAAGAUUUAUAUAUAUGGUCUGUAAUUCAUGAUUAUUGAUUUAGAAAAUUAAAAUUUUAAAAUAAAUUUAUUUUUGGUUUCGUGGAAUAGCGUGGAUAAUUUUUAUUAUUCCUAAUUUUUUUUCGGAACCAAAUAUAAUUUAAAAUUUUAAUCUCUACAUGAUAACUCCUAAAUAAAUAAAUAAAUAAAUUAUUACAUAAAAUUGUAAUUUAAAAAACUAACAAUUAAAAAUUAAUUUUAUGGUGCACCUGGUAUAGAUGCACCAGGUGCACCUAGAAGUUCCAAUGCUCUCCCCAUAUUGGGAGAGCAGUGGUGGAUGGGCGCCGCGUGGCGCCUGUGCCAUGCAGCGCCCAUCGGAGACGGGCCCCAAACUAACUAAUUUGGGGCCGGUGCCCAUAAAAUUUUUGCCCCCUAUUUUUUUAAUUUUUUUCGUGAUUUUUGAAAUUUUAUAUAUUUUUUCUUAACAUUUUAGAAAUGUUUUCAGAGAAUUACGGUGUUAAUGAAGAGGGCGAAAUGACCGAAUUGUCUUUACUUGUUUUAUAAGAAAAAAUAAAUUUUCAAUAUAUUUCUAUCAAUUUUUAAGAUAUUUUUUAGUACAAAUUAUAAAAAAGGAUGAAAUAGUGACAAAAUUCUGAUGGUGAUAGAUUAAAUGUAUUAGCUUGAAAUUUUGAUAAGGUAACAUAUAGAUUUUCGAAAAUUAGAACCAAAAAGUAAAAAAAAAAAGGUAUUUAUGGGGGGAGGCUCUUUUUCUUUAUUUUAAAAGCAGACACACAGUUAAGAUUAUUUUUGAUGUAAAAUUAUUUUCUUUAACUACUGCAUAUUUACCCGUACACAAAUUGGAUGCAACUAAAUCUGCAAUUAAAUUAGGCCUUCAUCUGUAAUAAUAAACUAAACAUAACUUUAAGUUUGCCAGUACUUGCAGAUUCAUUGCAUGUUAAAUUACAACCUGAAAAAACUUCACCCAAAUAACUAAACUUAAAAAAAGGUACAGUAACUACAUGUUCAUUUACUUGGCUCAUGGAGGUUUCUUAGAUUAGUUUUAAUCUAAGAAACCUCCAUGAGCCAAGUAAAUGAACAUGUAGAUGUUUUUGUUGGAUUAUAUAUAAUUAAUGAUGAUGGAGCUUUAAUUAGAUCACUAUUUAGCAAGACCAUAAAAAAACCAUAGUACAUAGUAGUGAACAUUAAUUAUUAUGUUUGAUGAUCCUUAUCAACAUUACAUAAAGUCAAAGAUACAUAUAUAUUUUUUUUCCUCUUUGUGUUAUUCUUUGUGAUGAUCGCUUUGGAAACACGCAUCUUUUGCAUGUCAUAGUCACUGUGACGCUCUACGUAGACAUCUACAUAUCAUCAAUCUAGAAGGUUUUAACAAUCAAAUGGUUUAAUUUGUAAGAAGAAUCUCACCAAUGCCACCAAUUCUGGGAAAAGCUUUGGGACUUGGAUUGCGACAUCAAACCAAUCCAAUGUGUAGCCCAUUUCUUAAUUCCCUUUUCAAAGUUACCAUUUUAGUUUUGACUUAGAUUAGUUGAUGUAAAAGUUUUGGAUUAAUUAAACCUUGAUCCAGUUCAUGUUAGGUGGCAAUAACAGCAACCAAGGAUGUGUGUGUAUAUAUUAUAUAUAUACUAUAUAUUAUAUAUAUAAAUUAUAUAUAAAGGAGGCUGUUGCGCUCUCAGGAGCACCGGAGGCCUCGUGCUCUGAGCGUUUUUCGAUGAUGCGAAUUUUCGAAAUCGACGAUCGCUCCGUUAGACUUGAUCUUAGCGCAUUUAAAGUUUCUAGAAAUAAUUUUUGCCGAUUUUUCGAUAUCAUUUACCUAGUGAUAGAAAGGAUUCAAAAUCUAUAAUUUUUAAUGGUUGAUAUCUUGCCGUUUUCAAGUUUAAUGGUGUAGAAGUAUUCAAAUCAGAUAAAAUUUGAUAGAAAAUUCUUUAUACUAUCUACAACAAGAUUUUAUUUUUGAUCGAAAAUUUUAGUGCUAUAUCACACUUUUUAUAGAAUUUUUAUUUUCAACCGUUAAAAAUUAUUGAUUUUGAAUCCUUUUGAUUGCUAGGUAAAUGAUAUCGAAAAAUCGCAAAAUUAUUUUCUAGAAACUUUAAAUGCGGUAGAUCAAAUUUAAACGGAGCGAUCAUCGAUUCGAAAACUCCGAUCACAGAAAACGCUCAGGAGCACGGAGCCUCCGUGCUCCUCGUAGCCACAGCAGCCACUGCUAUAUAUAUAUAUAUAUAUAUAUAUAUAUAUAUAUAUAUAUAUAUAUAUAUAUAUAAUAUAAUAUAUAUAUAUAUAAUAUAUAUAUAUUAUAGAUUCAUUGAGUGAGAUAAGGGAAUCUAAAAACUGUCGAAGAAAUUGAUUUUCAAGCUAGAAAAGAGUUUUUUCAAAUGUUUAGCUUUCACGCAAGUACUUUAGUUUCCUAAGAAGUAUAUUUACCUUCUUUAGAAAAAUGCUAGCUUUGAUUUUUCAAAUAUUGUUUCGAAGCAAACUGAAGAUCAAUCUAUCUGUUGCAAACAAACACGCACGUGCUUCAAAACUAUUUCGUUUUUCGCCAAGAGAAUUAAGCAGCGGUAACCAAAAGUUUUUUUUUUUUUCAACGAAUAAUACUUUUCUUCUGAAAACCGUUCUUGAAACUUUUUACGUAGACAUAAAUGUUGAGAGACGGCGUGCUUUAUCAGCGAUAUAUUGUAAUUAUUAUUAUACAUGAAAGAUUAUAAAGAAAUGUAGCCAAAUGAAUCUACUAUAUCUAAAUUAUGUUUCAUCGAUCCUUCUUUCAUUAAUGAACAUACUAAAUGCAUGUAAAUUAAUAAUUAUAAGGUGAUAAAAAGAGAGGUAAAAUAUGUAAAAAAUCGAGAAUCAUAUUUUUUUCGUUUGCGUUUUGACUUGUCUAAGCCCCAUUAUAUUAUUGUAGUAAUAAAUUGGACCUUAAUCAUAAAAUAAAUAAAUUAUAAGCUGAUAAUAAACCCAGUAUUUUUCUACAAAAAUCAAGCAUCAGAAACAAAUUAAUAUACAUUUUGAGACCACUCUAACCAAAUUCCUGAGGGAAAUUCACGUGAUUUACUUUUUCGUUUAUAUGAUCGAAGUUUCACACGUGCAAAUUGAGUGGACUCUAACACUUGCUUUACAUUCUGUUAAAAAGAGUUAAUUUGUAAAAAAAAAAAAAAAAAAAAGAAGAAAAGAAAAGAAAAAGAAUCCACUUGUGCUUUAAUAUAUAUGCAUCAUCAUUAAUGUGGCCUCUCUAUAAGGAAUAAAUUUCAAUCCUGCUUUACUAUAUUGUCACAAAAGUUUAAAAUUUUGAAAUGUAUUUACUCGAGGAUUCACAUAAAAUUAAAUAAAUUGGUUCAGUAGCUUAUAACCUAUUUUUGUUGGCUAAAUAUUGACAAAUUAUUUAAUAUAAGUUCAAUGUGAGAGUAUUGUAUUAAUGAUGCAAUGAUAAUUAAGAUGCUGCAUCACUUUUAAAUCAACCAUACGUCAAUAUUUAGUCAGUUAAAUUAGGUUAUAGAAACUUGAUUGUAAUAAUUCUAAAGUUCGAAUUAAAAAUUAUAAUAAAUUAAGGUUUAGAACCAAAAAAUUACCCGCCUCAUAGUUUUAAGGACCGGACAUGCAAUUUACCCUUUAUGUAAUUUUAGUCAGGAAGGAAAAGAUAAAUUAUUGCUUCUUUGGGAAUCACUUACUGACUUUUUUUUUCUUUUUUUUUUUUCCUUUUUUGGUUGCUUAUUGGUGUGGUGCUGAAUCUUUGUGAAGUGCUUUAUUAAUUCUUGUUUGGUUUUCCUUCUCCAGUAAGACAUUUUUGUUAGUUAUUUUUAGAAGUGAAUAUGAUACUAUUUUUCCUUGUUUGUUAAUUAUUAAUUCUUGUUUAUUUUGUUAGUGUGGUGACUCCCUAGGCUUUGGUACACGUAGAUGAUUGACUCCUACUUUUGCUACAGUUUAUUUUAAUAAUAUUCAUAAAUAAUAAAAAUAAAAAGAAAGUUUUUAAGAGAAGGCGAAAAUAAAUUUUAGGUUUCAAAAACAAAUAACUCAGAAAGGCUUUACGCAACUUUAGGCCAUGCUUAUCUCAUAUUUAUAUUGCCUAACAUCCAAUUAAUAUAUUAUAGCUUGUUUGCGUGCUAAUGUAUGUGAUACGAAGAGUUUUGAUUGAUUCAUGCACGUAAUAGAAGGCAUCGGACAGAUUAAUUAAUAUGGCGAAUCAAUAGAGAUUUUUUGUAAGGAACGUUCUAUUCUUCAAAUUUUAAAUAAAAAGUAUUCUUUUCACUAGAUCAUAGAGAUUGAUGAGUACUCUUUAAAUGAGCAAAUAGGUCUUUUUUUGCAUUUAGAUCCUGGCAAAUUUUUAUUUUAAAAAUAGUCAUGUCAAAAUUUAAUUUGCAAAAAUGGCCCUGAGCCUGCCACGCAGGCGCCACGUCAGCGCCACGCGACAGGGCCGAGCUUGUGUGUUAAGUUGAACACGGUGAACCAUUCACCGUGUUCAACACGGUGAAUGAUUUACCGUGUUUAGUACGUAUUUUUCAUAUAUAUUGAAAAGAGGAAUAAGAAACAGGGAUGUCAUAGAUAUGGAUAUCCGAAAUAUUAUUUGAAUUCAAAUCGAAUAAUUAUUAUAUUAUAUAUAUAUUAUAUAUAUAUAUUAUAUAUAUAAAAUUUAUUUUUAUUUAUUUAUUUAUACAAUAAUAAAAUAUUUAAUAAUUUUUAUUCCUUAAUCUUAUCCAAUCCAGCGGAUUUAAAAUCUAUACCGUUGGAUGAAGAUCUAAAGAAUAAAAUUAUUAAAUAUUUUAUAUAUUGUAUAAAUAAACAAAAAUAAAUUACGUGAUAAUAUAUAUAUAUAUAUAUUAUAUAUAUAUAUUAAUUUAUUCGGGUUGGAUUCAGAUAAUAUUUCGGAUAUCCAUACUUUUUGAUAUCCCUACUCUUUAUUCCAACUUUUCAAUAUACAAAAAAUACGUAUUAAACACGGUGAACCAGUUCACCGUGUUUAGAUACGGUGAAUGAUUCACCGUAUUCAUUAAUGUCCUGGCCCCAGCCCUGCCCGCGUGGGCUGACGUGGCGCCUGCGUGCAGGGGACAGGGCGUUUUGCAAUUUUAAUUUUGAUAGAUGCUAUUUUUAAAAUAAAAAUUAAUCAUGGCGGCUAUUUGCAAAAAAAACCCGAGCAAAUAUUAUGUAUUGAUCGGUUAAAAUUAUAAAUUUUCUGAUCCGUUGAUAUUUAGUUCAAUGAUAUCAAAAAAAGUAUAAAUUUGUUUCUAAACAGACGUGAUUUGGAAUCUCUAUCAUCGAAAACAGAUCAAAAAUUCAUUUACUAUCAAUUGAAGCCAACUUCUCUCUUUAUGUAUAUAAAUAAUAAUAAUAAUAUAAUAAUAAUAAUAUCUCUUUAAAGAGGAGAGAGUGAGAGUGAGCCCAAUUAUUACUAUGUUAUUAAUAGGACAACUUCUUUUUGUCUGUCAAGUCAUUUUCGAUGAUUAAGAGUCCGAAUCAGUGGGCGGUUAGUAUAGUCAAACAUGAUCUAAAACAUAUAAAGUGUCUCAAAAUUAAAUUUCAUGAUUUUUAAAAGUCAUUAUCUAGUUAUCAAAAAAUUUAUAAAUAAUGUAAAAAUGAAUAAAGUUAUGCAAUAGAGGUUAGAACUUCUCAAUACAAAAUCGGGGUAUGGUCAUGAUCAGACAGUGAAAAAAAUUUUAUAAAAAUUUAAUAAAUUUAAAUUAUUUUACACUAUUAAACAGCAAAUAAUUUAUAUUGUCGGUUCGAGUCUUAAUUCAUUAAAAACGACUUGACAGAAUAGAGUGCUUUGUCUUUGUCUAAUUAAUGAGAUAAUAACUAAUCAGGUAGGACAGUAACUAGAAUCUACAUAGAACCCAAUUACAUUUUUGUAGUGGGACUAGCAUAGCAUGCAUACAGGCAUUCCAUUUUAUUUUGGGAAAAAACUUUAAAAUUCUCAUAUGGUUUCAAACUUUUUCAUUUUAGGUACUCUACUAUAGUUUAAAAUAUAUCAAGUUAGUACCAUAUGGUUUCACACUUUCUCACUUUAGUAUCCUAUGGUUUAAAGUGUAUCAAAGUUAGUACUGUGUGUUUAUUUUUGUAUCAAGUUAAUACCGUGUGAUUUUAUUUUUAUAUCAAGUUAGUAUCCUGUGGUUUAAACCACAUGGUACUAAAGUGGAAGUACAAAACAUAGGUACUAAAGUGAGAAAGUACGAAACACAGGGGUACUAACUUGAUACACUUUAAACCACAGAAUACUAAACGUGAAAAAGUGUAAAACCACAGGGUAUUAAUUUGAUAUACUUUAAAACCAAGAUACUAAUGUGAGAAAGAGUAAAACCACAUGGGGAUUUGAAGUUUUCCUUUUUAUUUUUGCAGUGGGAAUAGUAUUACUCAGAUUAAUAAAAGAUUAAAUUAAUUGGAUAGGCAAACAUAUAUUUGGUAUGCAAAUUUGUUGCAUAUUGACAAGUGGCUACAUAAUGUAGUUCCAACAAGGGAAAGUUAUCUAUAAAUAUAAUUUUUUAUCUAUGUAGUUAAUUGUGGUCAAUUGUUUGUGAAAGAAGUUUAAUCUUUAAAAGUUAUCCUAUAAAAAUAGUGUUUUAAUAUAUAUUUUUUUAGUUAUCUUUUUCUUUAUGUCGGAUUUGAUUUUUUUUUUUGAUAACUAGGCUCAAGACGUAGAUUAAAUUAAAUAUAUAAAGAGAAUAUAUAAGGGUUAUGUAUUUGCAUAUAACUACAGCUACAAUACUCUAGUUGUAACUAUAUAACAAAUUCAAAUCCGGUGUCUGCUUUUUAUGUUGUGACGCCCUAAAUUCCCAGGGGUCACCUAUCCUAGGACUACUCCCGUCCUAGCCACGCUUAACUCUUUUAACCUCUUGGCCUUGCACCACAUCAAAAUGCUUAAGCCGGGUUAGAGUUAGUAGCCUAUUAUAUUUAUUAUAUAGGACUAAUUCGCAGUUUCACAAUUAUCCUUUAAGCCUAACGUUUCGUCAGCAGGCUCAGGACUCACAAGCUACAGCGAUGUGAGACUAUCUCGUUAGCCCUUCAUCCAGUCCCUGGUUCAGUCGAGACUCAUCUCACACUUCGGCAGUAAUUGGCUGAUACCAUCUGUGACGCCACAAUUCCUAGGGGGAUCAUCCUCCUGGACUAUUCCCGUCCUAGCACGCUUAACUCUCUUAACCUCUUGGUCUUGCCACACCAAAAUGCUUAAGUAGGGUUAAAGAGUUUAGCCUAUUAUAUCUUUAUUAUAGGACUAUCAGGGUCUCACAGUAUGUAUUUAAAUUCAACUGUUGUUAUUUGGAAUUAUGCGUUAAAUUGAUCGUAGUUUUAACUAUAGCAACUUUAAAUAAAAGAUAAGUUACUAUCGUAAUUAUUUUUAAAAUUGUAAAUUUAUUUUUUUUUUUUUUUUUCAUUGCAGGUAAUCGCCACCAGCCACUCAUACAAGUGAUAAAAUUUUUACAAAUUUAUUUUUAAAUAAAUGUAUACAACAAAAAUAAAUUUUUUGAUAGUUGCAGGUAAUUUCUAUCGCGGUCCGAACCCGAAAAUGUAUGUAUAGCUGCAAAUAUUGCACUUCUAAAGCAUUACGUGGAACCAAACAGCCCCGUGAGUAGGAGAACGGUAGGAUUGAGCUGUUAGACAAUGAUAUAUUUAAAUAAUAUUAUAUAUUUAAUAUUUAUCGUAUCAAAAUAAAUGGCUUACAUGUCUCGCCUUAUAAACCACUCAAUAAUUGAAAAUGUCAAAGUAUAAUAAGCCCAGCCUGGUUGUAGUCUCUUCAGUUGAUUACCAGUCGUCCCUUGACUUGGAAUUCAUUUUAAAUUUAAUACUAUUCUAAUUCGAGAAGGUCACGGACUCGAACCUAUUUUCAGGCACUGCCAGAAAAAUCAAAAUGCACCUUCAAAAUGUACUUAUUAAUUAGAUCUGGUGUGAGACCCAGAUAAUCCUAUAUAUAAGAUAUAAUAGAUAGGGCUAACUCUUAACUCGGUUAAGCAUUUUGGGUAGUGGCAUAGACUAAGAGGUUAAGAGAGUUAAGCGUGUUAGAGACGGAGUAGUCCUAGGAUGAAUAACCCCCUGGGAAGUCGGGGCGUCACAGAAUGAUAUCGGAGCCAAUUACCACCGGAAGUGUGAGAUAGUCUCGACUGAGCCAGAGUCUGGAUGACGGCUAGCGAGACGAGUCUCACAUCGCCUGGGUACUUGUGAGUCUGAGCUGCCGGAACGUCAAGGCUUAAAGGGGGAAAGAUUGUGAGACCCAGAUAGUCUAUAUUAUAGAUAUAAUAGGGCUAAACUCUUAACCCGGCUUAAGCAUUUUGGGUGGUGGCUAGACCAAGAGGUUUUAGAGAGUUAAGCGUGCUAGGACGGGAGUAGUCUAGGAUGGGUGACCCCUAGGAAGUCGGGGCGUCACAUCUGAACACCAAGUAUUAAAUAUAAAAAUAAAAAGUUUUGAGGAAAACUUAAAUCUACCCAUUGUAAGUACAAUGAAAACUUUGGAUUAAAUGUCUUAGUGUAAUUAAACACAAAUCAUCAAAUUUAGGUUGUGUUAUAUGUGUACAUGUACUAAUAUACACUUUGCAUACAACUAAUAGCUCAUAUAUAUAUAUAUACCUGUUGUUCUUAAUAAUAAAAAAAUUAAAUUACAGAAAUUUUCUUGUAAAUAUUCUAUUGUUUUUGUUUUUUCUCUUAACUUUAAUUCAAAAAUCUAUAUUUUAUAUUUGUUAAUAAUUUCAAAUUAUUGGCAUUUAGUCACACUCAGUAGGAUUUCAUCAGCAAUUCCUUUCCUCACUAUUCUUUUUAUUUUUAAUAUAUAUCGAAAAAAACGCUUCAAAAUACAAAAAAAUAAUAAAAAAUAUUUAUUUCUCUCAUCAGAAAGAGUAAGAAUAAUUUAAUGCCUCAUUUUGCUAGCUCUCUAUUAUGCCGUACCCUCCCUAAAAAUAUUUCAAAAUUUCAGUAGAGAUCGUCAUCUCUAGGAGCACGUGACGAAGGGUUUGGUGGUUGGGACAUGAGGUCCGCAAGUUCGAAAAUUAUUGAAUUUCAUUUUCAUGCUAAGUUUAUUUCUAAAUGAAUGAACGAGACGGUCGCGGCUAUCUAUCCCUAAAAAAAAAAAAUUUGAAUAGUAACAAAAUUUUAGAUUUAAAUCAUAAAAAUAAAAAUAACUAUUUACAUAAUUUUUUUUUGUAAUUUGUUUAAUUAUAAAAAUACAUUUGUGUGUAAAGUUCACAGCGCUCAUUCCGGGCAUAAUGUAUUAUUUUUAUUUUUUUUUUUUUUUGAGAGAAAAAUGUUUAUAUUUUUUAAGUACCUUAUUAUGGUUUUAGUUUCUAUUAGCUCUCUUGUUGACAUUUUGAAUCCUUGUGAUGUAGACAAUUAAUUUGACACACAGUAGGUGAUCAGACAUUAAUUAAUGCAUACAUGUGUAUUAACUAAUAACAGAGCUCGAUUGCUUGUUCCACGCUAUUCUACAGCAUAUAGUGCUUAGCACAUAAAAUAAUCUUUUGAUAUAGGUUUCUUUUUUUUUUUAUUUUAAAAAAAAAAGAACUUUCUCUACUAAUAAAAUCCAUAAUAACUUGAUAAACUAUUAAUAUUGGUGUGUGUAGGUUUCUCAUUGACUGAUUAGCCCAUGAACUAAUUAAAAUUGCUGAUAUUAUAUACACUUGGAUUGCAAUUUAACAUAUAAUAAUAAAGUUAAUUUUUUUUUAUAAUGUAGCUAAAAUUACUCUUAGGUAAGCAUUAAGGGUGUUGAAAGAUGUACAACUGCUCUUUAAGAAACCUCGUCUAAACUAUGUUAAUAUAAAAGUUUGAAUACUAUUAAAUGAAUUAAUAUUAUUUAUUAUCUAUGUAUCACGGACACUUUUUCAAGCGCCAUCGCGUGUCCGUAUCGGACUCGGCAAAUCCAUGUCGGACGUAGCGCUGUGUCGCGUGUUAGAACGAUUCGUAUUGAUAAUGGAACACUUCUUGGCACGCUCAUUUAUGGCGAUCCAUAAGCGUAUAAACUAAAAAUAUCAUAUCUAUUUUUGUUUACUUUUUUUAUACAUAUGUAAUGUAAGAGAAUGAAAAUUUAGAUUUUUUAAGAAUGUAUAUAAUUUCUUUUAGACAAAUAUAAACAAUUAUGGUAUGUGGAAUAAUUUCUUUUCUUAAAAUAAUGAACUAUCAUAAAAUUUUACUAAUUUUAUUCGUACGCAUAUAAUAUAUAUAUAUUUAUCAAAUUAAUAUUUUAUACAUAAUAAAAAUAUAUUAUUGAUAUAUAUAUUUAUUUAGUUAAGUGUCCAUGUUGUAUCCUGUCUAAAUUUUUUGAAAAUUGCUGAGUACGCGUGUUGUAGGUGUCCCGUGUCAGUGUCCGUGAUGCUUCAGUUUAUUAUUAAUUUUAGUCUUUAAAUUUUUAUAGAGUCAAUCACCAAAUAGUAAUUUUAGGCAUCUAAAGGAGAAGAAUCAGCUAUUACAGGAGAUAAUAUAGAUAGGGAUAAGAAAAAUAGUGUUUUGGAUGAAAAUUAGGUUGUUCCGCACGGAAUUAAGAAUAAUUUUAGAUAAGUUUUAUAUAGGAAAUAGGUGUCUGGUGGAAUAAACGAAGAAACUCUAUUUCUGCGAUAAAAAAUUAGCGUUUGGCGUAUAGGAGGGAUAAGGUCCUAUCUAUCCUAUCCGACUAACCAACGCAAUACAGAAAAUAAAUAGCAAUUCUUUUUUCUAUUAUUUAGUAGUAUUCCUUAUCCGGCUACAUAUAUACUACAAUCGGAAGAAAAUUAUAUUAAAAAAACGCCAAACAUGUAUUUUACGUAGGAUUGCGGGAGGAGCUAUCAAGAUUAAAAUUCUUAUGUUGAGGCUCAAAUUUUGUCCUUUUAAAAGGUGUCCUAGGUAAAAAGCUAGACAUGUAACAUUUAUAUAACAUAUAGUGUAUAUAUUGCAUCUCUCUCAUCUGAAUUUACAAUAAUUUUUUAAAAGUUUUUUUUAAUAUUAUAAAAAAGUUAAUAAAACUUGUAAAAUAUAAAUAUAAUCUUUGAUUAGUACGUAAAUACAAAUUCAGGUACAAACAUCGUCAUAUGCCACUUCAAAAGUGUCAAAAAAAUCUCUAAUUUUCUAGAAUUUACAAAUGAGACCUAGAUUUUAGAAUAUAUUUUUGGACAAUUUAAAGGAUAAAUUUAAAUUUUUAAUAAUAUAUAAGCAAUAAAUAAAUGUAAAAGUUUCUAAAUAUAUACUAAUUUAACAAGGUGUACCAGAUAGUACUGUCAUUACGCAAAAUUUCAUUUCCAUUUUUACAUUCAAAAAAAAAAAAACAAACAAAUUUCAUUCACACAUGUACGGAUAAGAGUUUGCUAAGAAAUAAUUUGUAAGAAAGUUUCGACUAGCUUGAUUCACACAUUCAGGGAUUAGAGUUUUUUUUUUUCUUUUGUGUUUUUGAAAAGGUGCAAUGCAUGGUUUCUAGAAGUAGUGGAUAUAUGAUAAUCUUGAUCACUUUAAUCCGAUACCUUGGGAUUAUAUAAUCAAGAUUAUAAUUCGCGAGAUAGGUUAGCCAAUUUUUUUUAAAAAAAUUGCUGAGUAAUAAAACAUUCUUAGCUUAUGAAUAAUUGGGAACUUUGUGUACCAAACUCCCAACUCUACAAUUAAAUAAAAAAAAAGAAAGGAAAAUUAAGCACGUUCAUAUAAGUUCUCACACCAUAUUAAUCAGUCAGGUUCUCCAAGUACAAAAAGAUCAAUAAAUAAAUUAAGAUAAAUAAAAAAUAAAAACCCUUUCUCAACAUCCCUAAAUUUCAACCCUUUAACCAAAGCCAAACUCAAAUAACAGUCAAUGCACAACCAAUAACAUAGUUCACACUUCACAAUCCUUUUAACUCUCCAAAUUUAGAAGGAAAUAAAUUAGUGACAUGGACACGCUUAUGACCGAGACAAUUUAUAUAUUUCAUUAUAAGUUUGCUGCUAACUAAUCUCCACCUAUAAGAUAUCUCGAAAUAUGUAAAACAAGUAUAGCGCUACUCUUAUCUGACACUAUUCUAGAGAAUAUAAAUUAUAGAAUUAAUUUAUACAUAUUUGCAAAUAUAUAAAUAAUUUUCAUAUAAUAUUUUUACAAACAGUAUAUAUUUUCAAAUGCUGUAUAAGUUUGUACGUGUAGGAACGUUUAAUUAUUUAAUUUUAGCUAUUACAAAUAUUCUACUCCAUAAGGAUACUUAGUAUUAAUAAUAAAUAACAGGGCUAAAAAUUAUCAAAAACUGAUAGAGCUAUAGUUGAUGUAACAUGAGUUACUAAUUAUCUAAUACGGAUUCUAACGGCUUUGAGGGAUAAUUUGAAAAUCGUUCAGGAUUUGUAAGGGACAAAUUACGAAAGUUGAACAUUUGCUAGGGAUUAUUUGUAUUCACUUAUGUGACGAAAGUUGAAUUAUGUAAGCGAAUAUAUAUUAAUUAUGUUUAUAGUUAGAAAUGUAUGAUAAAUUUAACUAUAUAAAUUUAUAACUUCUUUAGAAGGUCCCAGACUAUAGACGGGAUGUAUGCGCAUGACUCAUUUCCAGGGUGCUGAAGCCCGAUCUACUCUAGUGGAUGCAAAUGGAUCGGGUUGGUGGAGCUCCGCCGACGAUACCGCCCCGAAAUGGGGUGGUAAGUGUUAGAACAAAAAAUACUAAAAAAAUAUAACGCCACCGAAUCCGCCCCGAUCGCAAGUAAAGGGAGCGGAGAGAGUGGGAGACUCUUUUCUUCUUCAAUCCGCCCGAUCCGCUAAAAAUCAGAGUUUCCGGGCCGAUCGCCCGAUAUGGAGACGGUAAGUGGGAAGACAAAAUAAAUAAAAAGUACGCGCCAUGGAUUCGCCGACCCCGAUAGAAAUGGAGAGCGGGAGGUGGGGGACUCUCCCGCCGGAUCCGCACGUUUGAUCUAGAUCUCUCAUUAGUCGACAGGUCGAUCACUUGCACUGUAUUUUACUUUGAGACUUAUUCUCAUUGCCAAACAAUACAACUCCUCGUUCUUACUCCCACACUCUUAAAACUACAUGUUGUCAGCAUCUCCCCUCAUUGCGUCUGGCUGCUGCUGCUGCUGCUGUGUGCGCCUUCUGAUCUAGAAUAAAAAAAUAUUGAUUUGAUUUGAAUUUGAUUUGAAUUUGAAUUUAAGCAAAUUAAAGAGAAGAUGGUGUAUAAAUAAAGCAAAAGGAAAGAAGAAGGCGCGGCGGCAGCAGCAGCGGCAGCAUGCGGUUAGGGAGGAUGGCGUUUUGAGUGGGCCGUUCGCGGUGGGGCGGUGGUGCGGCCCUUGGCGGUGGUUCAUGGUGUUCGCGAUCGAUGCUGAAUAUUGAGCGGCGUCGGGACAGAGGCGACGCCGUACAUAAUCGAGGACUAUACUCCAAGACCUGAAGGCGGCGUCGCUUACGACCAGCAGACGGCUGAACACGGCUGAGCUUCUUAAGAGCUGGGGCGCCAAACGUCGGACGUGCAACGUCGGCAUCAAUCAACGAUGGUCACGGCCGCCGACUCUCCCGGUCGUGCUCGCCAUCGGCGCCGUCAUGAAACCUCUUCGGCUACUCGAUGAUUACCUCGCCAGAUUCACGGCCGCCAGCCCCGGCCAGCGUCCGCCCUCAUGAUGCUUCUACAUCUUAUCGGGCAACUCGAGUGUGCCUGACAUUAUAUAUUUAUAUAGGAUAUUUUUCUGAUGCAGUUCAUUCGACUUACGCAGUUAGAAGCUAAGAAGUAGUAUAGAUAGAGAUCUAUUCCUCUUGUUGUUUCGUUUUUUUCUUUUUUGAAAUAAAUAGAGACUAACCAAUUUUUCAUUGUAAAUUUUAUGAUUUUAAUUGGUAAAUUGUAUCAAGCGCCUUAAUAAUUUAAGUUAUUGCAGAUUUUAUUAAAAUAUUUUUUUUCCUUUUAUUUUACUAUUUUGUGUAUACUUUGCAAAAGUAUAUAUAUUAUAUAUGUAUAGGAUUGAUUUUUAAUUAGAAAUUGAAAUAUAGAGAUGAGGAUAGAAAAAUUAUUGCAGCUGAGUAUGUAUGUAUUGUAUGCAUUGCAGGCGUGGUCGCUAACACAGGGCGGCGCUGGUGACGUGCGUGAAGAACUUCACCGGAGAGCUGGCGUGAGAUUUGCUCGGGCCUCCUGAAAGGGCUUGUCGGGAUCAGCGGCGGCCAUCUUUCCGGCUGUAUCGCCAUCUCACACGGUGGCGAGGACUCCAAGUCCCGUCUCUCAUUAGCUGGGUCCGGCCGUCAUCUACAUCCUCUUCGUCCCACCAAUCCGAAUCAUUCCCCUACCGCCGCAGGCCGCCAUUGCAGCCGGAACCACCCCUUCUACUGCUUCUCGAUAAUCGUCCAUCGUCCCUCGCCACCAUACUCAUGGUCGUCAUCGUACGUCGAGAACAGAGUCGGCGUUCUCGCACGCCGAGUAUCAGGAAUCGGCGCCGCCGUCCUGGUCGUUCCUGCUCUUUUCCUCCCCUGCGCCGUCGUCCCGGUAAGCAGCAGAGGUCAGGGAGACUCCAAGCCAAGAAGAAAGGCAGUCGAUUCGGUCAUUCCUCCUCUAAUCUCAGAACGGUCCCCGCUGAACCAGCAUCGCGAUCGUCGAAGAGAGUCGACUGCGGAAGAGGAGGAGGAGCCACGAGAGCGGUCGUGCUCGGGAUGUUUCAGCCUCCGGCGAGGGACGACGACUACUCGAUCCUGCAGGCAACUGUCGUCGAGCGUGGACAUUGAUCGUGCUUGUUCGUGGCGACGAUAUACGGGAUGUGGGCGGACGAUGACGGCGAUCGACAACUGGGCCAGAUCGCGGCGUUCGUCGGCUUUACCGACGAGGCAGCAAUAAACCUUCGUCUCGCUUGGUGAGCAUCUGGAACUACGCGAUCGGGCGCGUCGCCCGCGGUGUUCGCGUCGAGUUCUCCUCGCAGCAGUUACAAGUUCCCAGCGCUCGCCUCGUGACUUCAACCUUCGUGCUCCUGUCGCUGCGUCGGCCACCUCCUCAUCGAUUCGGGCCGUGCCGCAAGUCGAAUCUACGCCACUCCUCAUAUCGGCUUUGCUUUCGGGCGCAGUGGUGGGCGCUGCUCUUUCCGCAUUUCAUCUACGAGGUGUUCGGCCCUCAAUACUAACUCGACGCCUCUAAACUUCGGCUCAGUCGAGCGAGCCGAUCGGCGUCGUACAUAAACUCAACGUGAGGAUCACCUGGGACCACUUGUUACGACCGCCGAGCGCGAAGGAAGAGCGACGGGCUCGCGGAUGUGGUCCGGCAAUGGACACGACGUGGCAUGGUGAGUGCACUGCCUUCAAGCUCUCGUUUCAUGUAUAAUAAGCGCGCUGACCCGUGGUGGCGGGGCCUUGGUCAUCGUUAAGAUACUGGUGUGUGAGGACAAUGGAGUUUACUAUAAGAGAGAUAUAUAUAGCUAAAUGUCAGAGACUCUUUCCUCUAUGUGGAUAUUUGUGCGAGAAAUAAUGUAAUAAGCAAUGGAGUGGUGGGCGAGAGUGUUAAAUGGAGGUGGAGGGAAGUGUGUUCAACAGAGAUAAAUGCGAGUGAAUGGGAUGGGGUGAGGUUAUAAGAGAAUAGGUUUGUUGUUUUAAUUUAAAAAAAAAAGUAGAUUUGAACUUGUAUAAGUAGCAAAAAACUCAUAUUUAUUUAGUGUGUGAAGAUAUAUAUAAAAGAAUAUUUCCGAGCUUCUUAUUUCUAUAAAACACUUUUAUAGGAGAAAUAUAAUAAUAUGCCAUUAAGUUCAUUACUCUUCAAAAUUUGUUAAGAGUUCAACUACUAUUAAUAUAAUUUAUAAAGAGAAAAAAAUUAUUUGCGUUCCAUCAUACAGCUAUAAGAUGCUUUUAGAUUUAUAAUAAAUUUUAUUGAAUAUGCUUUAUAUAUAUAUUUUGGAUUCGAUGUUAACCGACUUAGGCCAAAAAGCUUUCGACAAGUUAGUAAUACCGGAGUCUAGUUAGCUGUGCUUAACUUAUAGUGCAUUCAAAACAAAAUUUGCGAAAUAUAUAAAAUAGGUUUUGUGCUACAUGGAGAAGUGACUUUUCAAACAAAAAAUAAUUUGAAUUGGAUCAUUAGUGAGUUGCAUAGAAACAUUGCUAACAAUAAUUUCAUUCUUUAUUUUUUGGCGGGUUAGUAGAUUAAUUUACAAGCAAUUGAGUCAAUAUGAAUUCUCUUGUGAUAGAGACUGGAGGUGGAACCGAGACGAGCUCGAGCGGGCUUAUGCUAGUCAAAUUCGGCCAUUGAAAUUAAUUUCGAGCCUAAAAUCUAGGCUUCAUUUUAAUUCGAGCGAGCCCGAGCGGAGCCUAAUUUUUGAGUCGAGCAGGAAGCGAAGCUUAAGCGAGGCGAUUAGAAAUUCUCGAAUUAUAUAAUCAUGGUUUAAUUUUUAUAGAACAUUACUUAUAAUAUUGAUGCAAUAUUGCUCAAUAGUUCAAAAUACAAAAAUUACAAGAAUAGUGAGCUUAUUGGCGUGAACUGCCUGACUUGGGUGAGGGCCUGAGAGAUGAGAGAGAUAUUAAAUGAGAUGACGAGAGAGAGAGAAUGGGAUGGGGGGGGGGUGCGAAUUAGGAAUUUGAAAAUUUGAAAUGUGUAUCUAUUUUAGUGUCUCUGUUUUGGGUUUUGGUAAUGUGCAAUAGUGAAAAUCUGAAAGAGAGAAGUGUGUUAUAUAAAUUUUAGAAUUGGCUCAUAUUCACGGUUUCGUAGCUUAUUUGGGUAUUAUUUUAUUGCGCAACAAUAAUGGCCCUUAAAAUUAAUUAAGGCUAUAUAUAUUAAAUACAUUUCUAUAUAUAUUACUAUUAUAUUCGAGCUUUACGAGUCUUUUCGAGACAUAAUUCGCAACGAGGCCGAGUAAUACUCAAGCUCGCUUCAUUGAUAAUUUCGAGUCGGACUCGAAGACGAGCUGAAUAUUCGAGACCGCAACAACGGAAUCGAAGCGAGCCGGUCGCUCGGUUUGCAAGGCCCUAAUAGAGAAUUGCAUUUAUUAAUAUUUUCAUUUGGGAUUAAAUUGAUUUUUCUCUCUAUAAAGUUAGCUGAUUAGGCAUAAGUAUACAAAUACAACACUGAAACUGGUUCAGACUAUAUAUUCGUUUAGAAAAACGAAAACUUUUCGUUCGUGUUAAGUCCGUUUUAGAUGAUAUGAUUCGAAUCUGAUGAUCGGAACAGUUUAAACUUUUGAUUAGGUAUUAUAAACGUCUAGAAUAUAAAUUUUUUAAAUUUGAAUUCGUUAUCAAGUCAUUGAAGAGUCGAAAAGGAAAUAACUGUGAAAAUAGAUGUUAGACUUUUUAAUUUAUGAUCGGGUUAUCAAACGUUUAUCUAAUUAGGGAUAAAAAUUUUGUAUCAAAAAUCAAAUUGUUUGGAUUGUUUAUAUAUCGAUAUUAAAAUAAGGAAAACAAUCUAUUGACCGUUCAAAAAAUCUGUUGAUUUGUGAUUCUUUGAUAUACUAAAUGAAUUUUUAAAUUUGUUUAAAAUUUAGUUUCUAGACAUUUUUAAAUACUUAGAUCAAUUUUAACUGGUUUAGUCAUCGAUUCGAAAUUAUGUUAUCUAACGGAAAGCUUUAGAAGAUUGAAGACCCCCAUCAUUCUAAAAGGAUAGUAGCUAGAAUUCACAUAAUCCUAGAUUAAAGGAAUUCGUUCUUUUUUUUCAGGUAUAAAAGAAAGCAUUUUCAUUGUAUUAAACAAAAGAUAAUUUUAUAUGAAGAUUAAAAAUUUCAAUAUGAUGUUAGGAAGCAUGAUUUUCACCGAACAAUUAUUAGAAUCGGAAAUUUGUGCAUCGAAUACGAUAUUUAACAGUGACUAAAUUUAGAACAAAAUUAUAUGAAGAAAGAGGAUAUUGGAUAGAAAAGAUAACUAAAACUAAUCUUUAAUUAAUUUAAAAAAAUUAUUAUACCUUAGAGACAGUGCACUUAGUGCAACAUUUCAUAGCACUUGUUAUCUAAUUAAACCAAUUGCUAAAAAUAUAUUAUAAAAGUCAUUAACCAGAUGAUAAAUCAAUUUUUAUUUUGAUAAUUAUAAACAUAUAAUUUGAAAUAAACUUUUAUUAUCUAAGUUCAAUUUUAGAUUAAGGUUGGAUUAUUAUUAUCAACAUGAAUGUUAUUUAUUGAGUUGAUCGGUAAGAUGGACCCUCUCGAAAUAGCAGAUUUAAUGUAUGUCUUUAUUAUAUAUAAUCUGCAUCCUAGUGAUCUACAUAAGUAUAGGCUUAGUUUGCGUAAUUGAUGUCUAUCUAACGUAAUACGAUAAAAUGGAGUUGUGGAAAAAGACAUAUAGAAAUUAUGUUUAUGCGUUAUACGUAGAUAGACCGCAGAAUUUAUUGUAACUGAUCAUCGAUAUUGCGGAAGGCCGAUUUAAUUCAGAACAAACAGCAGAUAUUUUUUUUAAACCGUACUUUCUCAACGCCGUAAGCGACAAAUUCCCCGCAAUCCCAAACGAAGCUAAAUAAUUAUAUAAUUUACAGUAAUUAAUCACUAUAAAUUAUGGAAAGUUGUGGACAAGGAUCAACUUGAUAGAGCAUUCAACACCGAAUUGUUGAUCUAAACUUAUAUUGUAUUUUUUUUUGGCAGUAAACUUCAAAUACCACCUCGUAGGGUUUUUAUUUUUACAUUUAGUAAUCAUGUUUAAAGACUGUAUACACUUUAGUACCAAUAGUGGUUUAAUUUUUCUACUUGAUUUGAUCGGCUCCUCAGUUAAUAUUUCGUUAAGAUUUAUAUCAAAAACCUUAGAUAUCAUACCUAGAUUGAAUGAAUAUUCACUUUAUAACUUUUGUUUAACUUUUUCAUGAUUUAUAAAAAAAUUAAUAUAGAGGAGAUAAUAAUAAAGAAAAAUAAACAAUGAUAUAGAAUUAACAUAUUUUAAAUACAGAGUAUUUAAAGUGAGAAAUGCGAAACUACAGGAGUAGUAUUUGAAGUUUUAUUUUUUCUUUUUUUAAGGAAGAAACAAGAAAGACACCACCUCUAAUUGAAAGGACAUGUAAGGGACAUGAUAUUAAUAUUUUCUUUUUGAAAAAUUGAUAUAUUUUGAAUUUAUCUACAAAAUAAUUAGGUGCUGCUUCAUUAGUUAGCUAAUGAAUGCUCAGCUUUGAAAAUGGACCUAAAUCAGUGAAGUUUGGCCCUAAAAUUGAUCCGUAAGGUUUUUGAACCUCAAAACAAGUUUUGCCAAGUUCAAGCUGGUCAAUAAUAGAGUCAAUUUGGAAAAGAGGUUGUUUUCUUCGGGUUUUAACGUUCAAUUUGAGAUUUGGAUUUGAUUGAUUUUGUAAUCUCUAUUGUUCUGCAAAUUCGGGACCCGUAAUCUAUUUGGGCUAUUUCAGGCCAAGCUGAAUUGGCAUGAAUUCAAUUGCUAGGCUAGCUUGGUUGGUUUAUUAGAUGUUGUUUUUCUUUGUGAGAAGAGAAGAGAGGAGAGAGAGUAAAGCUAAAAAUUAUCCUCUUCAUUAUAAUUUGCAUAAAAAAUAGAGUAACUAAAAAUGUAAAAGUAAGUGAUUUUGAAAUUUUGAAAACUUGCAAUACCCGAUCGGAGUAUUUAAUCAAACUGACCAUGGUCAGUAAUGGAAGUAAUUAUUUUUAUUUAGAGCAUUGGUUUCUUCCGUCGUCGAGCAGAAGGCUAGUUGUACUUCGUUGAUCUGUAAGCAUGGGCAAGUCAGAUCAAGCAUAUGAUCUCCUCGUGCCGUUGUGNNNNNNNNNNNNNNNNNNNNNNNNNUUAUUAUAAUAUUAUAUAUAUUAUAAUUAAUUAUAUUUAUAUCUAAAGCGGCUGCUGCACUACUAGGGCCUCACGGGGUCUCCUGUUGUCCUGUGAAGCCCGUUUUCGAUGAGAUUUCGAUCGACGAUCGUGCUAGUUAGAUUGAUUUAGCGCAUUAAAGUUUUCUGCAAAAAUUUUUGCAGAAUUUUUCAGAUAUAUUUCCCUAGUGUAGAAAGGAUGUCAAAUCUUAUUUUUAAUGGUUGAUAUCGUUGCGUUUUCCAGUUUAAUGGUGUUGAAGUAUUCGAAUCAGAUAAUUUGAUAGAAAUUCUUUAUACUAUUCAAAAGAUUUAUUUUCUGAUCGAAAUUUUCGUGUUAUAUCACACAUUUUUUAUAGAUUUUGUAUUUAACGUAAAAAUAUUGAUUUGAAUCCUUUUGAUUGCUAGAGUAAAUGAUAUGAAAAAUCGCCAAAAAUUAUUUCAGACGUUUAAUUGCGAUAGAUACCUUUACGGAAGCAGAAUCAUUCGAUUCGAAACUCUAUCAUCGAACGGAUCAGGGCAGGGAGGCUUCCGUGCUCUCUGAGAGCACAGCAGCGCUAUAUAUAUAAUAUAUAUUAAAAAGCAUCUAUAUAUAUAUAUUAUAUAUAUAUAUUAUAAUUUUAUAUUUCUAUAUUACUAUUAUAUUUAUUAUAGGAUUCAUCUGGUGAGAUAAAGGGCAUCUUAAAUAAGUGAGGAAUUGAUUUUCACGCUAGAAAAGAGUUUUUCAAUGUAUUAGUUCCGCAAGUACCUUUAGUUUCAUAAAGAGUAUAUUUACCUUCUUUAGAAAAUGUAGUGGAUUGAUUUGUCAAAUAUUGUUCGAAGCCAAAACUUGAAGAUCAAUACUAUCUGUUGGCAACACACGCCUGUGUUUCAAACUAUUUUCGUUUUUUCGCAAGGAGAAUUGAAGCGCAAGGUAACCAAAAAAUUUUUUUUUUUUCAUACGAAUAAUACUUUUUCUUCUGAAAACCGUGUCUUGAAUUUUUUACGUAGACAUAUUGUGAGGACGGCAAGUCAAUAACCGGAAAUCACGAUGCUUUAUCAAAGCGGAUAAUAUUGUAAUUUAUUCUAUACAUGAAAUAUAAGAAUAUGUUAGCCAAUGAAUCUAUAUAUUAAUUUAUGUUCAAUCGAUCUUUUUCAUUAAAUGAACUACUAAAUGCAUGUAAGUUAUAUAUAUAAAGGUGUAAAAAGAGGAUAAAUAUGUAAAAAAUGAGAUAUUAUUUUUUCGUUUUGCGUUUUGAUUGAUCUAAGCCGCACCAAUAUAUAUCUAUUGUAGUUAUAAUUGGACCUUAAAUCAUAUAAAUAAUAAUUAUAAAGCUGAUAAUAACCCCAGUUUUUCUAACAAAAUUCACAAAGAUCAGAACAAAUUUAAUUUCAUUUUUAACCACUCUAAACAACAUUCUGAGGGAAUUCACGUGCAUUUCUUUUUGUUUCUAUUUGUGCGAAGUUUCACACGUUGCAAUUUGGUGGACUCUCCACUUGCUUUACAAUUUUGUUUAAAGGUAAUUUGUAAAAAAAAAAAAAAAGAAAAGAAAAGAAAAGAAAAAGAAAAUCCACUUGUGCUUUAAUAUAUAUGCAUCAUCAUUAAUGUGCCUCUCUAUAAGGAUAAAUUUCAAUCCUGCUUUACUAUAUUGUCACAAAAGUUUAAAAUUUUGAAAUGUAUUUACUCGAGUGAAUUCACAUAAAUUAAAUAAAUUGUUCAGUAGCUUAUAACCUAUUUUUGUUGGCUAAAUAUUGACAAAUUAUUAAUAUAAGUUCAAUGUGAGAGUAUUGUAAUUAAUGAUGCAAUGAUAAUUAAGAUGCUGCAUCACUUUUAAAUCAACCAUACGUCAAUAUUUAGUCAGUUAAAUUAGGUUAUAGAAACUUGAUUGUAAUAAUUCUAAAGUUCGAAUUAAAAAUUAUAAUAAAUUAAGGUUUAAGAACCAAAAUAUUACCCGCCUCAUAGUUUUAAGGACCGGACAUGCAAUUUACCCUUUAUGUAAUUUUAGUCAGGAAGGGAAAAGAUAAAAUUAUUGCUUCUUUGGGAAUUCCACUUACUUGACCUUUUUUUUUCUUUUUUUUUUUUCCUUUUUGGUUGCUUAUUGCGUGUGGUGCUGAAUCUUUGUGAAGUGCUUUAUUAAUUCCUUGUUUGGUUUUUCCUUCUCCAGUAAGACAUUUUGUUAGUGUUUAUUUUUAGAAGUGAAUAUGAUACUAUUUUUCCUUGUUUGUUAAUUAUUAAUUCCUUGUUUAUUUUGUUAGUGUGGUGACUCCCCUAGGCUUUGGUACGUAGAUGAUUGACUCCUACUUUUCGCUACAGUUUAUUUUAAUAUAAUAUUCAUAAAUAAUAAAAUCAAAAAAGAAAGUUUUUAAGAGAAGGCCGAAAAUAAAAUUUUAGGUUUCAAAAACAAAAAUAACUCAGAAAGGCUUUUACGCAACCUUUAGGCCAUGCUUAUCUCAUAUUUAUAUUGCCUACCAUCCAAUUAAUAUAUUAUAGCUUGUUUGCGUGCUAAUGUAUGUGAUACGAAGAGUUUUGAUUGAUUCAUGCACGUAAUAGAAGGCAUCGGACAGAUUAAUUAAUAUGGCGAAUCAAUAAGAGAUUUUUUUGUAAGGAACGUUCACUAUUCUUCAAAUUUUAAAUAAAAAGUAUUCUCUUUCACUAGAUCAUAGAGAUUGAAUGAGUACUCUUUAAAUGAGCAAAUAGGUCUUUUUUUGCAUUUAGAUCCCUGGCAAAUUUUUAUUUUAAAAAUAGCCUUGUCAAAAUUUAAUUUGCAAAAAUGGCCCUACCCCUACCACGCANNNNNNNNNNNNNNNNNNNNNNNNNNNNNNNNNNNNNNNNNNNNNNNNNNNNNNNNNNNNNNNNNNNNNNNNNNNNNNNNNNNNNNNNNNNNNNNNNNNNNNNNNNNNNNNNNNNNNNNNNNNNNNNNNNNNNNNNNNNNNNNNNNNNNNNNNNNNNNNNNNNNNNNNNNNNNNNNNNNNNNNNNNNNNNNNNNNNNNNNNNNNNNNNNNNNNNNNNNNNNNNNNNNNNNNNNNNNNNNNNNNNNNNNNNNNNNNNNNNNNNNNNNNNNNNNNNNNNNNNNNNNNNNNNNNNNNNNNNNNNNNNNNNNNNNNNNNNNNNNNNNNNNNNNNNNNNNNNNNNNNNNNNNNNNNNAGAAGCCGGACCCUAUAUAUAUAUAUAUAUAUAUAUAUAUAUAAUUUAUUCGGGUUUGGAUUCAGAUAAUAUUUCGGAUAUCCAUACUUUUUGAUAUCCCUACUCUUUAUUCCACUUUUCAAUAUACAAAAAAUACGUAUUAAACACGGUGAACCAUUCACCGUGUUUAGAUACGGUGAAUGAUUCACCGUAUUCAACUUAAUGUCCUGGCCCCAGCCCUGCCCGCGUGGCGCUGACGUGGCGCCUGCGUGGCAGGGACAGGGCCGUUUUUGCAAUUUUAAUUUUGAUAGAGCUAUUUUUAAAAUAAAAAUUACUCAUGGGGCUAUUUGCAAAAAAAACCCGAGCAAAUAUUAUGUAUUGAUCGUUAAAAUUAUAAAUUUUCUGAUCCGUUGAUAUUAGUUCAAUGAUAUCAAAAAAGAUAUAAAUUUUGUUUCUAAAACAGACCGUGAUUUGGAAUCUCUAUCAUCGAAAACAGAUCAAAAAUUCAUUUACUAUCAAUUGAAGCCAAACUCUCUCUUUAUGUAUAUAAAAUAAUAAUAAUAAUAAUAUAAUAAUAAUAAUAUCUCUCUAAAGAGAGAGAGUGAGAGUGAGCCCACUUAAUUACUAUGUUAUUAAUAGGACAACUUCUUUUUGUCUGUCAAGUCAUUUUCGAUGAUUAAGAGUCCGAAUCAGUGGGCGGUUAGUAUAGUCAAACAUGAUCUAAAACAUAUAAAGUGUCUCAAAAUUAAAUUUCAUGAUUUUUAAAAGUCAUUAUCUAGUUCAUCAAAAAAAUUAUAAAAUAAAUAGUAAAAAAUGAAUAAAGUUAUGCAAUAGAGGUUAGAACUUCUCAAUACAAAAUCGGUAUGGUCAUGAUCAGACAGUGAAAAAAACUUUCUAUAAAAAAUUUAAUAAAUUUAAAUUAUUUUACACUAUUAAACGAGCAAAUAAUUUAUAUGUCGGUUCGAGCUCUUAAUCAUUAAAAACGACUUGACAGAAUAGGGUGCUUUGUCUUUGUCUAAUUAAUGAGAUAAUAACUAAUCAGUAGGACAGUAACUAGAAUCUACAUAGAACCCAAUUACAUUUUUGUAGUGGGACUAGCAUAGGCAUGCAUACAGGCAUUCCAUUUUAUUUUGGGAAAACUUUAAAAAUUCUCCAUAUGGUUUCAAACUUUUUCAUUUUAGGUACUCUACUAUAGUUUAAAAUAUAUCAAGUUAGUACCAUAUGGUUUCACACUUUCUCACUUUAGUAUCCUAUGGUUUAAAGUGUAUCAAGUUAGUACUGUGUGAUUUUAUUUUUGUAUCAAGUUAAUACCGUGUGAUUUUAUUUUUAUAUCAAGUUAGUAUCCUGUGGUUUAAACCACAUGGGUACUAAAGUGAGAAAGUACAAAACAUAGGGUACUAAAGUGAGAAAGUACGAAACCACAGGGUACUAACUUGAUACACUUUAAACCACAGAAUACUAAAGUGAAAAAGUGUAAAACCACAGGGUAUUAAUUUGAUAUACUUUAAACCACAAGAUACUAAUGUGAGAAAGAGUAAAACCACAUGGGGCUAUUUGAAGUUUUCCCUUUUAUUUUUGCAGUGGGAAUAGUAUUACUCAGAUUAAUAAAAGAUUAAAUUAAUUGGAUAGGGACAACAUAUAUUUGGUAUGCAAAUUUUGUUGCAUAUUGACAAGUGGCUACAUAAUGUAGUUCCCAACAAGGGAAGUUAAUCUAUAAAUAUAAUUUUUUAUCUAUGGUAGUUAAUUGUGGUCAAUUGUUUGUGAAAGAAGUUUAUCUUUAAAAGGUUAUGCUAUUAAAAAAUAGUGUUUUAAUAUAAUAUUUUUUUAGUAAUCUUUUUCUUUAUGUCCGGAUUUGAUUUUUUUUUUUGAUAACUAGGCUCAAGACGUAGAUUUAAAUUAAAUAUAUAAAAGAGAAUUAUAUAAGGGGUUAUGUAUUUG
rnacentral:lncRNA from 1 species